GGGUGUUGGUGGUGGUGACUGUUUGGGUGUUGGUAGUGGUGACUGUUUGGGGGUUGGUGGUGGUGAGUGUUUAGGGGUUGGGGGAGAUGUGUGUUUGGGUGUUGCGGGUGGUGGGCAUGGGACAUAAGUGGAGCUAACCAGAGUGAAGAAGAGGAUGUUGAGAGAAAGAGCAAUAGCAGCCUUGGAAGCCAUUUCACAAAGAUUAUGAAAUGAAUGUUAGUGACUUUUAGAUUACUAGUUACUAAUUUGGUUUGCUGUGUCAGAGGAAUGAGAAGGAGGGUUUUAAUUUAUAGGGAAAGGUUGGUGCCUUCUUUAUUUUUUUAAGGUUAAAUAAUGGGUUUAUUUUAGGCCAUGUGAAUGAGUUAGCCCAUAGGUAGAAACUAAAGCAACACAAGCUGGCAGCUCAACUUGGAUGUCGGAUAUGUAAAUAUUGGGGGAACGAAAAAUUUAUGUAUCAAAUUUGGAAUUAUGUGUAUUUUUUAGUGUAGUUAGUUGUCAACUUCUUUUCAAAUGGAAUGAUUUUUAUGUAUAUAGUUAUGAAAGUUUGAAACUUAGAAUAGUUUGCCAAAUUACAAAAGGCAUAAAGGUAAGGAUUAUGCUAGAUUUGUCAUUUUUUUCUCAUUAAGAAUGAAUUAAGGAAUGCUUGAGAUUUGUCUGAUUACUUUGUAAUUACCUAUUUUAUAAGAUAAUUUCUAGUGUCCAUUGUGGAAGAGAUAUGACAUAUAUAUGUCAUGAUUACAAACAUAGCUUCUUUCACUUUUUUGGUAAAUAUAUAUAUACAUUUUUUUAGAUCAAAAGCUUUUUUAUUUAUGUUUAGAUUUUAUUCUACUUUAACUUAUGUAUAAACCUUCUCCUUUUGUUGUAGAUAGAAAUAGUUAAUGUCAGAAGGAAACAUGAUCAGAAUGUGGUGGACAAAUCACAAAUUGAUAGGCAACGAACAACAACAGUUCGGGACAUCAUUGUCAUAUUUCUGCACUGGGUCAUGGUUUUUUAAGGCUAUGUAUAGAGUGAGUGCAAAAAUGUUUUAUGCACUAGUUUAAAAUGAUUUCUGCAUUAUUUAAAAGAUAAUGUAUAUAGGGUUCAAUUGUGUUCUAAACUUUGUUGGAUAAUUUUAAAACAAUUGAAGUUGGGCAGAUAUAUGGGAUUAUUAGAAAGAAAGUUAAAGGCUUACUAUAACUAAUAUAUCCAUUAAAUAGACUAACUAUACAUAAAAAAAUUUAAAUAAUUUUUUAAAAGAAGAGUAAUAAUAUAUCUUCCUACCCAAAUUUUUCUACAAAUCAUUCUACCUAUAAGAAAAAGACAUAUGCUACUUAUAAAUCAAUUAUUAAUAAACAAAAUUAUCACUUUUAUUAUAUAUAUUACUUUUCAUAUGGUAUAGGAGUAUUUAUAGGAGAUAUAUUAUUUUCCUUAAAGUAAUUAUCCCGUUGUUAAUUCCAAAAUUACUUCAAAAGAAAAGGAUGAUUCACACCCCAACCUAAGGUACGCUUAGUCUUUAGCAUUUGGCUAAAAUUUUACUGUAAUCAACAUUGAAAAGUAUUCUCUCUUCACCAAAUUACUUCUGGAUUUACCAGUGGAUAUUAUUUCUUCACCAAAGUACUAACAAGUAUUGUUUGUUAACAAAUCUACUUCAUUCUCUCAAUAAAGAGACGAAUAAGGUUUGUUGUGUUUAAAACACCAACAACAGCAAAGAUAAUAAAAGUUUUAACCCAACUCAAAUACAAAUGGACUUGAUAUAUUUUCAUAAAUUGAAGAAAAAAACAUAGAAGUAAAGUUUUCCUCUUCAUUGAUACUAUUGGAUAAAAAUUAUAUACGCUUAUAAGUAUAUUUAAGCAAUUGUGUAUAGUAUACUCGCAACAAUAUAUUUAAAAAAGAUUGUACUAUAUAAUACUAUUAUUCAUUUGACGAAUCUUAUCAAAAUUUUAACAGAGAUAAUAAUAUUUAAUUAUAAUUUAUAAUUGAAGUUAAUUGAAUAAUGAAAAUAUAAAGAAACUUAUAUUAUGAGAUUAGAGAUAAAAUUUUCAACUAUUUCUUUUUCAAUAUAAAACAUUAUGUUGUAUUAACAAAUUCAUCUUCUAUGUUACUACACAAUUUUAUUUAGUUUAUUUCAUUAUCGAAAAUGAUGCUUAUAUAGUAGUUGAACCAUAAUAGAUAAAAUAAGAAGAAUUACUUAAAAUUGCAAUAUAUGAUUAACGAUAUAUGAUAUAAAUUUUUUCAAACUUGAAUGAUUAACAAGACCAAGAAUAAAAUGUUGAUAUUGAGAUCUCAAACUAAUCUUCAUUGUUCAUUGAAUUGAAAUUUUGGACAAAAAUAUGUUAUCAAUAUUAAAUAUCUAAUAAGUAUCUUUAGGUAUAUAUUAUCAAUACAUACAUAAUUUUUUUCAUCAAGUUUAAAAUCAUUAUGAACUCAAAUGAAGUAUGUUUUUGUAAGCAACAUCAACAUUUAAACGUGUAAGAGAAUUUGAUCCAUUAUGUAUAAUUUUUAAAAGAGCUACACAAGUUGCACUACAUUUAUUUAUUAAAGGAAUUUGAUUUCUGGGAGCAGACUGGAACGGGAACUAGCAUGAAAACACUCUGCUAGGGUUCUUCUUCUCUACCUCCAACUUUCUUGGAAGUCCAUAAAUGGCCACACUGAACGUUGACACGCCACUCAUUCCUUGGAACUUCUUAGGUGGCACUGAAUGCCCUCCUGUGAACCCACCUCCUCCUCCUUCAAACCACAUGAAAAAGUCAUUUGCCCAAGCUUUAAAAAACUCAAAUGACAUUGCACUAUCUCAGCUGCCUCAACCUUGCAUCAAAGGUGAAGCCAUUGCUAUCAAGAUCCCUGAAGAGGACUACCAGGAAGGUGUCAAGAGAUGCAAAACUCACCUACAUGGGAGGCUCAUUCUAGCUAAAGGGGAUGCUCCCCUCAAGUUCGAAGAGAUUAAGGCUAAACUAAGCUCUUUAUGGAGUAGCAUAGGUAAAUGGAGCAUGAUAUCCUUGGGAAGGGGAUACUAUGAUUUCUCAUUCUCAUCCCUGGAGGAUAUGCGAAGUGUUUGUGCUGUAGGGGCUUGGAAUCUUCGUCCAGGUUACCUUAGAUUGUACCUAUGGACACCUGAUUUUAACCCAGCAUUGCAGAAGUUCUCUCAUGUUCAAUGCUGGGUGAAAAUAAUAGGUUUGCCUCAAGAGUAUUGGAGCCCUCGAAUCAUCUUCUCUAUUGCAGGGGGGAUAGGUGCUCCAAUCUCCCUGGAUGAUGCCACAAACAAUCGAGCUUUUGGACACUUUGCAAGGGUGCUAGUUGAUAUGGAUCUGAAAUCAGAGUUGCCCAACCAGAUCCUAGUGGAAAGAGAAGGCUAUGCUUUCUUUGUGGAACUUGAAUAUGAAAAGCUCCCUCAGUUCUGCACAGGUUGCCAAACAAUUGGUCAUCUGCAUUCCAACUGCAGGAAAAAAAUGAAGGAGAUCCCUGCUAGUGUCCCCCUGCCAAAAAAGAAGCAAAUGCCAGAUAAGACUCUCAAAAAGAACACUGACAAGGACUUUGUCAUAAACUUGGAAAUAAACCACAAUGAAGAAAUCAAUCUUCAAAAGGUUACUAGGGUGGAGGAUACUCCAAUGACACAUCAAUCUGACAGUGAAACUAUGGAGGAUAUAGCUGAUAUUGAACCAACUGUGGUUGAGGAUUCUCUAGCUGGUCUAGAGCAACUUGCUCCUACUGAAUUGGCUGGAAUUGAGCUCAAUGAGGCAGUAGAGUGUCAAAUGGUCGAAGAAAUGAGCAAUCCUAGAGCUGCUAAUGACAUGAGGCUGCUUGGCAGGCUUUGGGCUUAUGAGGACAUUGAGGAGGAAGUGGAUGAUGACAGUAGGUUCACAAAUGUUAUUUCCAGAUCUCAAAAGAAAAAGCAGAAGAAAAAAGAUAAGUUGGAAAAGGUUCACAACACCCGCAGGGGCAGCUACUUAAUCUCAAAUCAAUGAUAGUGUUGUACUGGAAUUGUAGGGGAUUAGGGAAUCAAAAAACUCAAUUGGUGUUAAAAAAUCUGUGUUCUUCUCAUAAACCAGAUUUGGUUUUCUUAGCUGAGCCUAUGAUAGAUAAGACUAGCAUUCCUCAAUGGUUUUGGACUUCCUUGAACCUCAAGCUUUUCUUUGAAAAUGAUAGAGGUCCCCUCAUUCCCUCUAUUUGGGGGCUUUGCAAGAUGCAUCUUGCUCCUCUAAUAAUUUCUAACUCCAUCCAGCAGGUCUCUAUGCUUAUCUCUAUUGAUGGCAAAGACUUGUUUAUUGCUGCUGUAUAUGGUGGUACUACUCAAUUGCUCAGAAGAAUUCUCUGGGAGGAGCUCAGGAUUUUGAUUCUUACCAACCAGGGUCCUUGGUGCUGUGUUGGUGAUUUCAAUGUGGUGUUGGGUAAUCAUGAAUGCAGAGGAAGGAGGCUAACCCCCUCUAGUCCCUGUGCUGAUUUCAAAAACUUCACUGACUCUGCUAACCUCAUCCACUUGCAGACAAGAGGCUCUGCUUUUACUUGGUCUAAUAGAAGAAGAGGGAAUGCCCUAACUGAGAAAAGGCUGGAUAGAAGUCUGUGCAACAAGGAGUGGAUUGAUUCUUGGUCUCAAGUUGCUUGUUGUACCCUGCCUAGGAUCUCUUCUGAUCAUCACCCCAUCUUGCUGUGUUCUGAUCAUGGUCAAUUAGGGGUCCCAACCCAAUUCAAAUUUCAGAAAAUGUGGUUACACCACCAGGAUUGUUCUAGACUGGUGGAGGAGGUUUGGCAAAGAAGCAUUUCUGGUUGCAGUAUGUCUAUCUUGUCUCAGAAGCUCAAGUUGCUGAAGAAAAAGUUCAAGGUCUGGAAUGUUGAGGUCUUUGGUCUGGUUAGUCACAAGGUGAAUUUGGCCUUAGAUGCAGUAGCUCUAAUACAAGACAAUAUUGCUAGGAAUGGUCCUAAUGAUGAUAACUUGGAGGAGGAUAGAGUGGCUCAACAGACUCUCAUUCAAGCCUUAACUAUUGAGGAAGAGUUUUGGAAGCAAAAAUCCAGACUCAACUGGUUCACCAGUGGAGACAGAAACACUAGCUUUUUCCAUAGAGUCACUAAGAUCAGGAACUCUUCCAAGUCUCUCACAAUGCUCAGAUCAGGUGGCUCCUUACUCACUGAUCAAUCUGCUAUGGAAACCUUGGUGUUAAACCACUUCAUGGAUAUUUUUGCUGCUCCUAAUAGCAUUGUGCAUAAUGAUAUGGUUAGCACUGUGGUUCCUACUUUGAUUAAUGAUGUUGAUAACUCCAGAAUCUCUGCCAAUCCUUCUCAGAAAGAAAUCAAGUCUGCUAUCUUUGAUAUGAAUGGGGAUGGAGCCCCAGGGCCUGAUGGCUUUGGUGGCAGCUUCUAUCAAGCUUUCUGGAGCAUAGUUGGUCCUGAUGUGUGCAGAGCCACCCUGCAAUUCUUCACUCAGGAUUAUAUCCUGCCUAAUUUGAAUUCUAAUAAUGUGGUGCUCAUACCUAAAGUCAUAGGUGCUGACAAAAUGGAUGAUUUUAGACCAAUUGCUAUGGCCAAUUUCCAAUUCAAGAUCAUUUCCAAAGUGCUGGCUGAUAGGUUGGCUAGCAUUGCUCCUAAAAUUAUCUCUAAUCAGCAAAGAGGAUUCAUCAAAGAUAGGCAAAUCAAUGAUUGUAUAUGUCUAGCUUCUGAGGCUAUAAAUCUCCUAGAUCACAAAAUUUUUGGUGGAAACUUAGCCAUUAAAAUUGACAUCAAGAAAGCUUUUGACACUCUUGAUUGGGAUUUCUUGCUGCUUACUCUCAAGCAGUUUGGCUUCAACCACAAGUUCGGAAACUGGAUUAAAAUCAUCCUGGACUCUGCCAGGCUAUCUAUUAAUGUGAAUGACAAAAUGGUUGGUUUUUUCAAGUGCACAAGAGGGGUGAGGCAGGGUGAUCCCUUAUCUCCUCUCCUAUUCUGCAUUGCUGAAGAUGUGUUGAGUAGAGGGUUGUCCAAGCUGUUAGUGGAUGGGAAAAUUAGCACUAUUGAGGGUCCUAAGGGCAUUAAAACUCCAUCUCAUGUGCUCUAUGCUGAUGAUAUCUUCAUAUUUUGCAAAGGAAAAAAAGAGAGCUUUUCAAAAUUAAGCAACUGCUUAAUAAUUACUCCAAUGUCUCAGGUCAAUGUGUUAAUGCUGCUAAGAGUAAAUUCUACUCCACAAACUCUUCUCAAAGGAAAAUUGCUUCUAUAGCUCAGGUGCUUGGUUUCUCUUCUGGUAGUUUGCCAUUAAACUACCUAGGAGUGCCUAUUUUCCUUGGCAAACCAAGAAGGAUCCAUCUGCAAAGGAUUGCUGAUAAGAUAACCAACAAGUUAGCCACCUGGAAAGGGAUGUUGCUCUCAAUCAUGGGAAGAAUUGAGCUGGUUAGAUCAGUAAUUCAAAGCAUGUUGCUUUACAGCUUUAAAAUCUAUGCCUGGCCUACUUCUCUGCUUAAGCACAUUGACAAUUGCAUAAGGAAUUUUGUUUGGUCUGGUAAUAUUGAGGACAGGAAGCUGGUCACUGUGGCUUGGAAGAAUGUUUGCCUUCCUUUCAAGGAUGGUGGAUUGGGUCUUAGAUCUCUGAAAAAGAUAAAUCAUGCUGCCUUGCUAAAGCUUGCUUGGGAAAUGAUCAGCUUUAAUCAUGAAUGGGCUAUUUUCUUUAGGGACAGGUUUGGAUCUAAUCCUACUCCUUCAAACAGAUACUUCAAGUCCUCAAUCUGGUCUACUAUCAAGGCUAAUUGGCAUACCCUGCACUUGAACACCUACUCCCUCCAACAGGUACUUCAAGUCCUCAAUCUGGUCUGCUAUCAAGGCUAAUUGGCAUACCCUGCAUUUGAACUCUGUCUGGAUAAUUGGCAAUGGUCAAAAAACAAACUUCUGGCUUGACAAUUGGUUAGGGGAGCCCUUAGUGGAUACCCUUAACAUUCCUCUGAAUCUUCAUAAUCAUCUGAAAGCUUCUGUGGCUGAUUUUAUAAGUAAUGAAGCAUGGAUCAUUCCUCACACUUUGACUACUAAAUAUCCUAAUCUCACUUCUCAGUUUUGCAACAUCAUUCCAAACUCUGAAACUGAUAAACUGGCUUGGAAAAGUUCCACUCAUGGUCUUCUUUCUGCCAAGGAUGCUUAUCUUCAUCUCAAUCCUGGCUCAGUUCAACACAAUUGGGGUGCUAUCCUCUGGUUUGAUACUAUUCCUCCUUCAAAAUCUUUCACUGCUUGGAGAUUACUCAACAACAAGAUGCCUACUGAUGAUAAUCUCAAGAGAAGAGGUUGUGUUAUGGCUUCUAUUUGCAACUUAUGCAACAAAGAGGAGGAGACUGCUACACACUUGUUUUUCAAUUGCCCUUUUUCUGUUUAUGUUUGGAAUUGGCUGAGCACCACUCUAGACACUGCUCUAGACACUUCUUCCUUAUCAAACCUGUUGAAGUUGACACAAAGGAAGUGGAGUGACCAAGUCAAACUUGCAAUCACAGCUUCAAUAAUUCAUGCUAUAAGCUCUAUAUGGUUUUGCAGGAACCAGGCUAGAUUCAACAACACAAUCAUCUCCUUAUCUACAGCUUUGUCUAGGAUAAAGCUGGGCAUCUCUUUGUCUGGCAACAAUUCCAAGGCGUGUGCUAGCAACUCCAUUUCUGACUUUGCCCUAAUCUUGCCUAACUUGAAUUCUAAUAAUGUUGUGCUCAUACCAAAAGUCAUAGGUGCUGACAAAAUGGAUGAUUUUAGACCAAUUGCUAUGGCCAAUUUCCAAUUCAAGAUCAUUUCCAAAGUGCUGGUUGAUAGGUUGGCUAGCAUUGCUCCUAAACCAUGAGGGACAAACUUUGGCUUGUUUUGCUUGUUUUAAUGGCUGCAAUGAUGCUCUCUUUGUGGAGCUCAAUGCUGCUAUGCUUGCGGUUAGGUUUGCUCAUGGAAAAGGUUGGCACAAUAUUUGGCUUGAAUGUGAUUCAAUGAUAGUGGUUGACAUCUUCAAUGACAAAGCCAAUCCCCCUUGGAAGCUCUUAAGCAAGUGGAAUCAUUGCACCAAACUCCUUUCUUCAAUGAAUUGGCUAGUCACUCAUAUCUAUAGGGAGGGAAAUAGUUGUGCGGAUCAACUUGCUAAUUUUGGCUUAACUAUCCAAAAUAUAGUUUGGUGGAAUCAUGCUCCUCCCUUCAUUUUGAAGGAGGUUAAUAGGAACGUUUAAGCCUUCCUAACUAUAGAUUUGUAUCUUAGUUUCUUUCUUCUUGUAAUUCUCCAUGGUUUAAUAUAUUUCUGGUGCCUUGGCACUGUUUAUCAAAAAAAAAAACUACAAAUUGAAGAAAUAUACGUGGUCCGAUCCUACUAGUAUACCCUUAAAGACAUCACUCAUGUAUAGGUAAAGGGAGUACAUCUACUCCAAAAAGUAUAUAAAACUCUAUAUGUCACAUUUUAUAAUUUAAAAGUUUAAUAAUUACGUAUUUUUUCUGACCUAAUAUAACAAGCGACACAUGGAGUGACACAUUUUGUGGAAUAACAUACAUGUUCCCAUAAGACAAAGGUAAAAAAUAAGUAUUUAAUAAAGUUUAGAAAAAAAUCCAGGGCACCCCUGCUACUAUUGUUAUAUUUAAGCAAGUUUGAACAAUAUACUCACAAUAGUAUAUUUAAACAGGUGUGAACAAUAUACUUGUAUUUCUUAGUUAUUUCAAGUUUUCAUCUUCUAUUUUUAUUUAUUGUCUUUAAUAAUAAUGACUAACUAAUUAAUUUUUGAGUGAGUAUCCAAAUUGCUCCUUAAUAAUUUCAUGUCUAUAAAUUGUUCUCGAAAAUUAAAAAAAUCAAAUUAGUACUCAAAUAUCAUAAAUGUGAGUCAAAAUAGUAUUUCUUAGAAGUCAUAAAAAUGAUAAAGUGACUAAUUUGACUAAUAUUUGAAGAUUAUUUUAGGGUUAUCAAAUUUUCAGAGACUAAAUUUGUACAACAAAAAUUUAGAUGGACCAAAAUAUGUUUUUACACUUAAUGUUUCUAUGUAAUUUUAUUUUUAUAGAUAAUAAUAAAUACUUUAUUAAUCUAAUAAUAACUAAAUUAUUAAAAAAAUAUAAAAUUAAUUUUUCAACCCUAAACUAGAAAUCUUCUCCCCAAUUUAUUCACCCCAACCUCUAGCUUAGCUUUGACUACUAUGUAUAUGAGGAUGGUAAGAGGAUCUAUAGCCAGACUUUACUUGGCCAUCUCCUUUUAAUUUUGAAAAACUAAAGAUUGAGGGAAAUCUAACUAGGUUCCAACUCAAUCCAUUCAAGUGGUCAAAGGUUUGAACUUAUUAAAUUUUGGUGAAUCUUGAAAGGAAUUUUUUGUAUAUAGAGAAAGAUAAGAAUAACAUGAUCCCUUAGUGAUGUGUUGGAUUGAGCAUAUGGGAAAACUGAAAGACAUUCAACACUAAUACAAGAUGAAUAAUGAAAGAGCUAAACUUUAAGAGUGCACUUUAAGUUGUUACUAUUAAUGAGCAUACCACAAAUUUUAAAUGCAAAAGAUAACCUUUUUGCGGGGGAAGAUUGUGAGUAGUGACAUUUUUAUCUAUUUUUUUUUAACUUCAACAAAAUUUUCCUUUUUUUUGUACAUUGUAUUGCUCUCUUUUCAGUUUAUAUGUUUUUUCUUCCUCUAUCAUCUUCUCUUUGCGUGCUAUGACUAAUUAUAAAAUGAGAUAAUGAAGGAGACAAUGAUUAAUUAGACAAAUACAAAUACAAAUCACUGAAUAUAACAGAUACAGGUAAACAAAUGAACCCAAUAUCGUGCUUGGUUUAGAAGAAAAUGACAAAUAUCUUACAUAUGUUGGAAAUAUUAGUGUGAACCAUAACAUAUAUAGAUUCAAAUGCAAAGAGAAUGGUUACUGUUGUCCUUGGCAGCACGAAGCAACCAAACUAAGAAUAUGUAUAGAAACGAAGAGACGCAUAAAUGAGAGAAUGUCGUUUAGGUUAAGUACUCCACUAUUAAUUUUUUUGAUACUUAAACAUCGAUUUACGCAGGCGAAAGUUGACUCUUUCAUUAUCAAUUUAAGAUGAAAUAUAAGGUUAUCAGUCAUGACUCUUAAAAAAAUAGAUCGGUUCUUCGUUCGUUUCGCUAUCCCACCCAAUAAAUCAUUAAGAUUUGUUUCAUAUCCAAUCAACAAUGCACAUUUAAGAAAACGCUAUUGAUAUGACAUCUUCAACCACCCUCACUCAAGAGAGUGUUGUUGAUAUGAUAUCUUCAACAACGCUCCUUUAAGUAACUUUUGAUGUUUAAAUGUUGUAUCAUAUCAACAACGCUCAUUUAAUAAAGUGUUGUUACUAUGUCAUACUCAAAAGUACUCUCUCAAUCUUGCGUUGUUGAAUUGAUGUAAAUUAAUAGUGCUUGUUUAAAGGUGUGUUGUUAAACAACACUCAUUCAAAUCAACGAUAAUUCAACAGAACUCAUUCACGUCAUCGCUUUUGAAGUUAUAUGUGCCUAUUUAAUGUAACAAUGUUAGUUUUAAUGAACAUUGUUGAUUAUCUUCCGCCUCAUUUUUAACAGUAUUGUUCUAGCAAGUGCGGUUAAAUAACUAUCGUUAAUUGUGAUAUUUGGUAUAGUAUUUGAUGCAUACUAAAAGCAUGUAAUACCCUUACUCUUGAUUAAUUAACUCUAAUUUCUAAAAAUUGAAGACUUACCUGCCACUUGCAGAUAUAUACCCGUGAACAAAUCAUAGACAAAGUGCAUUAUUUGCAAAGUCGUGCGAUCUCCUUGGCAUAUUAUCAGCAAUAAGCAUCAAACCUAUUGGCAUGAUCAGCUAGCAUACUUCCAAAAAACUAUAAAUUAAGAAAUUCAAUGUAAAGGAUUAUUAGCCUAGUAGCUAGCUGUUGAAGGAGCAUCACCUAUUCCAUGUACAAUGGCUGAGUUAGACAUGCACAAUCUAACAAUGAGAAUCCAGUGUUGACGCGUAAACGUGUUGUGAACACCACAAAUUUAGAUAUAGCUUUGUUACGUAAAAGAGGAUAUAAGCCAUAAUUUUCUUCCAAAUCUCAAAGAGCUAAACUUUAAGAGUGCACUUUAAGUUGUUACUAUUAAUGAGCAUACCACAAAUUUUAAAUGCAAAAGAUAACCUUUUUGCGGGGGAAGAUUGUGAGUAGUGACAUUUUUAUCUAUUUUUUUUUAACUUCAACAAAAUUUUCCUUUUUUUUGUACAUUGUAUUGCUCUCUUUUCAGUUUAUAUGUUUUUUCUUCCUCUAUCAUCUUCUCUUUGCGUGCUAUGACUAAUUAUAAAAUGAGAUAAUGAAGGAGACAAUGAUUAAUUAGACAAAUACAAAUACAAAUCACUGAAUAUAACAGAUACAGGUAAACAAAUGAACCCAAUAUCGUGCUUGGUUUAGAAGAAAAUGACAAAUAUCUUACAUAUGUUGGAAAUAUUAGUGUGAACCAUAACAUAUAUAGAUUCAAAUGCAAAGAGAAUGGUUACUGUUGUCCUUGGCAGCACGAAGCAACCAAACUAAGAAUAUGUAUAGAAACGAAGAGACGCAUAAAUGAGAGAAUGUCGUUUAGGUUAAGUACUCCACUAUUAAUUUUUUUGAUACUUAAACAUCGAUUUACGCAGGCGAAAGUUGACUCUUUCAUUAUCAAUUUAAGAUGAAAUAUAAGGUUAUCAGUCAUGACUCUUAAAAAAAUAGAUCGGUUCUUCGUUCGUUUCGCUAUCCCACCCAAUAAAUCAUUAAGAUUUGUUUCAUAUCCAAUCAACAAUGCACAUUUAAGAAAACGCUAUUGAUAUGACAUCUUCAACCACCCUCACUCAAGAGAGUGUUGUUGAUAUGAUAUCUUCAACAACGCUCCUUUAAGUAACUUUUGAUGUUUAAAUGUUGUAUCAUAUCAACAACGCUCAUUUAAUAAAGUGUUGUUACUAUGUCAUACUCAAAAGUACUCUCUCAAUCUUGCGUUGUUGAAUUGAUGUAAAUUAAUAGUGCUUGUUUAAAGGUGUGUUGUUAAACAACACUCAUUCAAAUCAACGAUAAUUCAACAGAACUCAUUCACGUCAUCGCUUUUGAAGUUAUAUGUGCCUAUUUAAUGUAACAAUGUUAGUUUUAAUGAACAUUGUUGAUUAUCUUCCGCCUCAUUUUUAACAGUAUUGUUCUAGCAAGUGCGGUUAAAUAACUAUCGUUAAUUGUGAUAUUUGGUAUAGUAUUUGAUGCAUACUAAAAGCAUGUAAUACCCUUACUCUUGAUUAAUUAACUCUAAUUUCUAAAAAUUGAAGACUUACCUGCCACUUGCAGAUAUAUACCCGUGAACAAAUCAUAGACAAAGUGCAUUAUUUGCAAAGUCGUGCGAUCUCCUUGGCAUAUUAUCAGCAAUAAGCAUCAAACCUAUUGGCAUGAUCAGCUAGCAUACUUCCAAAAAACUAUAAAUUAAGAAAUUCAAUGUAAAGGAUUAUUAGCCUAGUAGCUAGCUGUUGAAGGAGCAUCACCUAUUCCAUGUACAAUGGCUGAGUUAGACAUGCACAAUCUAACAAUGAGAAUCCAGUGUUGACGCGUAAACGUGUUGUGAACACCACAAAUUUAGAUAUAGCUUUGUUACGUAAAAGAGGAUAUAAGCCAUAAUUUUCUUCCAAAUCUCUACAGAAGAUAAGGACCCUAGCUGACAAUAAAAUUCAAAGAAGUCACUUCAUGAUAUUCUUCGCAGGAAUAAAACAAGCGUCGACAAUCGUAAAAGUUGACUUCAAAUAAACAUUAAAGCCUUUUCUAUAAUUAAAAAAGUUACUUCUUUCGUCAUGAUGAGACGAUUUGCAAGGUUAAGUGAGGAAUAUUCACACGAUUGAUAGUAUUAUGAUGCUACCUUUGUAAAAUAUUGAGCUAUUGUGAAAAAGAGAAUAGUUAAUAUGAAUUAUUGAAUUUUAUUUGAAUAUGAUAUAUGUACAUGACUUUUUUAAAGUGAUUAUGUGACUAAUAACUAAAUUUUAAUCAUAAUCAUCUAUGUAUGGUUAUAAAACCUAGAUUUAUUAUUCUCACAAUUUUUAUAUUAGAACUUUUAUUGUGAGAAAUAAAAAAUGUUAAUAUGAAUCAUUACAUCUGAUUUGAAUGAUCAAGAUUAGAAGAUAAAAUGCAUAUAAUCAUUAACUAACAUUUAUAUGAUCAUAUAAACAAUAACUAACUUUUAAUUUUAAUCCUCAAUAAAUGGUUGUAUAAUUCGAUUUUUUAUUUUCAUAAUUUUUUACGAGAAUUAUUUUUUACAGUCCCUAUAUAAUAAUUAUCAAACACUAGAAUUUAAUAUAAAUCUAUCAAUUAAAUAAAAUGAACUUAAUGGCUCUUCAAUUAUCUACAUUAGUAUACAUUGUCAAAAUGCUAUUUACAGGAGAUAACCAAAAUCCAAGAUUAAUUAGUAUUUACUAUUCUGUCUACCAUUAUGGUCGACAACAAAAUUUGUAAUGGUUCCACUAUCAUAAAAAACGAAGCAAGGGGUUGGAUCAAUCCAAACGAAAUGGCAAUUUCCAAAUAGAGAAUCGUGAUCAUAUUUGGACUAGUCAUUUGUUUUCAGCUGAAAUUUUGGAUCGGAGAGAGCAUUUUCAAAGGAAAUGACAAAACUAGUGCUAAAAUGGAAAAGAUCAAUUUUAUAUUUCAGUUGAAAAUAUUGAAUACUAGAUUUUAACAUUGACUUCAUGGACAGCUUAUGAUCAAGAUACUCUACAUUCAAUCAUUCUCUUCCAUCAUUAACAUGCCAUGUUACUAUUUUACACAAUAACACAUAUCAAUAAGUUAUUAGAACUAUUUGAUAAACAAAACUUGAAGAUCUUGUAUCUUUUCAAAAUGAGAUUGUAGGGUAUAAAAACUAUUUUCUAUAAACCUACUUGAAGGAGUAUUUAGAAAAUGAAAGUCUUUCAAUAAUUUGCUUAUGAAUUUCACCCAUCAAAACUUUAAAAAAUUAUAUUAGUUUUUGCCCACUAAAACCUAUUUUUGUGAUGCAUAAAUUAUUUUCAUAUUGAAUUUUUAUUAUGUAUACAUUAUCUUGCAUUUGAUUAUUGUGCUAAUGUAUAAAUUAUUUUCAUAUUAUAUAUUUUUAAUAAUUCUUAGUGUCAAUACCGAAAGAAUCCUAUAAACUUAUUCAACUAAAUUGCACUUUUAGAAAUAAAUAUUAAUAGAGGCAAAAAAAUAUUAUAAGAAACAAAUAAAUAAAAUAUUUAAUCUCAAAUUAUAAAUAAACAUUAAAAUAAAGAAUUGAAAUUUUAUAUUUUAAAUUAUUUAUAUAUUUAAUUAAUUGACAUUAUUAAUUAUUUAAUGAAGAGAAUAAAAUAUUUUCACAUAGCAGGAAAUAACUUAUUUGUUUCAGCCAAUAAAAGUAUGACAUGUGUACUUUUUUGUCUAGUUUCAGAAAUAUUUUUGUAGAAAAUGAUUAAAUAAGACACAUGUCAUGAUUUUAAUGGCCGAAUGAGAUAACUUAUUUCCUUAUACCAUGAUAUGUUUUAUUCUCUUUAAUGAAUAAAUAACUAAAUAAAUAAUAAAUAAAUAUUGUAUGUAUUUCUUAGUCACUUUUAAAAUUUCAUAUGGUUACCGAGCUAACUUUAUCUUACCUUUCUAGUUUAAUAAGCUACCUAUACAACUGCAAGCUUCCAACAACCUUCACUGCUUAUAACAUAGAUUAGACUUGACAACAUCGUAGGCAUUGCUAAUUUCGGUGAAUAACCUGCAUUAAAUCCAUGUAGACUAAUUUCAAUCUUAUUAGUAUCAAUCUUAACUUAUUCUAACAUGUGGCAAUUGAUAAUAUACUAUAUUAUAUUAUAUGUGUGGUUUGGUUAAUGAAUUUUUAUCCUAAAUGCACAUACCAAUUACUUCUUAUUAUAUAAUUGUAACUUUUUUUAUAAGCAAAUUGUAUUAAAGCAGCACAAAGGGUGUUAACCCAAUACAAGGAAAAUCAUUUCGAGAUCUUUUAUGAGUAUAUAGUUCUACAAUAUUUUGGAUUAUUACACCAAUCUAUAAACACUAAGGAAAUUGGACCUAUUUGAGAAAGAAACCAAGUCCAGGAUCUUGCUUGAAUCAAAUCCAUUAUAUGCAAAUAACUCACACCUUAUCAUAAAAUAUUAAAUCAUUCCUCAUAAUUCAAAUGAACCAGACCAUAGUAAACCACACCAGCCUCCAUAACUUAAAUCCUUUAGAAUUAUUAUCAAUAGCAUCAUGCAUAUUCAAGGCUUCAACAAGUGAAGUAGGAUUGGGCGCAUUUACUUGAAGCCGAGAAUAAGCGCCCUUCCAAACAGAAGAAACAAAGUUACAAAAUAGGAAAAGAUGUUCAAUAGAUUUCAUCAUCAUUCUUACAAAUGGCGCACUCAACAUCAUCAUCAGUCCUCUAGUGGGCUCUUUUUGUAAUCCACUCGAUCUCUUUUUGAUAUUUUGAGGAUUUGUUUAAAAACUACCAUUUCCUCGGUUUAUCAAUAUUUUUCGAAGGUGUUGUAUUUUUUGAAUAAACUUCUUUCUUAUUGUCUUGGUUCAACCUGACGUGUUUGAGGAAACACACCCUAUGGGAUUUGCUUACAUCAUCCUCUUAAGAAAGUGCAUGAAAGUAUGCAAAAAUAUGUGAUCAAUGCACAAACUUCUUUUGUUUUUUGUUUUUGAAAGGUCUUCCAAGCAUAAUACUUCUUCACGACAUUUGAAUUCACAGAAAGAGGUAGAUCGUUUCCAUCCAUAGCAGUCAAUAUCAAUGCCCCUCUAGAGAAUGGCUAUUUUACCACGAAUGGUUCUUCAUAAUUUGGGGUCCAUUUCCCCCUAUGGUCUUUAUGGAUUGGUAGUAUCUUCUUAAGCACCAGGUCCCCCUCUUGAAAGUAGUGCGACCGAACUUUCUUAGCAUAGGCUCUCACGAGUCUUUUCUGGUACAGCUGACCAUGAUAUAUAGAAGCUAACAUUUUCUCUUCUAUAUGUUCAGUUGGUCGUACCGCACCUGGAUCCGUUCUGAUUCUUUUAGUCCUAAUUCUGCCAUGAUUCUAAAUGAAGGAAUUUCUACUUCAAUAGGGAGCCCUGCCUCCAUCCCAUACACUAGUGAAUAUGGUGUUGCCCUAGUUGAUGUAUGUACCAAGUUUCGGUGUCCAUGUAGAGCAAAAGGUAAAAUUUCAUGCCAAUCUUUGUAUGUCACUACCAUCUUCUGAACAAUCUUCUUAAUAUUCUUGUUUGCUGCUUCUACUGCUCCAUUCAUCUUAGGGCAAUAAGGUGAGGAUGUGUGAUGCUUGAUUUUGAAUUCGCUACACAUCUCGGUCAUCAUCUUAUUGAUUAGGUUGGUGGCAUUUUCCAUGAUGUUCUUGGUGGGUAACCCAUAUCUACACACCAACUCCUUAUUGAUAAAUCGUAGUACCACUAUUCUGGUCACAUUGGCAUAUGAACACGGCUCAACCCACUUUGUGAAGUAGUCGAUGGCAACGAGGAUGAAGCAAUGUCCAUUAGAAGCUUUUGGCUCUAUUGGUUCAAUCACAUCCAUUCCCCACAUGGAGAAGGGACAGGGUGCUGAAAAGACAUUUAUAGGAUUUGGUGGAGCAUUGAUGUUGUGUGCAUAAAUUUGACACUUGUGGCAUUUCCUGACAUAAGCACCAUAGUCUGUCUCCAUUGUCCUCCAAAAGUAACAUGCCCCUUCUAGCAAUAGCAUGUCUGUUUGCAUGAGUUCCAAAAGAGCCUUUGUGUACGUCCUUGAGUAUCACUUCAACCUCUUUCUCUUUUAGGCAUCUGAGGAGUACUAUGUCAUGGUUCCUUUUGUAAAGAAAAUCCCUAUCUAGAAAGAAACCCAUGGCCAGUCUUCUCAAGGUUCUCUUGUCAGUCUCUGAGGCACCAAUGGGAUACUCUUUUUUCUGUAUAUAGACCUUGAUGUCAUGAUACCGCGGCUUCUCAUCUCCCUCUACUUCUAUCACGCAACAAUGGAUUUGUUGAUCUCUGCUUUCUAUUUUGAUGAGAGGUUGGUCAUUCCACUUAUAUGGAACAUUGAGGAUAAUGUGGAUAAGGCAUCAACUAAUCUGUUAUCUUUCCUCAGAAUAUGGUAGAAGUCGAUCUGAUCAAAGUGUUCAGCCAUUCUAUGGAUAUACUCCUUGUAAGGUACUAGGUUGUAGUCACGGGUCUCCCACUCUUCCUUCAAUUGAUGGAUGACUAGGGCUAAGUCCCCAAAGACCUCUAAAACUUUAACUUUUAUAUCCAAUGCUGCCCACAAACCCAAGGCACAUGCCUUAUAUUCAGCUAUAUUGUUGGUGUAGUCAAAGCAUAACCUGGCGGUAAUAAGAGUGAAAUUGCCUUCUGGAGAUACAAGCAUGACUCCUAUCCCGUGUCCGAGUGCAUUAGAGGCCCCACCGAAUACUAACGUCCAUAAACCAUCUUUUGCUGGUUCUUCCAAGGAUAGACUGAUGAUAACUUCAUUUGGGAACUCUUGGUUCAUUGGUUCGGUCUUCUCUAUGGGUUGACUAGCAAGGUAAUCCGCAAGGGCGCUUCCUUUGAUUGCUUUCCGUGUCAUAUAUACUAUAUCAUAUUCUGACAAUAAGACAUGCCACCGAGCGAUUUUCCCUGUUAAUAUUGGUUUAUCAAAGAUAUACUUCACGAGAUCCAUCUUUGAAAUCAGCCAGGUGGUGUGACUCAACCUAUACUGCCUCAAGCGACGAGAUGUCCAUGCUAAAGCAUAACAAGUGCGUUCUAGCAAUGAGUAUCUUGUCUCGCACGUAGUGAAAUUCUUGCUUAGAUAAUAUAUGGCUUGCUCUUUUCUGCCUGAUUCAUCAUGUUGGGCUAAGACACAUCCCAUAGAGUUAUUUAGCACUGUUAAGUACAUUAGAAGAGGUCGACUAGGUACCAGAGGCAUCAAUAUUGGGGGUUUGGUCAAAUACUGCCUUAUGCUUUCAAAGGCUUUCUGGCAAUCGUCAUUCCAUCUAACUGCUUGACUAUUUCUUAAAAGCUUGAAUAUGGGUUCACAUGUAGCCGUUAGUUGAGAGAUGAACCUGGAUAUGUAGUUCAAACACCCCAAGAAACCUCUGACUUCCUUCUCGAUUUGGGAGCUGGAAUUUCCAUGAUUCCUUUAACCUUUUCAGGAUCUACUUCAAUUCCUUUCUGGCUGACAAUGAAACCAAGGACUCGUCUCGAUUUAACCCCAAAGCUACAUUUUGUGGGAUUUAGCUUGAGGCUAUACUUUUGAGUCAUUCAAAUAACUUCCUUAGAUUACCUACAUGUUCCCCCUCUGAUUUGGAUUUGCAUAUGAUGUCGUCUACAUAGAUCUCCACCUCCUUAUGCAUCUUGUCGGGAAAAAGAGUUACCAUGGCUCUCUGGUAUGUGGCCAUAAUAUUCUUCAGACUAAAAGGCAUAACUAGAUAACAAAAGGUUCCCCAUGGGGUGAUGAAAGUAUUUUUAUCCACAUCUUUGGAAGCCAUCUUGAUCUGAUGAUAACCAGAAUACCCAUCCAUGAAAGAGAAAAGGACAUGGUCUGAUGUGAUGUCGACCAAGACAUCUAUAUGAGGUACUAGGAAAUCAUCAUUUGGGAUAGCUUUAUUCAAAUCUCGGUAGUCAACGUAAAUCCUGAGUUUGCCUCCCUUCUUUGGUACUGCUACAACGUUAGCCACCCUUCUUGGAUAUGUAGAGACUAUCACGAACCCAACAUGUAGCCAUUUCUCCACCUCCUCUUUCACUCUUAAGGAAAUUUCUGGUUUUAUCCACUGUAGCUUCUGCUUAACCGGACGUGAAUCUGGAUUCAAUGGCAGGUUGUGUUCCACUAUGUUUCUGUCCAGACCAAGCAUAUUGACAUACGACCAUGCAAACACAUCUUUGAACUCAUACAAAAGCUGAAUUAUCUUUUUUUGUUCUUCCUCUUUCAUCAAUGUACCUACCUUCACUUCCUUCUUGUCGUCCUCUGUCCCCAAAUUUACUAGUUCAGUGGGCUCUUCAUGAGGCUUAAUCUCUCUAGACUCUUGCUCAACCAUCCUCAAUAAUUUAGGUGAUGCCUCCCAUUCUUCAUCACUAUCUCUUUCAUCAAGCUGAUUAAUCGGAUGAUCAUGAUUGUACGUGUGGUUGAUAAAAUGAUUAUUAUUUCUGGGGUUAAUGUUGGAUCUGCAUUAUAUUGAUGUUAUGAUGAGUCUUUUAGUUUUUGGUUUUUUCAUGGUUUUACUUGUUGCUUUUUUUUUUUCAAGUGUGUGCAAGUGUAAAAAUAUGAAGAAUAAAAUGAAACACGGAAUAUGAAGAAAGAAAUGCAUUUAUUGAAUUAAAAAAAACUUGUACUUCUCAAUGAAACAUAAAUAAAUUGUCCUUAUUCAAAAAGAAAGAAAAUAAAUAAAGCAAUAAAUAAAUGUUAGUUGCAGAAUAUAAAUGAUAGAAAAUAAAUAUUAGUUGCGGAAAAUAAAUGACAGAAAAUAAAAGUUAGUAGUUAGAUCAUUCAUUAUGACUAUGUAUUUUUCCUUUUCACAAAGAUACAAUUUAUGAAUUAAAUUUCACUUUGAUUCAAGGUUUCUUUCCUUGUCAACAAAUAAAAUUUAUAAGUUAACACUUUACUAUUUUACAUUUGCAUCUCUUUGAAGAUUCAAUUGUAAUAUAGUAUAGGGUCAUAUCGAACCACAAGGAAUUGCCUAAUAGAAAUGUACUCAUACUUUGUAACAUUUAUCAAAAGUAAGAAAGUAACACAUAAAGUUGUUUUGAUGUUUUUAUCAAAUAAGAAACAAGAAAAAGUAAAGAACUAAUUAUUUACAAAUUCAAUAGGAUAAAAUUGAUUUGAAAGAUGAAAUUAUUUCUUGACUCAAAUGAUUUUGAAAACAUUACAAGUUAUGUGUUAUACUUUCGGUUAAUUCCACACACCAUUUCUAAAUCCUUCAUCUAGUGUCCUAGAAUGAUAAGAUAAUUUUUAAACCUUAUGUAAUACACUAAAUAAUAGUUAAGUGCCACUCGUCGGAGUAGGUUGUCACACCCUACUUCAGGCUCCAUUAACAUCAUUUAGCCUUGAAGAUAAAUUGCAUAAAAUAGAUGCUUGAUACGACAAGUGAACUAAGGUGUAGGCUAUACUUUUUAGUUCACUUGUCAACACUUUAAGAAGAAGCGUUUUUGGAUCUUUAAAUCAAGUAUUAGGUGAUCAAGCUAAAACCGCAUUAAAAACUUCAUAAAGAAUCAAAACUUAACCAAACGUAAUAACUUGAAUGUAUUGAAAUCAAAAUAUGAUACAAAUGAGGAGAAGAAAUAACCUUACACCAUAAUCCAAAUCACUAUAUACGAGCAUGAGCCAUCUAUCCAAGGAUGAGAUGCUUUUGAUUCCAAAUGAGAUUACAAAAUCAUGUUUAUGCAUCUUAUUUUCUAACUCCAUUCCCCUUCAAUUUAUAUGAACUAAAAGCCUAAGAACAGCCUAAGAACACUCUAACAGAAGAGAGAAAUGAAAUGGGAAGAAGAAGAGGAAUUUACGAAGUAUGUACAAUUAUGUGAAUGUGUGAAAGUGAAGAAAUGGCUUCUCCUUUUAUAGGCAAGUUGUGGCCGCUUAGCCCCCCUUUCUGGCCGCUAAGCUCUCUGUCUGGCACACCCAAGCUGGUGAGUCAGCAGUUUUUCCCAUCUUGGCCAGCUAGCUUGGACAACCUAUUGUGGGCUAGGCUACAUGCAUGGUGACACCUCCUACUUGCUUGUCUCAUGUAUGAGGUCAUAAACUUGGUCCAUAAGUUAGCUUUGGCUAGUUGCUUGGCUUAUGACAUCAUUCAUGACAUAUCCAUUCUUCUAAGCCAAGCAACCAUUUUUCUAGUGGGUCAGGCGCUUAGCUCACCUGGUCCCAUGCUUAGCUUCCUUCUUGAGCAGCUUGGCUGACUUGGUCCCACGCUCAGCUUCUGGCUUGAGCAACUUAGCUGACCUGGUCCUACACUUAGUUGCCUGCUUGAGCAGUGCCUGCUUGAGCAGCCUGCUUGACCUGGCCUAGUGCUUGGUGCUUGGCUGGACAGCUUUGUGAGCAACUUUUCUUUGACUUUUAUUUCUUGCAACUAAGACCAAGUUGCUUAGUCAUGCUUAAGUUUAAGCAAGCACUUACCAUGCUUAGUUUUAAGCACACAUGUGUCAUGUACUUUGGCUUGAUUUCUUUAAGGUGAAGCAAGCUUUCUUUCUUCAAGCCUAAGUAUUCUUUUUGGUUCAAUUUCCUACGAAUCUCAAAGAAAACUUGGACAAGAGGUCAUUAAAAAUCAUAUUAUUCAAACACACAAAAUUUAUCUAAAAAGUGUCAAACUAAGUUGGUUUUCACAUUUUUGCAUAAGAUAAGUGUCAUGAAAAAUGUAUGAAAAUUAGGUAUUUUUGGCACUUAUCUAGCAGUUCUGAUACGUUAUAGAGAUGCGCAGAGGCCUAGUGUGUCCCAUUCCCUCAGAAUGUAUUUCAUGAUAACUGAAAAAUAUGUAAUUAUCAGCCACGAUGUUAUUGAUGAUUCCACCAAGCUUGUCAGUGGUUAUGUCAUGGCUAACGUGUGCAUGAUUUAGUAUCUCCAUCAACUCCUUUAUGUGGGGCUCAUAACUCAUUAGCAGAGACAAAAUGGAUAUCCUGGUGAGAUUGCGGUUUAGUUUAUCCACGACCCUAUACUCACUCUGCUUUAUGAAUUUCAGAAAUUCACAAGCCUCCUCAUUAGAUACUUCCCCUUUAUCUCCAUACUUAUGCAAUAGCUCAUUCAGAUUGGCCACCAGUUCAUCUUCCACCGGGAUACACACUUUCCAUUUCCCUUUAUCCUUGGCUAGGACCUUUUCAGCAUAUGAGGGAACAUAGACACGUCCACUUAUGGUUAUUCAACUGUCCCCAACAACAUUGGUGACUUCUAGUUGUUGCACAGUUGUCUCUGAAUUCCCUCUACUAUAGACCCAUGGCACAAGUGUAUCUGUCUUAUAAGUGAAAGGUCAUGGUCUCUCUUAUGUUGCAGGCCUCAAAACAGACUUCAUCCUACUUAUGACUGGCACCCAUCGAGUUAUUUGUGGUUGUAAAUGAGCAUUAUCCGGAAUAUUUAGUACAGGUUCGUAACAAGUGAUUGAUAGCAUCCUAACCCUUCUCAUGUCCUCCCCACUUCUUGUAGUAGCAUUCAAAGUUUGAUACGAAGGUCCCCUCUCUAUUGUGAUCAAUCUCAUAUCCAACAUCUUUUGCAGUAACAUCUUGAAUUCUGGACACUCCUCUAAGGUGUGAUCCACUUCGCCAUGCAACUAACAACUAGCUGGAUCUUCAUCUUCCACCAGCCUUUCCACCAUUCCACAUUUGCACAUCUCCUGAAAAAUUACCCUCAUGGGUGUUUUUACCUCAUAUGCCUUCCAAACGAAUGUGUCACCCCGAGCCUCAUCUAUAACAUUCACACCCUGAUUACCAUGAUUUGGUAAUGGAUUCCUAUCUACAUCACGCACAAUGAGCUUGAACCGUAGUUGCUUUGCAUUGAUUAGGCAUUACAACUUCUGCUUUAAAGCCCGACAGUGUUUAAUGGAAUGGCCAAUGACCCUAGAGUGGUACUCGAAAGUAACAUUUGGGUUAAACCAGGCUCCGGGUGAUUCGGGAACUGUUCCUAUUAUAGGGCUUAUCAUUCUCUCCCUUUGAAGAGGAGAUUAUAGUUUAGCAUCGGGUAUUGGUAUUGGUAUCGGGUCGAAUUGUGGGCCUCUUCUUUCGGGGUGAGGGUAAUUGCGGUUUUGGGUUUGAUUUUGUUAGGAUUGUGUUUGGUUGUGGUUUUGGCGGGGUUGAUAGGGUUGUGUUUGGUUGUGGUUUUGGCAGGGUUGAUAGGGUUGUGUUUGGUUAUAGCUUUGGCGGUUUUGAUUGUUAUUAUUAUGGGCUUUGUAGCUGGGUUGUGUGGAAGGUUUGGAAUCAUAUGAAGCCUGGUAUUUGGAGUUUUGGGCUUUACAUCCCUUCGGGUCAGUGAAUACUGCAGUGAUUCUCCCUCUUUCUUCUUCAUAAAGUUGGGCUUUUUCCCGUACCUAAUUUAGAUUGAUCUCCUACUAACUUCCCACUCCUUAUGCACCCUUCUAUUUUCUCCCUCACUUUAAUAAGUGUAUUGAAGUUCGAUGCAACACUUCCCACCAAGUAGUCCUAAUAAGGUUCCUUCAAAGUGUCCACAAAGAUGGACAAAUGUUCUUCUUCCUCCAAUCUAGGUAUGACUUGUGACGCCAAAGCUCUCCAGCAUUGGGUAUACUCAUUAAAGCUAUCUUCUGAUUUCUUGGUCAUGCUCUAAAGUUGGGCCCUAUCAGGAGCAACAUCUUCAUUUUACUUAUACUGCUUCAUGAAGGCAUUGGAUAAACCAACGAAAGUUUUAAUAUAAGCCUUCUCCAACCGGAUGUACUAGCCCAUAGUCGCCCUGUCAGACUGCCUUGGAUGCAAUGAAUCAAAAGUUUGUCAUUUCCAUGGUGAGCUGUCAUCUUCUUGGCAUACAUAUGCAAGUGACUUUUUGGGCAAGAAGUACCGUCGUACUUCUUGAACUCAGGAGUUUUAAAUUUGGGUGGAAACACUACAUCUGGCACCAGACACAUCUCAAAUACAUUUUUUACAUUAGGAAAGUUUGUUCCCUCAAUAGACCUUAGUCUCUCUUUUAUAAGCUCCAGCUCUGCCUUCUCAUGGCUUGAUGAGUCAUCUGGGGUACCCCUGUUUAUAUUAGUUUUGGCCUGGUAGCUUGUGGACUUGCCUUUAUGAGGAAGAUCGUGAGUAGGAUCUUCGUCUUGCUCGUCAUCGUCUUCCUGAGGUGAUUGUUGUUCCUCUUGAUCAUCAGUUGUGUCUUCAUACGUUAUGACAACAUCCUUACGACGGUUGGCCCCAAUAACUGUAUUCGGACCCACCUUUUGUGUGGAUUGUGAUUGUCUGGUGCUUGACGCAGUGGUAUAUUCCUCUGAGCUUCAAGCCUUUUGCAUAUCCUUGAUGAUUUUCAUCAUCUGAUUCAUUUGCUCUUUGGUCUGCCAUCAACUUGGACUGCAAUCUAGUAUGAUACGGAUGCUUGGGAGUAAUGUUUGGAUGAUACCUGAACAAAACAAUGUUUUCUCAUUUAAAUGAAGAAAAGAAUGAUGCAUGCAAUAGUUUUUUUUAAAUUCCUUUUCAUUUGGAGGAUCGAUAUAUCAAGACGUUUCGACCAGUAGUUGGUGACCAUGAGGCGUGCCCCGUUGGCUCUUCCUGCGUUGAUGACAACUUUAAGUUUUGGAUUAUCGUUGCAUCUACAUUCAUUCUUUUAAUGUGGGUUACUAACAUUAAACAUCUUGCCCCUCACUUGGUAACUUGAGAGCGUACUCUACAAGGCCUUAUGCAGUUGAUGGCAAUCUAAGGGAACAAACAAAGUUUCGAACCUAGAUCACAUCUAAAUUCAAGUUGUUAUUAUCUCUCUCAAUAUGAUUUUUUGUGUGGUUCAUUGCAAUAAAAACAACCUUUGAUUAUUUACACAUAAUGAAUAAGAAUCUUGGUAGCAAUAAUCUUGGCUGCCUCGAAAGAUGAUCCUCUCUAUGACUUGUAGCUGUUAUGGAUGCAUGGUGGAGUUUUUGUGUAUCUUUCAGGAUUGCCUUGAGCUGACCUUCCUUCUUCUCUGUUUCAUCAAGUGCAAACUGAUAAUCUUUUAACUGUGCCCAUGCCUCAUUCUCAUUUUGUUGACUUUCAUGGAGGGCUUCUUGCAAUUGUUCACACUUUGCCUCUAGAUAUCUUUUAUCGGCUUGUGCAACAUUGAUAAUGCGAUUUCGAGCCUUCAUCUAUCGACUGAAGUCAGCUAGUUGGACAUCUUUUUCCUGUACAGACUUGAUCAGACAUUACUUGUUAGAUUGAGAGCACAUCCAAGCAUAAUCCUUUUUCGGGCUGGCUUCUUACUUUCUUAAUGUAGCAACGGUCUUAUUAAGCUUCUCUAUGGUUAGCUCACACUUCUCAAUUUUGCAUCGGGAUUCCUCUAGUUUUGCAUCAGAGAUUUUGAGCUGACUCUUUAACAAUUCAUUUUCUAAGGGACCAACUGGUUCACGGGGUGGAGAUCUUGGCAGGAUGGCUUCUCCUUUCCUCCUCUCACUUCGCCACAACUUAUAUUCUUCAUUGUAGAAAGCUAGAUGCUCUCCCAACUCAUUUUUCCAUAGAUGUGGAUGUUCUUCAAGGCAUUCCCUAUUGUGUCUAGGGUUUGUUUGGUGGUUUCGUUGUCGUUGUACCAGAUCACAAAUCCAUGCAAUUGCUUUUAAGGGACUAGCAUCAUGCCCCAUUUCAUCUGUCCAAGUACUAAAGCAAGGGUGACAGUAAUGUAUCCCUGUGGUCCCAUGAGAAGCAUAUUGGGAUAGCUUCCAUAUGAGUACUUGAUUUCAUCAUGCUUAUCAUACAUAGUGCAUUCAAUCCAAAAUUUCUAGGGGUGGCAUCCUUGAAUAGCGUCUCCCAAUCAGAUAGCUGCAUUUUUGUAUUUCUGAACCGACAUAGAGGAUUGAUGGUCCAAUCUGGAUAUUGAUGAUACUUGAACCUUGUCACCAUCCAUACACAAAGCAAUUGUGCACAACAUCUGAUUUUAGGGAUACCCUUUUCGAGACUUCUCUAGAGGGCGAGAAGAGUGUCUACUAGCACAAUAGGAACUAGGUUAACUCCAAACUUUCUGAAUUUGACUAGGACAUCGAUCGCGCAUUGCUCCACCAUAUCACUAACAAAAGGGAAGAGAAGUCUGCCAUAGAUUCCAAUGCAAAUGCUAGUUUACACAAAUUCCAAUCUUCUUUCUCCACCACUUGACCAAGAUGCUUUUUUGAAAAAACUCCACUUCAAUCCAUAACAAGGCCCUUGCUUGGUAAUGUGGGAUGCAUCUGGAUGAACACCUAUCAAUUCUUCAAUGAGACCUUCAGUAACACUUUGUGCGCCAGUGACAAAAUAUACCUUAGGUUUGCUCUCUAGUGGUAUGUCCAGGAGAAUGUCAUAUUCUUUAAUUGUUGGAGAAGCAUCUACAUUUGGAAACUCAAAACUCCGUAUGGAUGUAUUCCAAUAUUUUUCCAUAGCUCCCAUGGCAUCUAAAGCAUCAGCAUCAAUAGGAACGAGAAGGAGAUCUGCCAAUGUACCAGACUCCUUUGCAAACUGACUCCUAAUAUCUUUAGGGACUUUGGAGAGAAGCUCCACCAAAUGGCCUACAUCAAAGGUUUGAAAUUCGAACUUCACUUUAUUGUUUACUGAGAGAGUGUUGCUAGAAUCCACAAUUUUAGAAAUAGCCUCCAUGUCUUGCUAUACCGAAGAACCUUUAGCUGAAAAGGUGCGUGUUUAUUGAAUGUGAUUAAAAUUGUUUAUAUAAAAAAAGAUGAUGAAUGAAUAUGCAAUGAUACAUUCAGUGAUUUUUCUAUGAUUAAUGCAGUGAUAUAUGUAAUGAUUUAUGAUAUGAUUAAUGCAAUGACAUAUGUAAUGAUUAAUUUAUGAUAUGAAAUGGUGUAAAUCCCUCUUUUAGAGUGGUUGACCCUUUCUUGUGGGAUAAUGUAACCCAUUACAAUAUAAACUAAAUACCAUGUUAGGAUAGAUAUUCAUUAUAUUCCCAAGGCUUAAUCUAAGUUUUCAAAAAGUUGAAACAACUUACCAUAGGGCAUGGGGCCAUCAUUGGGAGUGAUGUUUAUAUUUUGGGGUGUAACCCCCAAAAUUUUGCAAAAUUUAUGUUAUCUUUUUUUGAAAGAAAAAUCUACCCUAGGGUGUGGAACCCUUUUGUGGGUAUGCAAUUAUACUACAAUAGCAAAAAUGAUGGAUUUUGUAAUUAUUUAGAAUGUUAAAUCUCAUUUUAUGCAUGUAUGGAUGCAUGAGGUUCACAUAAUUUGCUUCAAGUGUCCUACAUAUGGUAUACUUAUAGGAUUUUGGGUACACUAACGAUCACACAACCCUAUGGCAACGUAGUAAGUCUCAUUAAAGUGGGCUCGAUAAAGGCUCUAUACUUCUAGGUCACCAAAUUGCCUCCAAUUCUCGAAAGUAAGGAGUCCCAAUAUCGUAGUUUAGAAAUAGAAGGAGUCGAGCCCCUCGAGCGUCUAAAUCACAAUACCAAGACAAUUUGGGUGGUCCAUUAUGCUAAUACCAGGAGACAAGUCUAACACCGGUAAAGCACAUACCCCUCUUAUCUCAAUCUUAAACUCUAACAAUUCGGGUAUAGGGCGUAUGUGUGUCUAACUCAAGUGUACUCUAAGUGUGUGAGGAUGCGAAAUUUUUAAAAAAAUAAACUUCCACCCUAAAGUUACAUAAUACAUCGUGAGUAUAUACUAUAAUAAUAUUAAAUUAAAGCGAUAAAUAAAAAUUGUAUAAAAAUUUACCUCAUUACUAAUAUUUUUUUAUUAUUAAAAAUAAUAGGCAACGAAAAAUAAAAAAUGGGUAUUUAAAUCCAUAUAAUUAGCUACAACUGGGCCUGACUCUAAUAAAAAUUUCCCCAACAUAAUCGCCAGUUGUAGUGCCCUGCUUUUCGGUUAUGCGAUCUCUUAUAGUCGCCACUACAUUUGAUGGUUAAAAAUGUAGAAAAAUAUUUUAAGCCCAAUGACAUUGGGCUUUUGGAUUGUGAUAUCCAGGUUCGAGAGUCGAUUACGGAUCGAGAAAGGUAUUAGCACGUCGUCCGUCUGUUAUUAAACGAUACCCUUGCCAAUUGUAUGGUUUAAAUACCCUUAGUUUAUUUAAAAUUAAACUGUAUAAAACCAAAAUAUUUAAUUUUUUAUUUUUAAGUCUGACAAGAUUAUUUGCUGCUAUGUAUUUCUAAACAUUUUAGGAAAUCAAGACUAUGUACUUCUAAUUUUAAAAAGGUUUGUUGGUAAAAUAAUUAACUCCUUAAAAAGGGUGAAGAAACAAAAACUAAUGUCCGCACCGUAUCUCAUUUUAAAAAGGUUUGAAAAUAAUAAUGAUAUAUUUUUUGGUUUUUAUUAUUGAUUUAAGAAUUAAUCGAAUGAAAAGAAGCAUCGUAACGCAACCGUUCAAGGAUGAUAUAAAGACAAGAAAUUUUAAUACGACAUGCCUCCAUCCCUUGAUUAUUCCCAAAAGAAAUUAUAUUUUUUAUUAUAAACAUUGGUAAUGUUAUAUAAAAGCAUUUUUAAAUCAAACAAUUUUUGUUAAAAUAAUUUUAAAUUAAAAAAUGUUUUCACCAUUUUUUAAUAAUAUUUUUUAUUUAUUUAAUUAUCGUAGAAAAUUAAUUUAAUUGGUCAUUAAAGAUCUAAAAAAAAUUGAUUGUUGGUUAUCAUGUUCCUAAUCAUUGUUUUUACAUAAAUAAGAAUAAAAUUAAAUUUAGUACUUAUUUUUUGUAAAAAAAUUUGAUUUAGUAUUUUAGGUUACUGUCACAAAAAAUAAUAAAUUUUCAUUGAUGAAAUAUAAGCAUUAUCAUUUUAAAAAAAAGAACUAAAUUGCAAUUUAGAAUAGAAAUAUAAGAAGAUUAUGUAAUUGUGUGGGUUUUAAUCUAAUGCUUAAGGAAUUAGUGUACUUGGACACGUGUUGUGUAGCUAUUGGCUGAAAAAAUCAGUUGUUUACAAUCGCGCCAUGUGGCAGACGCUGGUAGGCCAUGUCUGGAGGUGCACUGUAACACCUCAACAUUUAUUUCAUAAUUUUUAUAUUUAAUGUCUUGGAAAAAUGGGUAAAACUUAUUAUUUUUUCUUUUAUGUAACAUAUAACUUACAAAUCUUUUUUUCCAUUUUAUCUUUUCUCUUUCAAGACUUCACAUUUUCAAACCUUUAUGAAAAUAAUUUCUUAAUGCUUAAAAUUUAAUUGAACGAAACACAAUUAUUUUCUAAAUACUUCUCAUUAAUCAAUUCUUGAAUUUGUAAUACGUACAUCAUGGUUUACAAAAGACUAAAAAUAAAAAUAAAAAUAAAAUAAUGUCAGGGGCGUUGGCAUUACAAAAGUACCCUACAUAGGUUCCCCAUCAAAAGAAAGAAAGGAGCUCCUAGACCGGUGGUGCACUGGAAAUCUCACUCGAGUCUUCUUCGAUCUCCGAGUCUGAAGAGAUCUCUAUAACAUCCACCAAAUCCUCUAUGAAAAUUAACUUUACAUAGUCAUCGUCCUUGUCCUCCACCACCUCAUAUGCUGCCCAAUCCAUCGAAGGGAAUGGGGUGUAACCCCUAGGCCCCGAUGAAAUACCAUGCCUGCUACUCCUUCCGUCCCUCUUGGCGUUGAGUCAGUAGAUGAGAAUCUCGGUUGGGGCCAGGUCCUGACAACCCCCGAUCUGCCUCGUGCCUCAGCUGGUGCGGAUGGACCGACAGGUAUGGACCUUCGCUCUGGUAGGGUGAACGAUGCUUCCCGAACUGUGUAAUGUGUCAGGAAAUGCAACACAGAGCAAUCACAUACGAGAUCCAAUUCCAGGUCGCAGGGACCAGUGUAGGUGUAUCUGUUUCCUUCAACGCUCCAUGCCCCCUCCUGGGAUAUGGUAAAGCGGUAGCCCCUGAUCAUCGCUGAUCUGUCCAUCUAAACAUGGAUUUAUACGAGUACACCAGAAAGAAAGAUAGUUUGUAAAAUAUCUAAUGAAAAACUUAUCAUUGACGUCGUGGAAUUACACAAAAUAUCACCCCAAGACAAAGAACAAGUACAGAUAUAUCAUAUGAACAUAGACACAUGUAUUAAUGAUAGAUGAAGUAUAAAACUUAUGAUUUUAGAAUCAAUAUCGAUAAAUACCAUGUAUACAUGCUAUGCAUAUAUCCACCAUCCUUACACCAUUAUCCUCCCAAUAACUAUUCGGAAAUAACCGAGAGUGCAGGUCCCAUAACAAGUCGAUUUGAUCGCACCAAAAUUUAUUCCUCGCAAUGAUAUAUAUAUGAUCGACCUGUUCCAAUGGAACUGUCCAUUUCAGUACGGUUUCGUAUCAAACACUUCUUGGGCAUCCCUCUCAUCGAUCGUGAUUGCAAAGAGGGGUUUUCAGAGAUUGUCUAGUUUGCACUGUGAGCAUUGUUCGAUCCAAAAAAAUACCUCAUCCAGGAAUACACGAGACUCGUCUCACCUAGACUCUCCCUCAAGUUUUGCUGACGAAUCACCGCCAUCGCCGUCCCUCUCAACAUCUCGGGGCUCGUUCAUAUCCUAUAAAUUUCCUCUCCACUACUUCAUUAUUCACAAUGAAUAUUGCACUAACCGAAGUUAGAAAAUUAAAUCUUUUAAUCCAACUUUUAUAACGAUCUGCACAUCCUAAAACAUGUCCCAUAUGGAAUGCUUCUAGUGGGACCCGAUCUUAACAUUUAAAUCAUAGAGAAUAAACCUCAGCACCACUACGAACCAUCAGUGAAUCACCAUAGACGGCUCUUAAGCUAAGCUCUUACGGUCAGACGAUCUCGCUGCGUGGGCAUAAUAUAACACUUGCGGUCCUCGUCCUUAACCAUGCAAUUCUUUACAUACAUCACUUUAGAUAUGGCAACUCUUCUUUGUAUCAUUUCCAAGAAUUUCAUAUAAUUAUUCAUCUUUACAACAUAUACUUAUUGAAAGAAUAUUAUCUCCAAUAAAGGUGUUUUAGGUUUUAUUGAAUAGGAUUGGAAGUGAAUGAAUUCCUGAUGGCAAAAAAUGCCAUUAGAGUCUCACACAUGUGAGUGUUAUCGUUCAGACGUCUUUAGAAGUCUUGUCUGUAUAGAGCCAUCUCGCUCAAGCGAGAGCUAUCUUGCUCAAGCGAGGGAAUCACCAAUUUUAUAAGGCACUUGUAGGUCAAGUGAGAGUUGUCUCGCUUAAGCAAGAAAAUAACCAGUUUUCUUUGUGCAUAUUUCAGCUCAGGUGAGAGCUGUCUUGCCCAAGCGAGAAAACCCGUUUUCUCUGGACACUUAUUGCUCAAGUGAGAGAUGUCUUGCUCAAGCGAGAAAAGCCUUAAACUUAGUUAAAUUUCUUUUCUCAAUGAAAAGUUUUCUCAUUUAUAACACAUGUUUUUAAGCCUUGAAUUUAACAAUUAUCUCAUAGAUAUAAUUCGUAGACCAGUUAUUCGAGCAAUAUUAAAUAGGAAUAAUCAUGACAUCUUAAUACAUAAACAUAGCCUAACAUAAUUCGGCAUAAGAAAUAUUGCUAUACUUAAUCCAAACAAAACAGACAAUUGAUUGUACAAGCUUUCUUAAUACCCAAGACAACGCCAAACUUGUGAGGGAGUUUGGAGGUCCUGACGCAUAUUCGGACACCACUCUGUCACGAUGUUUUCUACCUCACCUGAGUGUGUCAUGCAGAUUGUUUCCUCAAUUCCAGGUGAGCUUAAUUCGUCGGCUCUCUUCUCGAACUCUUCAUCACGCCAAAAUCAAAAUAACACUAAUUAGGUCACUUUGAUAAUUAUUAUUCUGACAAAAUAACAUUUUACACGAAAAUAAAACUUCCGAUCUAAAAUGCACUUAAUCGCUUUCAUCCAUCCGAUUCAAGGUUCGGUAUUUCUUGAAUCAUCAUUUAUCAUUGAAAGUCUUACAACACAACGACACUUUCUAAAGUAAAAUUUUAACAAAACUUAUAACGAAAUUAUGUCACAAUCUGUGGAUAUACAUCAGGUUAGUUCCUAGGAAAGAUAGGUGGGUCGUAAAGACACACAUAAAACUCAUCUUUUGCAAGUAAAACAUUUUUAUUAAGAUUAACCUUUUUAAGUAAGAUUAUUAAGCUAAACUUACCAUUUUAAAGUAAGUCAACUUAAACAAAAUCAAUACUUUUAAAUCAAGACUUUUUAAGUCAAUCUUACCACUUUAAAGUAAGCUAACUUAACCAAGAUCAACACUUUUAAAUCAUUUUUCUAUCUAAGACUUCACAACACUUUAGGUUUAUAAAGUCAAGAGUUUUUAGGUCAAUCUCCUCAUUUAAAGUAUGCUACUAAAGAAAACACAACUAAUUUCAUGAUCAUCUCAACACCUUCAAAUUUUAGGAUAACCUUAAGGGUUAAUAGGUGUUAAUGUCAUAGUCAUGAACUAUAAAUCAUAAGUUAACACUUUUACUACUAUACUUUCCAAAACUUCAUAACACUUUAAGUUUAUGAAGUAAAGACUUUAAUAAAUCAUCUUUUAUCCCAAAUCAUUACUUUAAAUUGGAAAUGAAAGAAUAACAUAUGCUAAACAACCUUUUACACAUAAUACCUUUUGAAAAUUAAUUGUUUUCAACAAAACUCAUAAACAUUUUGAACUUUCAAGAAUAGACAUAAACUUUUCUUAAACACAAUAAAGGUUCAUUUUAUGACCUUGUCCAAAGAUAUAGUUUUUCCAUCUAAGAAUAAGGAAUAAAUUUUAAGUUUUGCAUAAGUCAAAAACUACACAAAGGUUCAUAUGAUUUCAUUAUCAUCCCCUUUAGUCAUUACUUACAAAAUAUUUGAAGAAAACAAACAUAAACUCAACUCCAUGAAUAACAUACUAAGAGAUCAUGAUUUUCUCAUGGUGUAUGUGGAGCAAAAUGGAGAAGAGAAAAAGAGAAAGAAUAUCUUAACUUUCUUUAGGAGAAUUAGUGUAAAAAUGAGAAGAUGGGGUGAGGUAUUUAUAGGAGAGCCUCAGCCUCUCUCAAAUCUGAAAAUUAAUGAGAGGUAAUCUAGCUUUAGGCUAGCUUAGGUGAUGUGUCUAAUGGUGGUGGAGUGAGGAGAUUUGGUGAGUGAUUUAGGGGAUUAUGGAAGCUUUGACUGUGCUUGUUUGACAAGUCAUUGACCCAUGAUGUGAUUAAUACUCUGACUUGAUUGAUGCAAUGUGAUUUCGCAAUUGAAGUCAUGCCCGACUAUUACUGGGUAACUUCGUCCGGAAAUAUAUGAUCUACCGAUUUAGGUUUUUUGCUUGAAACAUCGAAACUUGAAUUUCGAGGAAAAAAUACCUAGAAAUGAGUUACAGACAAAGUUGGUGUCUAUUUUGACUAGAUAUAAUAUUUCGAAGUCAACAACAUAAUUGGAAUUUGAUUAUGAGUUACGGAACUCAAAAACUAAGGGAAAAUUCGAUAAAACGACCCAAAAUCGUCUCAGAAACUUUUAUUCUCCAAAAAUCUUGAAAAAAUAGGGAAAACAAGAACAUUAUAAUACAAGACUAAAACUCAGCUGAGGUUUAGCUUAAAACAUUACUGAUUAAUUUCUAUAAUUAAUUCAUUAACCACUAAUUACUUAAUUAAACGUGCUCAGAAAAACACGCUGUUACAUGCACCGUGUUAGCAAUGUACCUGCACGCCAUUGGAUAGGGGACUGUGGAGGCAUUGAUCAGGUGCAGGUGAACACACAAGUAGAGCGUGUACCGGCUUCGUGCCGUGACCAGAUUUGCUAAGGAAUAGGGUGUAUCGCGUUGAUGAUGAGUGCGCUUGUCCUAGAAUGAAGGUUAGGGGAGGAUUCUGUGUGACGAGCCAACGCGAAUGAGAGUGAGCCCACCUACGUGGCGUGAUCUCAAGUGUGCCUCACGUUGGUCAACAGGAUGGUCUCUACAUCCAAUGACACUAAACACAAACACAUGUUACCACUAUUAAGAUUGACCUCACUGGAUCGCUUUUACUCUUUUGGGCAGAAUUUUUCUCUGAUUUUUGAAAACCCAUUAACCCUACAAACCCAUUAACCCUAAAAUUUGCUAAACUGAAAAUCUUUUUGCUAACCGACAUCCCCAUUUUUUGUGGGAUCUAAACCACCCACCAAGUCAGAUUUGACUUAGUAUUUUUUUAAUUAUUUUUUUACCUUUUCAUUUAAUAAAAGGCAUUUUAAAUUGUUUUAUGUAUUUACUUAUUUAUAUAUCCAAAUUGAAUGAUAAAAAUAUAAAAAAAUAUUUUCAAGUAUGUUUAAAUUAUUUAAAAUUAUAUUUUUGAAAAAACCUAAAAAUAAAAUCAUUUUAUUAUUUAUUUGCAUUUAAAUGGGAUAUUCAAAAUAUCUCAUGUAUUUUAUUUACCUAUUUUUUAUAAAUUCGAAUUUAAUUAUAAAAAUUAAUAAAAAAUCUUUUUAUUUAUCUUUUAUUUAUUUUAUAAUAUAAAUUCGAAAAAAAUGAAAAAAAUUAUUUUUAUCCCCGUUUUUUGGAAAAAUGAGUAUAGGUUUUUUUAGGGGCCCAAUUUAAUUUAAUUCUUUUUCUUAUUUUUAUUUAUUAUUUUUAUGAAAAUGGUAUAGGUUUAAAGAAACUUAUUUGAAACUAAUUAAUUUGAGUGCAAACAGAUCGAGCAUUACAAAAAGGAUUGUUCCAAUGAAUGGAGUCCUAGCAAGCCGGUGGAGAAAGAUGGAGUAUCUACGUCUGCAAAUAUUGCAGAGAAAGAUGACUCUGGUUACAAUAGUGAAGUUGAUAUACCAUCUGUAUCAUCAAAUCAUAGUGCAUAUGAAUUGAUACUUGACAUUGGUUGUUCCCACCACAUAAUGCCAAACAGAGAAUGGUUCACCACAUAUAGAGUAGGCAAUUUUGGUUUCGUGUAUCUCGGAAAUAAUUAAGCAUGUGGAAUUAUUGGUAUGAGAGAAAUCAGAAUUGUGAUGGAUGAUGGUGUAGUGAAGACGUUAUGUGAGGUUAGGCACAUACCAUAUUUGAAGAAGAAUUUGAUUUCUUUGGGGACAUUCUAGGCCAAAGGAUUUAACUAUAGAACUGAUGGGUACAUUGAUAUUCUUCGAGUAUGCAUAGGUGCUCUAACUGUGAUGAACGAUAAGAGGACUGCUGGGAACACUUACAAGUUGUUAGGGACACGAGUUGUAGAUGGAGUUGUUGGAGUGGCUGAAGAGAUUUCAGUACAUUUAGACUAUGGUGCUACAAAAUUAUGGCUCAUGUGUUUGGGUCAUAUUACUGUGUUUGGCGUGAUAGGACUAUGCAAAAGAGGACUAUUGACGGGAAUCAUCAAAUGCAAGCUAGAUUUGUGCAAGUAUUGUGUGCUUGGAAAACAGACACGAGUUAGUUUCAAGGUUGGCCAACACUGGACUCAGGGCAUUCUAGACUAUGUCCACACUAAUAUAUGGGGACCCACUUAGGAACCAUCCCUGGUAGAAAAAUCAAAUAUAUGAGGUCAGAUAAUGGAUGGAGUACAAAUACUCACAGUUUCAUAAAUUUUAUGAGGAACAUGGCAUUCAGAGGCACUUUCUAGUGAAGAAAACUCCUCAACAAAUGGUGUGGCAGAGAAGAUGAAUAGAACUCUUACAAAGAGGGCAAGAUGUAUGAGAUUGAAUGUUGGACUUUCCAAAGGAUUUUGGGCAGAGGCACUUAGUAUAACAUGCUAUGUCAUCAAUAGAUCACCACAGGCUUCAUUGGAUGGUAAAGUUGUAGAAGAAGUAUGGACAGGUAACCUAGUCAAUUAUAACAUGUUACACAUAUUUAGUUGUCAUGCUUAUGUACAUGUACCCAAUGAUGAACGAUCUAAACUUGAUCCCAAGUCAAUGAGGUGUAUCUUCAUUAGAUAUACCAAAAGUGUGAAGGAGUUCAAGUUCUGGGAUCUAGUUUCCAGAAAGGUCGUGUUGAGCACAUGUGCAGUUUUGAUGAAGAUUUCAUGCUAAAAUAGUCAGUUCUGAUAGAGGUGCUUAUGCCAAAUGGAGAGACUAUAGGAUCAAAUAUGAUUCCAGUGAGCAAUGAAAUGGUUCAGGUAAAUAAAGGCAAGGAACCAUACACUAGUUGAAGUCAAGAUCAUGAUGAUUCUCAAGCGGAAAGUUCAGGUGCGUAGGAGUAUCUACCUGCUACAGAUAGGGAUAUGCAUCAUAUCAAACCUCUAGAGAGAUAUGGCUUUGAGGAUAUGGCUUCAGUUGCUCUCCAUAUCAGUUCAGGAGAUCCAUGUAGCUUUCUAGAGGCUAUAAACAGCAAGUAGAAAGAACAAUGGAUGGGUGCCAUGAUGGAGGAGGUCUAGGUUCUACAUAAGAACCAAACUUGGGAGCUUGUCCCAUUUCCCCAGGCAAGUGUGCAGUUGGGUGCAAGUGGGUGAACAAGAGGAAGUCAAUAGUAUUAGAAGAAGAAGGGGAAAAGUUCAAGGCUCAUCUUGUAGUGAAAGGGUAUUCACAAUAGAAGGGGAUUGGCUACAAUUAGAUUUUCUCCCCGAUGGUUAAACACACUUCUACCAGGAAGUGCUUGCCUUGGUAGCUAGCUAGGAUAUGCACUUAGAACAGAUUGAUGUGAAGAUUGCCUUCAUCCAUGGUGGAUUAGAGGAGAAACUUUACAUGACACAACCAGAAGGAUUCAGUGUAACAGGACAGAGUCACUUGGUUUGCAAGUUGAAGAAGUCUCUAUAUGGGUUGAAGCAGUCUCCCAAAUAGUGGUAUAAGCGGUUUGACACAUGUUGAAGCUUGGUUACAAGCGUUGUGAGUGUGAUUGUUGUGUUUAUGUAUGAAGCCUUGAUGAUGGUUCUUUUAUUUUUCUGCUACUUUAUGUUGAUGAUAUGUUGAUUGCUGCUAAUCAUUUGAGUGAUAUCAAUGAGAUGAAAGUCAUGCUAGGUAAGGAGUUUGACAUGAAAGAUUUAGGGGCUGCUAGGAAGAUUCUUGGGAUGGAGAUUCACAGGAAUAGGGGAGCUAGAAAACUAUUGCUCUCCCAACAAAGCUCUGUUGAAUAUAUCUUAAAGAGAUUUGAUUUGAGAAAUGCUAAAGUAGUAAGCACUCCAUUGACAAAUCACUUCAAGCUUUCCCUAGAUCAGUGUCCAAAGAUAGAUGAAGAAAAGAAGUACAUGUCAAAUGUUCCAUAUGCUAGUGCAGUGGAUUUCUUGAUGUAUGUUAUGGUUUGUACUAGACAUGACUUGGAGUUAGUCAUGUAUGCAAGUACAUGUCGAAACCAGGGAAACAUCAUUUGGAAGCAGUCAAAUGGAUUUUCAGAUAUUUGAAGGGGACUACAGGUCUUGGUAUCAUGUUUGGAAGUCAACCGAGUAAGUCUUCAAUUAUUGGUUAUGUUGAUUCAGACUAUGUAGGAGACUUGGAUGAUAGAAGGUCCACAACAGGGUUUGUCUUCACCCUUGCAGGUGGACCAAUUAUGUGGAGAUCAUCAGUUCAGUGUGUUGUUACUUUGUCCACAACUAAAGUAGAGUACAUGAUAGCUAGUGAAGCUUCUAAGGAAGCCUUAUGGCUUAUGGGGCAGUCCCACCCCCGCUGCAUUGUGACAGUUAGAGUACUAUCUUCUUGGUAAAGAAUCAGGUGUAUAAUGCUAGGAUCAAACAUAUUGAUGUGAGAUUUCACAAGAUUGGAGAUUUGGUAGCUGAUAUGUUAACCAAGUCGGUUACCGUGGACAAGUUCAGGCAUUGUUUAGGCUUGCUGAACAUUCACUCAUGCUAGACUAUGGAGCGCCCCCAACCCUAUGACGGAAGAUGAAGAUUGAUGAUAUUCACCAAGGUAGAUAUUGUUGUGCAAUGACUCAUAUUCUCUAAUAACAACAAUACAAGUUAUGGGUUUGAGCUGAUAUAAAGGGGUUGAGGUAGAGAGUUAUAUAUUUAUGUUAUGUAAACCUAAUGUAACAAGGAGAAGAAUAGUUAAACACAAAUCCUAAUUCUCAAAUAAUAUAUAGCGGUAAUCUCUCAACGCUCCUAGGGACGUAGGCACAAUUGGCAGAACCUCGUUACCAAAUAUUUUGUGUUAUUCACUAUUCUCUAUACUCUUUGACAUGAUUCUGAAACACAAACACAACUUUAGCACUUUUAACAAUUUGAACAUACUCCUAUAGAAACACAUACUCUUACUGAUGAAAUAUAACAUGAAGUGAAUCACAAUAUUUAUAGAUGAACAACCAUUAAUAUUUCAACAAACGAUGAGACGCAUAAUCACUCAACCAUUAAUAUUUCAACAAAUGAAGAGACACAUAACCACUCGACCAUUAAUAUUUCAAAAAAUUAAGAGACACAUAACUACUUCACCAUUAAUAUCUCUGGCAUUUAAAACGUCGUAUAAAAUCAACAUGUGUAAUUAAGAAAGCGCUUUCUAUCAAAUGUGUAAUUAACUUGUUACUAUGUAAUCUUCAACAUCGCUUUCUUAUUUAUGCGCUCUGGAAUUUAUUCACAUUAACAAUGCUUUCUACCAAAUACGUUGUUAAACAUAACUCAUUCAAGCCGGCGCUAACGUUACUGAUGUUCAAACUUAUUCACCUUAAGAAUUGUUAAGUAGUAUAAAGCAGUGUUAUAAAACUCGGCUUGGAUCGGCCAGUCCGAUCGGUUCAACCAAGAACCGAGUAUCUAACCAGUUAGAGCAUUUCAUCUAACCGGUUUUGCAUCAAAUGUGAUUGAUUUCAUUUAACUCAACAAAUUUAUGCCUAAAAUCGGUGACGCAGAUGGCCGGACAGGUUGGACAGCCCGAGUUAAUAAAAAAAUAAUUUUAAAAAACAAUCAAAACACGUCAUUUUGAGAUGAAAAAAGUCAAUUGUUUUAAAUUUAUUUAUAGUUAUGUUUGUCAUUUGUUAACAAAAUUUUCAUUGUUUAAUUAAAUUUAAACUAAAUGUCAGUUUAGUAUAAUUAAAUAAUAGCAUAUAUGUUGUUUGACGAUAUUUUCCUCCUUAUUUAUGACAUUCAUAGUAGUAAAAUCUUACUUGUUUGUUGUUUAAUGAGGUAUGAUAAUGUUUUUAAAUUUGAAGUAUAGAGUUAUUAAAUAAUGUUAGCAAAUAUUAUGAUUUAAAUAAUUGUUUAAUGAGGUAAAAAAUUUAAUGAGGUAUGAUGAUGCUUUAUGUUCUUCUUGUAAAGGGAAACAUGUUUGGAGAAUGUUGUGGUUUGCUGUUAUUUAUUCUGUGUGCAUUAUGAGGAAUGAAGUCAUUUCUAAGGGGGAACACCUAGUUAUAUUCACAUAUUGGAUUUGAUUCAGGUUAUAUAUUGUUUAUGGCUUUCUAAUUUCGUUUGUGUAAAAUCCGUAUCUUUUACACAAUGGUGCCUUGCAUCUUCUUCUUGUAUUAAUCUAGUUUGUAACCUGUAACCGAGUUGGUAUCCCCUGUGCUCUUUAUAAUAUUGAUCUAGUAGUAGGAGUUAUCACACUGUAUUUUUUGUUAAAAUGUGCAAAAAUUUCUAAUCCCUAUUUGGAGAUAACCGUUAUUUUAAAUCAAAGAUUUGAAUUUGUGAGUCGAUUAUGAAUCACAAAAAGUAUUAGCACUUUUUCCACUCAUACAUGGAUAAAAUUUUACCUUAAAAUUGUUUACAGAGGUAGAAAACUUAUUUCUUUCUUUCUUUAGUUAUAGAGGUAGAAAACUUAUUUAUUUUAUUAUUGUGGGAGAUGAGACUUUAUUUUGCUCCUACGUAUCUAUGUUAGUAAUGUUAUUGUUUUAAAAUUUAUUAAUUUGAAAAAAUAAUUGCUCAAUUACUUUUUUAUUUAUUUUAAGAGAGUGAUAUAUCGUAAUAAAUAAUGGUCAUUCAACAGCGCAAUUUUGAAAGACGAUGUUGAAAACGAGGUAGAAGAACAUUGACAGUGCAUACUAAAAAGCAAGUGUUGUCAAUGUGUGUAACUUCAACAGCGCAUUCUGGACACAGAGUUGUUUAACAUGAGUAACGUUAGCGCUGACUUGAAUGAGUUAUGUUUAACAAUGUAUUUGAUAGAAAGCGCUAUUAAUGUUAAUCAAUUCCAUAACGCAUAAAUAAGAAAGUGUUGUUGAAGAUGACAUAGUAACAUCGCUUUUUUAAUUAUGUGCUGUUGAUUUGAUACGACAUUUUAAGUUUAGAGAUAUUAAUGGUUGAGUGGUUAUGUAUCUCUUCGUUUGUUGAAAUUUUAAUGGUUGAGUGGUUAUGCGUCUCUUCGUUUGUUGAAAUAUUAAUGGUUGAGUGGUUAUGCGUCUCCUCGUUUGUUGAAAUAUUAAUGGGUGCUCAUCUAUAAAUAUUGUGGUUCACUUCAUGUUAUAUUUCAUCAGAAAGUGUUAAAAGUGUUAAAGUUGUGUUUCUAUUUUAGAAUCAUGUCAAGGAGGUCUUUAACAUCUUUUGAUUUGGCAAAAUGACCCAUAUUUCAGAAGGAAAGUGAUUGUUAUACAAGAUUUGUGUUAGAUGAAGAUUUAAUUUGUAAAUUAUUUAGUUCAUUGAUCUCUUUCAAUUCACUCAGGUCAAUGAUUUCCCUCAUUGAAAUCUUUUGAUUUUUAAAAAGGGCCCAAAUUUCACAAGAAAAGUGACUCUUAUAUAGGAUUUGCGUGAGAUGAAGAAUUAUUUUGUAAAUCAUUUAGUUCAUUGAUUUCUCUCAUUCGAUCAGUUCAUUAAUUUCCUUCAUUGAAAUCUUGUCAAUGAGGUCUUUAACAUCUUUUGAUUUUCCGAAAGGGCCCAGACUUCAGAAGGAAAGUGGUUGUUAUACAAGAUUUGCGUAAGAUGAAGAAUUAAUUUGUAAAUUAUUUAGUUUAGUGAUUUACUUCAUUCGGUUCAUUGUAAUCUACCAAAUCAUUUAGUUCAUUAUAAUGUAUUUUACCUCUUUGAAUGAAAAAUGAACAAUUAAUUUGGAUGUUAAUUUUAAUUUUUUUGUUAUUUAUUUGAAUGAUUAUUUUCUUUAAUAUUUUUGCAGUUCCAUAUUAAUAAAAACAAUAAAUAAAUUAACAAAACUUAAUAAACACAAAAAAUAAAUUAACAAAAAUUAAUGUUUAAUAUUUUUGCAGUUUCAUAUUCAUAAACACAAUAAUAUAGUAAUAUACUUAAUGUCAACUUCAUGUUAAUUAUUAAUGUACAUUCAUGUUGCAUAUAUUGUGAGUCGUAAUAUAAAAUGUUAAUUUAACAUCACAUAAUUAUGAAUACGCUGUUAAUUUGGAAAAUGAGUUCAGUUUAACAACGCAUAAUUAAUAUAGCACUGUCAAUAUAUUCUAUUCAACAGUGCAUAGUUCAGAUAACUUUGUCAAUUAGAUUCUAUUCAACAAUGCAUAGUUGAGAUAGCGCUGCCAAUUAUAUUAUAUUCAACAAUGCAUCAUCCAGGAAGCGUUGUUGAUGUGUUUAUGAAAAUGAGUAGUAAACAACUGGAUACAUAACAACAGCGCAACCCUUAAGAAGCGUUGUUGAAGAUGUCAAUACAACAGCGCUAUCGUUAAUAUUCGUUGUUGAAGAUGUCAAUACAACAACACUAUCUUUAAUAUGCGCUGUUAAAUUGUAGAUACAGUUUAAAUAUCUAAAACAUGAAUUAGUUCCCUCUACGCUCUCAAACUUAAUCGAAAAGAAAUCCUCAUACUCUCAACAAACCCUCAUACUCUCAUAAACCCUCAUACUCUCAUAAACCUUAAAAAACAUCAUCAAUGGCUUCCCAUAGUAGCGAUCAUGGUUCUCACAGUGGUGACGAAGUUACACCGACUCCACAAGACAAGCAAAUCGUUGUUUAAAAAUGAACUCCACGUGGAAUGACUUCCAUGAAGAAUGUCAUUCGGUCAAGAAGUAAGGAUGUGAAGAUAGAAGUUCAAUGGAACUUUAAAGGCCAACCAUUAAACUCGAAGGGUGCCAACUCAUUGGUUAGCUACAUUGGGGUUGUGGUUAGGCAGAAUAGGAAGCUAAUAUUCAACAAAUGCAGUGAUGUAGAAAAUAUCGUGAAGGAGUGAUGUUUUCAUGCAUUUUACGUAUAUGUUACGUUUUCAUACAAUGUACGUAUAUGCAUGUGUUUGCAUGCAAUAUUGUUAAUGCAUAUGUGUUUUCAAAGCACUUUUGAUGUUGGUGAGGAGCAUAAGGGUUAUAUCCUUAAAUCGGCUGGCAAGGCUCUCCAACAAUUCCGAACUGAUGCCGAAAAAUUACUCAGAGAUGCUGAUGACAAUGUCAACCUAAAACCUCCAACUAAAUAUGCAAAUAUCGUUGAUCAAGAGGAUUGGAAGACUUUUGUCACCCUACACACACAAGACGAGUCUUUCUUGGUAAAAUCAUAUUCUUUGUAUUGACUUUUGUAUAUAUGCUUUUGAAUAUACAUAUAUAUGAUUGUAGAUAUUAAUGUUGUUUGUUUUUUCAGAAAAUAAGUAAUGAAAACUGCAAGAGGGCAUCCAAGCCUUUAUAUCCAUACCGAGCUUCUCGAGCGGGGUAUAGAGGAAUCGAGGAAACAAUUAUAAGUAUUGUUAAUUUGUAAGUACAUUAUUGGUUAUGUUUUGUAUGCAUAUAUAUCCAAUUACAUUAUUAUUGGCUAUGUUUUGUUAGUUGGAAAACAAAAGCGAUACACCUAUGACUCCACAUGUAGUAGAACUCGAUGUUCUAUGGGUGGAUGCCUGUAAGAACAAGGAUGGUGUCAUCGACAAUAAGCAAGUUCAAGAAGCGGCAAGACGUGUUGUAAGUGCUCAUUUUUUAAUUAUACUUAAUUUCCAUACUUUAUUUAGCAAAAUGUGAUUAAUUAACAUUAAGUUUUUUCUUGAUUUGUCAGGUUGUCCUAAAAAAAGGCACAGCCUGAUAGUCACAUAAUACUUAACAAGGCACUAGGACUGCCUAUCUACCCUGGCCGUAUCCGAGAUGCAGGAUUAGGGGUUAUCUAGCAAACAUUUGUACCCCAUCCAAAGCAUGCAACCAAAGCCCAAAUGAGCCAGGUUCAAAAUCAGUUGGAUGACCUCAUGCAAUGUUUCAACGAAUUUGAGCAAUCAAUGAAGGUGAAGGAAGUUGAUUGGCAACGACUAGCUAGUGUUGUUAGUACUGUUCCUUCAACCAUCAAUGAGAGUUGCACACCUGCACCUUAAAAUAUUCUCAUUCUGAUUCUCAUUCUUGAGGUAAUUUAGUUAAAUUAUUUUAAUUAGUUAUCGUAUUUUAAUUUAGUCAUUAACUAAUUAUAUGUUUUAACUUACGUACAGGGAAUCAGUUCUUCCAAACUUUUCCUAGAUACCCCAACUAGUUGAGUAGUGGGUGUUGGGAAAGUGCACAAGUCGACCGAUGUUAUGUUGCAUCAUCGUAUUCCACGCCAUCAUUUGAAGGUCUCGAUUGAUGUUGCAAUCGAUGAUUAUGCAUUGUUGCCAAUUCCUCUCGAUGAGGAUAUCUUCACAAUUGGAGGGGCUAUGGGCACUUUUGUGGCUUGGCUAGUAGACCUUGUACAAGUAAUUCCUUCUAAGGUAUGAUUUUUCACCUUAUGCUCACUCAUAUUAUAUAUAUAUAUAUAUAUAUAUAUAUAUAUGUUCAUCUAUAAUUGAUAUGUUUUUUAUUGAAUAUUUCAGGAAAAUGUACAUUUCACCCGCAAUAGCACCCAAAAGACUAAGCCAUCUUUGGGGGAUGUGAGCUCGAUGCCCAUCUACUGGGGAUGUGAGCUCCAAGAAGAUUACCAACUACUAUACUCAGUUGUUUGAGCAUGUACAUAAGUUGGGAGAUGAUAUAAUAACUAUAUCAAUUUCCAAGGAAGUCUUCGGGGAUAAGAUUGAUGAAUAUGUUGGCAUCAAUGAAGUCCAGGAUGUAUAUAAACAUGAAUGGAUAGGUGCAACUGCAGUAUGUACAUAUAUGAGGUAAAUUAUGUUUUCUUAAUUUCUCACUUUUGUAAUUAACUAACAUUUGUAAUUCCUAGUUAUUUAGUAAUUAAGUACAUUUUAUAUUGUUUAGUGCGGUGAGAGUUUACAGAAGCUGUAAUCGUCCUAGAAACAAGUUACCACAGCACAAAAUUAAGUGGACUAAUAUAAAUGUAUCGACACAAAUCAUCUCAAACAAUUAUAUGUGUAAUGUAUUCAUAUUUCAACUAAGGUUAUACUUAUAUGUUUACUUCAUUUUAAAUUUAGACCCCUUGCCAAACAAACGAGGUAGAUUGCGACUAUUAAGUGCUGAAAUUCAUGAAGGAGAUCAUUCAACGAUGACCAACUAAUGAAAUCAAGUUUGUUGGCAAAUCAUAUAUAGAUGACCAAGUCAACCAGAUUAGAGAAUAAUGGUCAAGGUUUGUACUUAGUUUUAUUGACAAAUGAUAGGUAUAAUAGAUUAGUUUUGCACAAAUUGUAGCUUAAGGAAUGUAGUUAAUAUUCAAUGUAAUGUAUAUGAUUUGGUGUAUGUAAUAAAUGUUUAUGUAAACAUUAAAGUUUAAUUAAUGUUCAAUAUAUAAAUUCCAUUGAAAUUCAGUUGUGAUUCUGUAUGCAUUCAUUUUGUUGUUCUGUUCUGUUUCUAUAUGGGUUCAGGUUAUUUUUGGUUCUGCAUUCAACAUUUUUUUUUAUGAAUGCGCUUUUGUUAUAUAUAUAUAUAUAUACAACAAUGCUUUUUUUAACAAUGUGUUGUUGAUUAUAUUGAAUUCAACAACACAUUCAUAAAAAAGCGUUGUUGAAUACUUAUCUGUCAUUUAUUUUCUUUUAGCUAUACAACAGCGCAUUUGAUAAGAAGCGAUGUCGAUAUGAUCAACAAAACUAUUUCUUCUACACUUAAUCUCUUAACACAGUGCUUAAUCGAUUAAUGUAAUGCUUAGUCGAUUUCUUAAUCGAUUAACGAGUUCUCAUUUCUUAGAUUGUUUGAAUGUUGUUUAUUGCUAUUAUUAAUUGUUCUAUCUAUUCGUUGUGGAACACAUACCUUCUUUAUAAUUGAAUGGGGAGUUCUUCCACAAUUCUAGUUUUAGGAUGCGAUGUUGAUGAAGUAUCAUUGACAGUUCCAUUGUCAUUAUACGAUGUUGAUUAGGUAUUAAUGACAAUGUUAGCUUAUUUAUUCACUGUUGAAGAUGCUAUCAGACCCUAAAAAAUUAAAUUGUUCCCGCAAUAUUCUCAAACAUUCAGCUAUCCAAACACUCAGUUACUCAGCAACGAAACUCAUUUACUCUGAAAAUUGACCUCGAUAAUAAUUCAUCCUCAUCAUCAUUCACUCAUUCAACACUGAAUAUCAUUAACUCAUUCAACAUGAAAAUUCUUCUGCAUUGAUUUCGAAAAUCCUUCACUCGUUUAACCUCAAAAUGAUCAUUCACACAUUCAACACCGAAUUGAAAGUGAGUUUUGCUUAUAGUUAUUUGCCUUUUUAAUUACAUUAUAUUUAGCUUGUAUUGAGUUAUAAAUAGUUUCCUUAUAAAUGAGUGAAAGUGAUUUCACUCAUUUCCUUGUAUUGAGUUCGGGUUUCCGAGUUCCGAACAUACAUUAUGAGUUAGGGUUCCCCCAUUUUUAAUUACAUAAUAAUGUAUUUUCUCUGCUUGGUGAGCUUAAACUCCUAGCUUUAGGGAUUUAUGCUCAUUAUAUUUUUUUUGUUAAUAUAAAAUAGAUAAAAAAUGGAUGAGUGUCAAUCGAUUGACGAAGGAGUAUGAAGAAGGAGUGAAAUCAUUUGUUAGAUUUGCAAUUGAAAAUGCUGAAAACCCUAAUAGAAUUGUAUGUUCUUGAUUAAAAUGUUGUUACUCAAACUGAAUUACUCCAAAUAAGUUAAAAAAUCAUUUAGUGUGUCAUUGUAUUGAUCAAAUUUACACAUGUUGGUCAAGACAUGGUGAGAAGAGAGACGUUAUGGAUUGUGAUGAUGAGAUGCAUAUGAAAAACAACAACACAAAUGCAUAUGAAGACGAUCGUUUUGAGGAAAUGGCAAACAUUGCCGAAGAAGAUCUUCAGGAUUGUUCAGUGAUGUUUCAGCGGUUGAUAAGUGAUGUUGAGAAACCAUUAUAUGAUGGUUGUACUAAAUUCACAAGUUUGGCAGCAAUGUCAAGGUUGUAUAAGUUGAAAUUUGUUAAUGGAUGGACUGAUAAGAGUUUCACCGAUUCGCUUGCACUUCUGAAGGAUAUGUUGCCGGAAGAUAAUAUGCUCCCUUCUUGAACCUAUAAUGCAAAACAAAUGUUAUGCUCCAUAGGCAUGGACAACACUAGGAUACAUGCUUGUGAAAAUGAUUGCAUCUUAUUUUUUAAUGAGUAUGCUUCACUAAAGUUUUGUCCUAAAUGUAAUGCAUCAUGAUAUAAGAAUGAAGACUCAAUUCCCAAAAAGGUUGUAUGGUAUUUUCCAAUCAAAGCAAGAUUCAAGCAUAUGUUUAGAAAUACCAAAGAUGCAAAGAAGUUGACAUCGCAUGAAGAAGAAAGGAUUAAAGAUGGCAAGCUUUGGCAUUCUGCAGAUUCUCCUCAAUGGAGAAAAAUUAAUCACGACUAUCCUAGUUUUGGUCAAGAAUCAAGAAAUCUACGCCUUGCAUUGUCAACGGAAGGAAUUAACCCACAUAGUGUUCAAAGUUGCUCCCAAAGUACAUGGCCAAUGAUGUUGGUGAUAUACAAUCUACCUCCUUCUCUAUGCAUGAAGCGCAAGUAUGUGAUGUUAUCUAUGUUAAUUUCUAGAUCUAAACAACCAGGAAAUGACAUAGACAUAUAUUUGGCUCCAUUAAUUGAAGACUUGAAGCAAAUAUUGGAGACAUGUAUAAAUGUAUAUGAUGCGUAUAGGGAAGAAAGCUUCAACUUGAGGGCUUUGUUGUUUGGCACAAUUAGUGAUUUCCCUGCCUAUGGUAAUCUUUCUGGAUAUAGUACAAAAGGACAUUUUACAUAUCCUGUAUGUGAAGACAAUACUCAUUAAAUGAGGUUGGAACAUUAUACUAUGAAUGCCUUCCUUGGCCAUCGUAGAUUUUUGAAUUCAGAUCAUCACUAUCGAGAUGGAGAAAAGCAUUUGAUGAAAACAAUGAAGAAGGUCGUGCUCUUUUAUCGUUGACAAGUGACCAAUUAUUUCAAAAGGUAAAGGGUUUGAAUACUAACUUUGGUAAACCUUUUUCGAAAUAAAUUGUCACAAAGGGGUGGAAGAAAAGGUCAAUCUUCUUUGAAUUGCCAUAUUGGAGUUCAUUAUGUGUAAGACAUUUCCUCCAUGUCAUUCAUGUUGAAAAAAUGUGUUUGAAAUUCUCCUUGGUACCUUACUCAAUGUCUCUGGUAAAACCAAAGAUGGCUUGAAUGCAAGAUUGGACUUGGUUAGUAUGGGAAUAAGAAAGGAAUUGGGGCCGAUAAUGAAGGGAACCCGUACAUUUCUACCUCAAGCAGCUUAUACUUUGUCGAGGAAGGAGAAAAUGGAAUUUUGUAAAUUUCUUCAUGGUGUUAAAGUUCUAGAGGGGUACUCUUUCAACAUUCAGAACCUCGUAUCAAUGAAAGACCUCAAGUAAAAAGGUCUUAAGUCUCAUGAUUAUCACGUACUUAUAGGGCAUUUCUUGCCUAUUGGAAUACAGUCAAUUCUAUCUAAUAAAGAUCGAGGAACCAUAACUAGGUUAUGCUUCUUAUUCACGGCAAUUUGUAGCAAAGUGGUUGACCUUGAGAAAUUACCUACAUUGCACAGACAAAUUAUUUUGACUUUGUGUGAGCUUGAAAUGUAUUUCCCACCUUCUUUUGACAUAAUGGUUCAUCUAAGCACUCAUCUUGUUCGAGAGACACAACUAUGUGGCCCUUCCUAUAUGAGAUGGAUGUACCCAUUUGAGCGUUAUAUGAAGAACCGAUCAGGACUAGGGGGUUGUAUUAUCGAGCGAUAUGUGUUGAAGAAGCUCUUGAUUUUUGUACCGGAUACCUUACCGAUGGUGAUUUCAUGGGCAUUCCAAAGCCUCGAUAUGCAAAAAAAAAAAUUUGGUGAAGGUAUUAUUGGGAAUGAAAUAUUGACUAUAAUAAGAACUGAAUUGGAGCAAGGGCACUUAUAUCUUUUACAUAAUGCCGACGAGUUGAGCCAUAUGUUGAAAUACACAUGGAGAUGCUAAGGAAGUCAUAUCCAAGUAAGAAUGAAAAUUGGAUUUCCAAAGGGUAUAAUUGGUGUUUCAUAAAGUUGCUAAAAAAUCACAUUGAUGAGGAGUUGAAUAUAAAUUCACAUUCAAUUUCCGAAAGAUUGAAAUGGUUAGCCAAUGAUCCAAGUAUUCAUGUCUUAUCCUACACUGACUACCUAAUUAAUAGGUUCACAUUUUAUUCGAAAAACAAGAUGAUCAGAAUAAAAUGCAAAAUAGUGGUGUGACUCUUGUUGCUCGAACUUUACACAUGUCAAGUACAAAGAUAGAAACCCAAUAUAUGGGAACAUGUCAUACUUUGGAGUGAUUGCACGAAUAUGGGAAUUGAAUAACACAAUGUUUCGGAUGCCGGUUUUUUAUUGUAUGUGGGUUGAUAACAACAAUGACUUCCGAGUUGAUGAGUUAGGGUUCAUGCAGGUGGAUCUUAAUAGGCCGGGAUAUAAAAAUGAGUCAUUUAUUCUAGCAUCGCAAGCUCAACAAGUAUUCUAUGUUAGUGAUCCAACUGAUAUGAAAUGGUCCAUUGUUCUUUUAACUAACAAAAUAAUCAUCAAUAAUAUUGAGGACCAAGAAUAUGAAGAUAUUGAUGAAGAUGAUCCUUUUUUGGGACAUAUCAUGAUGAUGGGCUUUGGGUAAAUUAACAUGUUCCUCCAAACAAGGAUGACCUUACAAGCCAAAAACAAUCAAAGAAAAGGAAAAAGUAGAUGCAAAUAGUCUUUGUAUAAUUAUAGCUUAAUUUUGAUUGUUGUAAUUUGUAUAAUUUUGUUGCUUUGUAAUUUGUGUAAUUUUUUUAUUUGUAAUUAUGUACUCUGUCAAAACAUAAUUGGCAUGAUAUUCAUUGUUUGUAGUUUGUAUUGUAUUGAUGUUAUUAAAACAAACUUCUGGCCUGUAUUAAUGUAUCUGUGUUAUUCAGAAUAUAUAAAUGUUUGUGCUGUUGAGAAUGUCUGUUCUGCUAAUAAAUGUAUAUGCAGAUAUUAAUUUAUACAAAUCAACAACGAAUUCUAGGGGAAACAUUGACAUGCGCUAUUGUAAAGGAUAAAUACAAUAAUGCUUUUUAUAGACAACAUUGUUGUACAUUUUUAAUACAACAUCGCUAUGUGUGUGAUGCGCUAUUGUAUUAAGGUGUUAUUUGAUAAUAUUUAUGAAUAAUACAACAUCGCUUUUCUGUUAAUGUGAUGUUAUAUAUAUGAACUACAACAACACAACGAUAAGCGCGGUUAAUAAUACCUAUAAAAUGCGAUGUUUAUAUAUGACAUAUAUGAUAGCACUUUGCGGACGAUGCACUGUUAUAUUUGUGUACUAUAUGACAGUGUUUUUCGUGUGAUGCGAUGUGGUAUAUAUUCAAUACAACAUCGUUUGAGAAGUACUGUUAAUAAUGACAAUAUACUAUUGCGGUCAAACAGAAAACGCAUGAAAGCGCUGUUAUACAUCUAGAAUAAGCGUUAUUGAACUGCAACUCUAGCAUAGUGUAUAUAACAUAAACUAAUAUAUGAAUCACAACUCAACUGAAAGAGGUAUCUAUAUAUAUAUAUAUUUUUUAAAUAAUUAAAAUAUAUUCACUUUAAGAAUCGUGAAGCAGCAGAAAGUAAUGUUUGCACUGCUUUCUAUCUCAAUUGUAAUAUUUUAGGAGAUAAUUAAAAUGUAUCCACCUUCAAAAAGUGAAGUAACAAAAACUAAUAUUUGCAUCGUAUCUCAUCUCAAAUAUAUAUUUUUUAAAUGACUAAAUUUAUUCACUUUAAGAUUUGUGAAAUAUCAGAAACUAAUUUAUGCACCGCAUUCUAUCUCAAAUAAAUAUUUUAAAAUAAUAAUUAGUGUACUUUUUAUUUUGAUUAUUUAUAUAAGAUAUACGAUAAAUAAAUAAAAAUAUGAAAUUCAAUGUUUAAAAAACCAAAAUAUAUUAUUAAAAACAAAAUUAAAACAAAUAAUAAAAGAGAAAAAAUGUAUGCACUACUUACAAUAGCAUGAUCUUAACUUAAAGUUUAGAGUGUAUAACAAUAUUUAAUUACAAUUUAGAAUAAUACAUUUGCUUCAAAGUUUCACUAUUAAUAAAAAAUAAUGAUGAUUAAUAAUAAUUGUUUAAAAAAAGUUGUACUUUCAUUUAAUAUACUUAAACUUACCGAAUAUUGAAUAAGUUGUAAAAAAAUUAACUAUUUCUUUUUUAUGGUAUGUGUAAAGGAUGAAGUCCAUGAUGGAUGAGUUCACUUAAUACACAAAUUUCUAAACAACGAAACAAAUGAUAAUCCUUCCCAUAAUAAAAAUUUCAUAUGUGAUUAUCCACCACUGCUAGUUAGUAGGAAACAUCCUGUGUCAUAUGAAUUGUUAUAUGUAAUUGAGAAAUGCUUAGAAAGUAGUUAGUUCUUAACGAAAAUAAGGAGUUAAUAUAUUGAAUAAAAGUUGGUCCUAUAUACUGCACAAUCUAAUUAGAGUUGAUGUUGUAAGCGAUUUCAAGGAGAGACUAAGUUUUCAUCUUUUCAAAAUUUCUGGGGGAGUUGCCCCACCUGCCCUAUAGAUAUUCUGCCACUGAUUGUUGGAAGGUUAUUAGCCUUCCCACUUUACCUGUCUUUCAGACCUAUUGGGAGAUUGUUUGUAUGGAUGUCCUCAAAGCAGUCAAGCAAUUCUUUAUUUACGGUUGGUUACCUCCUAAUUUUAACUCCAACAUAGUGGUCUUGAUUCCAAAAACUCCUAAUGCUGCUAAAAUUGAAGACUUCAGGCCUAUUGCUAUGGCUAAUUUUCAAUUAAAAAUCAUUACUAAAGUGCUAGCUGACAGGCUUGCUAAAAUUGCUUCCCGAAUUAUCUCUCCUCAGCAAAAGGGUUUUAUUAAGGACAGACAUAUUCAUGAAUGCAUUUGCAUUGCUUCUGAAGCAUUUAACUUACUUGACCACAAAGCUUUAGGGGGCAACAUGGUUAUUAAAUUGGAUGUUAGAAAGGCUUUUGAUACCAUGGAUUGGGAUUUUUUGCUUGGAGUUCUUAAUGCUUUCGGUUUUCAGGACAAAUUUGUUAAUUGGAUUAAGGUCAUCCUUCAUUCAGCAAAGCUCUCAAUUAAUAUUAAUGGCCUCAACACUGGUUUUUUCAACUGCUCCAGAGGUGUGAGACAAGGGGAUCCCUUAUCCCCUCUUCUUUUCUGCUUGGCAGAAGACGUGCUGAGCAGAGGCAUUGCUAAGCUGGUGGAGGCUAGAAGGCUGAGUUCUAUUGCUGGCCCUUGUAAUCUAAUCACCCCGAGUCAUGUUUUAUAUGCAGAUGACAUCCUAAUUUUCUGCAAGGGCAAAAAGAGAGAUCUGAUUGCGUUGAAAAAGUUAAUUUCUGAUUAUACUAAUGCUUCUGGGCAGUACAUAAACUCGGCUAAGUGCAAGUUUUACACUCAAGCUUCUCCUAGAAAAAUUAGCAAUCUCUUAUCUUACUUGGGCUUCAACUCUGGAGUGCUCCUUUUUAAUUACUUGGGAGUUCCUCUAUUCAAAGGAAAGCCGAGAAGAAUCCAUCUUCAGCCAAUCAUGGACAGAAUCAUCAUGAAACUUGCUAAAUGGAAAGGGCACACUCUUUCAAUUAUGGGAAGGGUUGAGCUAGUAAAAUCGGUCAUUCAAAGCAUGUUACUUUACAGUUUCCAUAUCUAUUCUUGGCCAAUCCAACUUUUCAAUUCUUGUAUUAGAAAUUUUAUUUGGUCUGGAGAUGUGAAAACUAAAAAGCUUGUUACAGUGGCAUGGUUUCAAGUCUGCUCCCCUACAAAAUGUGGUGGCUUGGGUGUGAGGUCUAUCACGAAGCUUAAUAAUGCUGCUAUGAUCAAGUUAGCUUGGGAGAUGAUGACUUCUAAGCAGGAAUGGGCUGUUUUAUAUCGUAAUAGAUUUGGUCUAUCCUCAACGCCAAGCUCCAGACAUUUCAAGUCCUCGGUUUGGCCGGGUUUAAAAAAGAGUUGGCUUUCUGCUUGGACCAACACAAUCUGGACUAUUGGAGAUGGCAAGGAUGUUAAUUUUUGGACUGACAACUGGUUAGGAGAGCCAUUGGUGGAUUCUCUGCAUAUUCCCCAAAGUUUCCAUGCUAAUUUGAGGGCUGCUGUGGCUGAUUUAAAUUGCAACUCCUCUUAGGUGAUUCCUCAGUUGCUCUUGGAUAAGCUUCUGUGGCUCAAGGAUCAAAUCUCCAAUUUCAAAAUAACAAACAGCAAGGAUAAGUUGGCUUGGCAGGGAACCAGUGAUGGCACUCUCACUUUCAGAGAUGCUUAUCUCUUCAUCAGUAAACUAGGUGCGUCGUUGGACUGGUGCAGAAUGAUCUGGUCUAGCAACAUACCUCCCUCAAAGUCCUUUAUCAUAUGGCGGUUACUGAAUGAUAAAUUGCCUACCGACAAAAAUCUUCAAAAACGAGGUUGUCUUAUGGCUUAUGCUUGCAGUCUUUGUAUGAAGCAGACAGAAUCUUCGCAGCAUUUGUUCAGAGAUUGUAAAUUUGCGGUUUCGUUAUGGGACUGGAUCAGUUCGGUCUUCUUUACUGCUAUAAACAACUCCAGCAUUCCGAAUAUUUUGUUGGCUUGUAAGAGAGUUGGGUGUCCUCAAGUCAAAGAGUUGUGGGCUGCCUCUAUAGUGCAUAUUGUUAGCAUCAUUUGGUUUUGCAGGAACCAGGCUAGAUUCAAGACCCCUUUAAAUUUUUCCGCUGCAAUGGCCAAGCUAAAGCUGGAAAUUUCCCUUUCGGGCAACAUGUCAAAUGCGUUGGCAAGACCAACAAUUCUGGAGCUCACAAUUUUGAAGUCCCUAAAUGUAAGAAUUAACUAUUCUUUAGCUCCUAGCAUCAUAGAAGUGUGUUGGCUUCCCCCAAUCAGGGGUUGGACUAAAGUGAACUCGGACGGGGCAGCGAGAGGAGCGCCUGGUAGUGCAGGGGGUGGAGCUAUUUUUAGGGACCACAAUGGGGAUUUCUUGGCCUGCUUCGCGGAUUAUUUUGGCAUCCAAUCUGCUUUGUUUGCAGAGUUAAACUCGGCGCUGAUGGCAAUUGAGUUUGCGAGCAAUAUGGGUUGGAACAAGAUUUGGCUGGAAUGUGACUCCUCUCUAGUGGUUGAUAUCUUUAAAGGUGCAGCAAAGCCGCCCUGGAACCGGAUAAAUAAAUGGAACUUCUGCCAGGAUAUUAUGGAGAUAAUGCAAAUCAAUGUUUCCCACAUUUUUAGGGAAGAAAACUGCUGUGCGGAUAGAUUAGCGAACUUUGAUAUUACUUCCAAUUGUAAAACCACUUGGACUGAAAUCCCUCCCUUCAUUUCGCAUGAAUUUCAUCGCAAUAGGAAUCUUCUCCUUAACUAUAGAUUCCCAGCUCUGUAACUGAAUUUUAUUUCUAUAUGCUGGGGGUGCUGUUGCACCUGUUAACUUAAAAAAAAAUGUGUGCUAGUCAUUAAUUUACCAAUUCUUAUAAUAUGAUCAAAUUAUAAUAUAUAAUUUCGAUUCUAGCUUAUGAGAGUGGUUCUCUCACGUUUUCUCUUUAGGCAAGUUUGACACAAGUCUUACUCUGUAAUUUAUAAAUUUCUAUUAUAUAAUUUUGACUACAGUAUUUUCCAUGAGAGCGAUUCUCUCCUACUUUAUUUUCUCUUUGUAUGAGUUUAACAUUUGUCCUACACAAUAAUUUAUGAAAAAAAAAUAGAAGUAUUUAAAUGAUUUUUUUUAUGCAUAAUAAAUUCUUUAAUUGAUUUGAAGUAACUAUUGUUUAUCUCUCUUUUGAACAAUUUAAAGUUUUAACGCUUAAAAUAUGAAUAAUUUUAUUGUCUUGCUAAUAUCAGAUAUCAUAUUAUUUAAACACUUUAACUAAAAUCUGAACUAGGCAUUUAAAUGAAUUUAAAAAAAUUCAAAUUGAAUUAUUCAAUUUAAAUCCAAAAAAACUAGGCAAUCAAAUAAACUUCAAAAUAGAAAAAUUAUUUCCUAAGUAGACUACAACUGUCCAAGACAACUAAGUCAUGCAAUAUGUCUUCUUAGGAUUAUCUAAAUUUUUUUGAAUUAAAUCAAUAUCAUUAUAAAUAACGAAUUUAUAUAUUUAUCUCACUAUAUGUAUCAGAAUGUAUAUAAAGAAAUUAAAUGCAAUACGCCUUCUUAGGAUGAUCUAAACUAAUCCUUCCAUCUGGGCGGGUUUGGAUUGGAUUUUUUUAAUACAAAAGACCAUUUAAUUUAAAAAACCCAAUCUAAUUAAAGAAAUUGGUUUGUUGAUAUAGAGGGUAAUUGGGCUUAAUUGUUUUUACUGUAUCAAAAUUAAUAUGAUUACGUAUAUAUUUUGAAAAUAACUGAAUGAAUUCCCAGAGAAAAGAACAUAUCAUAUCAUGCCUCAUCAUCCAAACUAACCAUACUUCCACAAGACAAAAAAACUUCCAAAGUCUAUCAAGCUUACGACUAGUUACUGAUCCUCAAUGUUUACAAAAAUGUUCUAUACAUUUAUAUAUAUGAUGAAAAGAACAUUGAAACCAAACCAUCUUUAUCAACCCUUCCAUACAUUUAUCCACGCGAAAUUCACAAUGAAGAUUCUCACCCUAUAUCUUGCAAAAUCCCAAGUCCCGACAAACAAGAACUUCUUGCUUGUAAAUAAUUAAAGAACUUUUAUCUUUUUAAUGUAUUGAAUCAAAGGAGGAAAAAGAUUUGAUUGAAUGUUAUUCAAUAGGCCUUUUCAACACAUAAAUAAAGAUAAUGAAAUCACGAAUACAUGCCUAAAUAUAGAAUUUUAUUUAUAGAAAUUUCACUUGGAUUACAAAAGACAGGUAAAGUGGGAAUGCGAGUAACUUUCCAACAAUCACAAUAAUAAUAAUUAACAAUGACAGAAAUGUUCGUAUGCAAAAUGAAGUAUGCUAACCAGCUUCAUAAACCAAAUUAUACAGAUCUCAUGAUCAAUAAUGAACGUAACAAAAUAUUUAAUACUUAAAUUGAAGGUACUACAUAUUAUAUGAAUUUCCUAUUUAAGCGCACUCGAAUCCCUUGGGAAUAUCCUUUCCACAGUAGUUGAGUAUCAAGCUCAAGUUGAUAGGAACGUUAAGGUUAAUUCCAAGAACAUUAGCCUUAAGAGCAGUGCAAAGGCACACAGCAGCAUCAAGAUUAGAAAGACCAUCAAUGAGUGAGCAACAUGCAUCCUUUGAUGACUUCCCAAGUUGCACAUUAACCAGACCCAACACAUCAGCACACACACCAAACUUAAGGGUGUCCUUGGGGCAACUAGGUUGCUUUUUUGGGUCAGCAGGGUUUGUGGAUGGUGCCUUUGGGGCAGGUGAGUGUAUGGGUGUUGGUGGUGGUGAGUGUUUGGGUGUUGGUGGUGGUGACUGUUUGGGUGUUGGUGGUGGUGAGUGUUUGGGUGUUGGUGGUGGUGAGUGUUUGGGUGUUGGUGGUGGUGAGUGUUUGGGUGUUGGUGGUGGUGAGUGUUUAGGGGUUGGGGGAGAUGUGUGUGUAGGUGUUGCGGGUGGUGGGCAUGGGACAUAGGUGGAGCUAACCACAGUGAAGAAGAGGAUGUUGAGAGAAAGGAAAAGUGCAGCCUUGGAAGCCAUUUCACAAAGAUUGUGAAAUUAAAGUUGGUGACUUUUUAAUUACUAGUUACUAAUUUGGUUUGUUGUGUGAUAGGAAUGAGAAGGAGGGUUUUAAUUUAUAGGGAACGGUUGGUGUCUUUCAUUGUUUUUAUAAUUUUUAUAAGAUUAAAUAAUUGGUUUUAUUUAAGUGAUGUGAACAUAGAGUAGAUAUUGAAGCAACAAAAGCUGGCAGCUCAACUUGUUUUAAAAUGAGAUGAUUUUAUGUAUAUAGUUAUGGGAUAGAGAUCACUUGGAUAUAAUAGUGUCUUAUUUUUUGUCUCGGGCCAAUUACAUAUUUGCUACAUGAUAAAAGAAAAAAAUUUAAAAAUAAAAAGUAACAUUUUGAUUGGUAAGAGACCGAGAAUGAAGCACCAUUCAGGAUAAGUGUUCAUUAUCCAUAGUUACGAAAGUUUGAAACUUUGAAUAACUUGCCCAAUUACAAAAGGCAUACAGGUAAGGGUUUGUGCUACAUUUGUCGUUUUUCUGAUUAAGAAUGCGUUAACUAGUGUUUGAGAUUCGACUGAUUACUUUAUAAUUGACUAUUUUAGAAGGUAAUUUCUAGUGUCUAAUGUGUAAGAGGUAUAGCAUAUAUAUGUCAUGAUUACAAACAUAGCUUCUUUCACGUUUAUGGUAUAUAUAUGUAAUUGUUUUUACAUCAAAAGCUUUUUUAUUUAUUUUUAGAUUUUAUUCUGCAUUAACUUAUGUAUAUUAGUAUAUACCUUCUCCUUUUGGUGUACAAAUAGUUAAUAUGUCAUAAAGAAACAUGAUUAGAUUGUGGUGGACAAAUCACAAAUUGAUAGGCAACGAACCAUUACCGUAGUUUGGGAUAUAUUUUUUUUAUCAACAAUAAGAAUAUUAAUAUAGAGAUAAAGAAAAAUUAGUAGAACAAGGGAUAUUCCUAUCCACUAAAUCUCUACAAUUAACAAAGAAGAUUAUAAUUUAAAGGGUUCAUCAGUCAAGCAACUAGAGAAAAAGAAAAGAAAGGGAAGCGGACAUUGAUAAGACUCCAAGAAUGUAGUAAAAUAAGUUUCAUCAUCUCAUCAAGAUGAAAACGCUUGUUCUCAAAAAUACAUUUGUUCAUAAUAUGUCAAAGAGUCCAAAUUGUGACAAACCAAAGAGCUAUCCAUAACAAAGAUGCAUGAAUUGACAAAUGAGUCUUUACUUCAUUAUGAAUAAUAGAGGUAAGUCCAAAGUAAGAAUAGAGCCUUUGUCAAAUAAUGUAGGAUGUUGGGCCAGAAAAGAACAAGUGACUAGUGGAUUCCUCCAACUCACCACAAAGAACAAACAAAAGGGAGUCUUGUACUCCUAAACCCCCUCUAUGAUCUAGGUUGAGUUAUGUUGGAAUACCAUCCAAAUCAAUUUUCCAUACUAGGCACUUUAUCUUUGAUGGGACAUUACUCGCCCAAAGCUUCUUGAAGAAAAUGAGAUUGCUGCUUCCUUCCUGUUUUUGAAAAAAUUGGUAUGCACUCUUGACCGAAUACUUCCCACAUUUGUCAUGUAACCAAGUUCAAGUAUCUUCACUUUAAUUAUGGAAUAUUUUUAAGAGAUCAUCAUAAUCCUCUUCCUCCCAAACGAACAAGUUCCUCCUCCAUUAAAUCUUCCAAGACCAAACUCCAUCUCUUCAUGCACCCAAGGAUUCAACUUUUGCAUCUUUAUCCAAAGCCACCUGAAAUAAUCUUGUAAAGGUAUUUUUGAGAGAAUCUCUCCCUACCCAAACGUCAGUUCAUAAUUUAAUAGACGAUCCACAUCCUAAAGACCUAUGGAAACCACCAUCUACCCACUACCACAUUUUUAGCCUACGACAAUGCAUUCACCUUCUACGAUUAUAAAACUGUGGUCUUAAAGUACAAUAGGCAACAAUUUUAAAAUGAUUAUCUAUUCAUUGUAUUGGACAACGGUUUUUGACACCGUUUCCUAAUUGUUUACAAAACCAUGGCAUAUUUUAUUUUAAUACCAUAGUUAUAAAACUGUUGCCUAUUCAUUGUAUUGGACAACGAUUUUAAUACUGUUGCCAUAAAUGUUUUUGAAAUUGUGGUCUAUAGUACUUUAAGACCACGAUUUUAACACUGUUGCCUAUGAAUUAUAUUGGACUUAUUAUUUAUAAAAAAAACCAUGGGCUGAUGAUUUUAUUAAUUUUUUACUUUUAUUAAGAAAUGGUGGCCUAUGCAUCAACAAUUUGUUACUUACAUUAAGAAAAAAGAAAGUACCUCAAGAUAACUCUUAAGUCUCAACAGUUCUCAAAACCAUCACAAUGUAACUCAAGGUAGCCCUCACGUCUCAAACCAUUCUCAAAACCCUCACAAUGCAUCAAUGUAAGUCUUAUAUUCAGUUGUUCUCGUUUCCUCCCUCUCGAAGCCCUAGCUAAAGCCCUACCCGUUUCCAAUUUCCAAUCGCAUCAAUGAAGGUCAAAACCCUAGGAUCUAGCAAUGGCAAGAAGACCAUGUAACGAAGCACCAAAGCCCCGCUACCUCACUGCCGUUUCUUAAAACUAGAAAGUAUGUCGUGCGCUUCCCUGUCUACCUCGCUGCCGUUCUUGAAUAUCUCGUUGUUAAGGUAACUUUCCUCACUCAAUUGCAAUUUGUGUUUGGUUCUAUAUAAAUUCAAGUUUUUGAUUGUAGGUUUUCAGAUUUGGGAUCAGUUUUUUGUAUAUAUUCAAUUUUUUUAUUCUAGCUAAAGGUUAAGUUAGACUUUGUUCUCAGCAUUAGUCUUUCACUCUCUCUGUUCUGCUUCAUAUGAGCAUUCUGUAAUUAGCUAUGUUUCAGGUAUGUUGGAAAAACAUAGUUUGGAAACUAUCACCUUGCUACUUGCACUUAAGGCAAGCUACUAUUUAUUUAUAUCAUCUCAGAUAUUGUUGCAUUUAGUUUACUUUAUAAGUUUACCUUAUUGGCCAUAUAUUAGCCUUGUGGUUGUGUAGAUUGAGUAAUACUUAAUAGUUUGGUGUUGCCAUAUAUAUGGGAAUUUUGACUUGAGCUUUGAAAACAUAAGGAAAUGGAAGUGCUUGAGUUAGUGAAUAGUUUUGAAAUGCCAUGUGUUGAGUGAAUUCGGGAACUUAGCUAAUUCAGAUUCAAGCUUUGCUUUCUUUUUUCUGAUGUGUAUUGAGCCACUACAAAGCUCAUUGGUACCAUAUAUUAUUAACUUUGUUUUAUAAUAAAGAAAAUCUUAGUAUAGCAUUUCUCAAGUUCUGAGCAAUAGAAACUACCCUUGGUUUUUUGUCAUUAGUGGAACAAUGAUAGUUAAAUUGCACUAAUAACAUAAAUGAUGAUAUUAGUUUCAUUGUAAAUGUGUAUUAAUAGUUUUGUAGAUACUACUAUAUACUUAACUUAAUCUUUUUAAUUUAUAUUUUUGCAGCAAACUCAUUUGAAAGAUAGCUUGCCGCAUACGAAAGAUGGUAUGAAUAUGUAUACUGGUUUUGAUGAUUGAUAUUGUAGUAAUUAUAUUUCGUUAUAUGUCGAUUGUGAUAUUUGAAAUAAAAAAUACAUGGUAAAAUAAUUUUGUGUAAUAUAAUGACAAAAUUUUUAUUAAGUAGUUAAUAAAUAAAUAUUGUCUUUUGAUAUCAAUGAAGGAAAACAGUUGGUGUUAAUGAUGAAGAAAAUUAUUUUUAUUGAAUAAAUAAAAAAAUAUAUAGGCAACGGUUUUUAACAUUUUAAAUGACCAAAGACAACGGUUUUUAUGUUAUUGUCUAUAUGGACAAUGAUCAUGGUUUUAAAGUCAUACAAUACCCACAGUUUUAAAACCGUGCUAAAUGACUAACAUCAACAAUUUUCAUAUUUUAUUAUUGGCAACAGUUUUUAACCGUUGGUGAUAACGAUGAAAGAAAACUCUUGCCUAUUUAAAUGAUCAACGACAACAGUUUUAAAAAAGUGUUGCCAAAAUUCAAAAAACCAUGGUCUAAACAAAAGGCAACGCCUCAGACUACCACAUUUAUAAAACCGUUGUUGUAGACAAAGAGAACGGUUUUUCUAAAUUUGGGAAUGGUUUUUAGCCGUUGCCGUAGAUCAAAAAUGUUGUAGUGACCUAUCCACAACCAAUCUCUUCCCUGUUAUGACUAAGGUUUCCUAAUUCUCUCUACUAAGAAGAACCUCUACUGAAACACUCAAAAACACCGCCUACUCCAUUACUUAAAAACUCAUCCCCAUAUCUAGAUCUUAAGACUUUCACCCAAAGAGACUCUCUCUCGAUUAAUAAUCUACACCUCCAUUUAUCUAAAAGAGCUAAGUUGAACACAAACAAAUUUUUAACCCCUAGACCCCUUCCUCUUUUGGCCUACAAACAUUCUUCUACUUUACCCAGUGAAUGCCUUUUCUCUCUUCCCCCUCCCCCAAAGAAAACGUCUUUGUAUUUUGUCAAUCAAAUUAAUAACAUAAAUUUGGGCUUUAAAAAAAGAGAAAUAGUAUAUAGGUAAGGAGCAUAAUACACAUUUAAGGAGAGUUACCCGACCACCGAAGGAGAUGAGCUUUUGCUUCCAGAGAGACAGUUUCUUUUUGAAAAUAUCAAUUAUAGGAGACCAAGUGGAGAACCUUUUAGGAUUAGCACCGAUAGGAAUCCCCAGAAAUUUGAUGGAUACAGAGCCAACAACACAAUUUAACAUUUCAUAUGCCUUCAUAACAAAGUCUUGAUUUGACUUAAGACCCAUGAAGCUACUCUUGUUGAAAUUAAUUUUCAACCGAGAAGCCAAUUCAAAACAUUUCAAAAUACUUUUCAGCACCAAAACAUUAUGUUCAGAGUUCUCCCCAAUUAGAAGGGUGUCAUCUGCAUAUUGCAAAUGAGAAACUGCUGCUCUCAUUAUGCCACUAAGACCUUCAGCAACAAUUAGAAAUAAAAAAGGUGCAAUUGGGAUAUCAUUUACAUAUUUCUGCACUGGUUCAUGGUUUUUAGGGUUAUGGAUCGAGUGAGUGUAAACAUGUUUUAUGCACUAGUUUAAAAUUAUUUCUGUAUUAUUUAAAAGAUAAUGUAUAUAAGGUUAAAUUGUAUUCUAAAUUUUGUUGGAUAAUUUGAAAACAAUUAAAGUUGAGCAUAUAUGGGAACAUUAGAAAAAAAGUUCAACGCUAUAUGUAACCAAUAUAUCCAUUAAAUAGACUAACUAUACAUGAUUUUUUUUUUAAAUAUUUCUUUAAAAGAAGAGUAGGGAUAUAUUCUCCUACCCAAAUUCUUCUACAAAUUAUUUUACAAAAAAAAUGACAUGUGUCACUUAUAAAUCAAUUAUUAAUAAACAAAAUAUCACUUUUUGUAACAUAUAUUACUUUUCAUAUUGAUAUAUUACUUUUCAUAUUGUAUAGGAGAAUUUAUAGGAGUACAUGUUAUUUUCCUUAAAAUAAUUACCCUCUUAUGUUAAUUCAAAAAUUACUUCAAAAGAAUAGGAAGAUUAAAACACCAAUUAUCCUACUUCACCCCAACCUAAGCUAUGUUUAGUUCUUAGCAUUUGGCUAACAUUUUAAUAUAAUCAACAUUGAAAAGUAUUAUCUCUUCACCAAGUCACUUCUGGAUUUACCACUAGAUAUUAUUUCUUCACCAAACUACUUGCAAGUAUUGUUUGUUAAAAAAUCUACAUCAUUCUCUCAAUAAAGAGACGAAUAAGGUUUGUUGUGUUUAAAACACCAACAACAUCACAGAUAAUAAAAUUUUAACCCAACUCAAAUACAAAUGUACAUGAUAUUUUUUCAUAAAUUAAUUUGCUGUGGAAAUAAAAUAUAAGUAAAGUUUUCCUCUUGAUUGAUACUGUUGGAUAAAAACUAUAUACUCGUAUAAGUAUAUUUAAGCAAGUAUGUAUAGUAUACUCGCAACAAUAUCUUUAAACAAGAUUGCACUAUUAAUAAUCGUAUUGUUAUAUUUAAGUAAGUUUGAAUAAUAUACUCACAAUAGUAUAUUUAACAGGUUUGAACAAUAUGCUUGUAUUUCUUCAAGUAUGUAUAGUUUUUUCAAGUUUUCAUCUUUUAUUUUUAUUUAUUAUCUUUAAUAAUAAUGACUAACUAAUUAAUUUUUGAGUGAAUAUCCACAUUGGUCCUUAAUAAUUUUAUGUGUAUCAAAUUCUUCCCGUAAAAGUAAAAAUUCAAAUUAGUACUCAAAUAUCUUAAAUGUGAGUCAUAUAGUAUCUAUUAGGGGUCAUAAAAAUGUUAAAGUUUCUAAUUUGACUUACAUAUGAUAUUUUUUUAGAUCAUUUGAGAGUUUUCAAAUUUUCCAAGAUCAAAUAGGUACAAGCAAAAUUUUGAUUUUGUCCCAAAAAAGACCAUCUUCAUCAAUAUCUUCAUAUUCUUGGUCAUCGAUAUUAUUGACGAUUACUUUGUUAGUUAAAAGAACAAUGCACCAUUUCAUAUCAGCUGGAUCACUAACAUAGAAUACUUGUUGAGUUUGUGAUGCUAGAAUAAAUGACUCAUCUUUAUAUCUUGGCCUAUUAAGAUCCACUUGCAUGAAACCUAACUUAUCAACUCGAAAGACAUUGUUGUUAACUCACAUACAAUAAAAAACCGGCAUCUGAAACAUUGUGUAAUCCAAUUCUCAUAUGUAUUCAAUCACUCCAAAGUAUGACAUGUUCGCAUGUAUUGGGUUUCUAUCUUUUGCACUUGACAUGUUUAAAGUUCGAGCAAGAAGAGUCACACCACUAUUUUGCAUUUUACUUUGAUAAUAUUGUUUUUUCGUAUAAAAUAUGAACCCAUUAAUUAGGUAACCAGUGUAGGAUAAGGCAUGAAGGCUUGGACCAUUGGCUAACCAUUUCAAUCUGUCGGAAACUGAAUGUACAUUUAUAUUCAACUCUUCAUCAAUGUGAUUUUUUAGCCACUUUAUGAAACACCGAUAAUGCUCUUUGGAAAUCCGAUUUUCAUUCUUACUUGGGCAACACUUCCUUAGAACAUCCUUGUGUGUUUUAACAUAUGGUUCAACCUCGUCGGCGUUAUGUAAAACAUAUAAGUGCGCUUGCUCCAAUUCGGUUCUUGUUAUAGUCAAUAUUUCAUUCCCAUUAAUACCUUCACCAAAUGUUUUUUUUUGCAUAUCGAGGCGUUGGAAUGUCCAUGAAAUCACCAUCGGUAUGGCAUCCGGUACAAAAAUCAAGAGCUUCUUCAACAACAUAUCGCUCGACAAUACAACCCUUUGGUCUUGAUCGGUUCUUCACAUACCUCUUUUAAUGUCUUCAUAUAACGCUCAAAGGGGUACAUCCAUCUCAUAUAGGAAGGAUCACAUAGUUAUGUCUCUCGAACAAGAUGAAUGCUUAGAUGAACCAUUAUGUCAAAAAAAGAAGGUGGGAAAUACAUUUCAAGCUCACAAAAAGUCAAAAUAAUUUGUCUUUGCAAUGCAGGUAAAUUCUCAGGGUCAAUCACUUUGCUACAAAUUGCCUUGAAGAAGAAGCAUAACCUAGUUAUGGUUCCUGAGACUUUUUUAGGUAGAAUUGACCGUAUUCAAAUAGGCAAGAAAUGCUCCAUAAGUACAUGACAAUCAUGAGACUUAAGACCUUUUAACUUGACAAAGUAUAAGCUGUUGGAGAUAGAAAUGUACGUUUUUCCUUCAGUAUCGGUCCCCAUUCCUUUCUUAUUCCCAUACUGACCAAGUCCAACCUUGCAUUCAAGCCAUAUUUGGUCUUACCAAGGAUAUUGAGUAAGGUAUCAAAGAGACUUUCAAACACAUUUUUUGCAAUAUGCAUAACAUCGAGGAAAUGUCUUACAUAUAAUGAACUCCAAUAUGGCAAUUCGAACAAGAUUGACCUUUUCUUCCACCCACUUGUGACAAUUUAUUUUGCAAAAGGUUUACAAAAGUUAGUAUUCAAAACCUUUAGCGUUUGAAAUAAUUGGUCACCUUUCAACGGUAAAGGAGCACAACCUUCUUUAUUGUUUCCAUAAAAUGCUUUUCUCCAUCGUUUCCAUGAAAUGCUUUUCUCCAUCGUCGAUAGUGAUGAUAUGAAGGCAAAAAUCUACGAUGGCCAAGGAAGAUAUUCUUCUUAUAGUGUUCCAACCUCAUUGAAUGUGUAUUUUCUUCACAUACAGGACGUGCAAAAUGUCUUUUUGUACUAUAUCCAGACAAAUUACCAUAUGCAGGGAAAUUAGUGAUUGUGUCGAACAACAACGCCCUCAAGUUUAAGUUUCUUCCCCAUACGCAUCAUAUAAAUUUAUGCAUGUCUCCCACAUUUGCUUCAAGUCUUCAAUUAAUGGAGCCAAAUUUAUGUCUAUGUCAUUUCCUAGUUGUUUAGGUCCAUAAAUUAACAUAGAUAACAUCAUAUAUUUGCACUUCAUGCAUAGAGAAGGAGGUAGGUUGUAUAUCACCAACAUUACUGACCAUGUAUUGUGGGAGAAACUUUGAACACUAUGUGGGUUAAUUCCACCCAUUGACAAUUCAAGUCGUAGAUUUCUUGAUUCUUGACCAAAACUAGGAUAGUCGUGAUCAAUUUUUCUCCAUUGAGGAGAAUCUGCAGGAUAUCGAAGCUUGUCAUCUUUAAUCUUUUAUUCAUCAUGCCAUGUCGACUUCUUUGCAUCUUUGACAUUGCUAAAUAUACACUUGAAUCUUGCUUUGAUGGGAAAAUACCAUACAACCUUUUUGAGAAUUGAGUCUUUCUUCUUAUAUCAUGAUGCAUUACAUUUAGGAUAAAACUUUAAUGAAGCAUACUCAUUAAAAAAUAAGAUGCAAUCAUUUUCACACGCAUGUAUCCAAGUGUAGUCCAUGCCUAUGGGGCAUAACAUUUGUUUUACAUCAUAGGUCGAGAAGGGAGCACAUUAUCUUCCAGCAACAUAUCCUUUAGAAGUGCAAGCAAGUCGGUGAAAUUCUUAUCAGUCCAUUCAUUAACAGAUUUCAACUUAUACAACCUUGACACCGCUGCUAAUCUUGUGAAUUUAGUACAAACAUCAUAUAAUGGUUUCUUAGCAUCGCUUAUCAACCGCUGAAACAUCUCAGGACAAUCCUGAAGAUCCUCUUCGACAACGUUUGCCAUUUCCUCGAAAUGACCGUCUUCAUAUGCAUUUCUGUAGUUUUCUUUCAUUUGCAUCUCAUCAUCACAAUUUAUAACGUCUCUCGUCUCACCUUUGCUUUGUCCAACAUGUGUAACUUUGAUCAAUACUGUGACAUAUCGUGACACACUAAAUGAACUUUUAACUCAUUGUGAGUAAUUCGGUUUGAGUAACAACAUCUUAAGCAAGGAUAUACAAUUCUAUUAGGGUUUUCAUCAUUCUCAAUUGAAAACCUAACAAAUGAUUUCACUCCUUCUUCAUACUCAUUCGUCAAUCGAUUGUCACUCAUCCAUUUUCGAUCCAUUUUCUAUUAAAAAAAAUAUAAGGAGCAUAAAUCCCUAAAGCUUGGAGUUAAGCUCACCAAUCAGAGCAAAUGCAUUAUUAUGUAAUUAAAAAUGGGGGAACCCUAACUCAUAAUGUAAGCAAAAUGAGUUGGAACUUGGAAACCCCAACUCAAUACAAGCUAAAUGAGUGAAAUCAUUUUCACUCAUUUAUAAGGAAAAUAUUUAUAACACAAUACAAGGUAAAUAUAAUGUAAUUAAAAAGGCAAAUAACUAUAUGAAAAACUCACUUUCAAUUCGGCGUUGAAUGCGUGAAUGAUGAUUUUGAGGUUCAACGAAUGAAGGAUUUUCGAAAUCGGUGUUGAAUGAUUUUUGUGUAAAAUGAGUGAAUGAUUUUCGGCGUUGAAUGAAUGAAUGAUUUUCGGUGUAAAAUGAGUGUUGGGAUUGCUGAUAAAUGUGUGAGAAACAGUGCAUAUUGAAGAUGGCGCUAUUAAUGAUACAAAAUCAACUGCGCAUAGUGAAGGGGGCGCUGUCCAUGAUACCUAAUCAACAACACAACCUUAAGGAAAUGUUGUGGAAGAACUCUCAUUCAAAUAUAAAGAUGGUAAGUGUUCCACAAUGCAAUCUUAAGGAAACGUUGUUGUAUAACUAAAAUAGAAUAAAUGAGAGAUAAGUAUUCAACAAUGCUUUUUAGUGAAUGCGCUGUUGAAUUCAACGUUAUCAAAAACGUUGUUCAAUUCAACGUUAUCAAUGGUGAUGUUAAAUUCAACGUUGUCAACAGCGCUGUUUGGUGAAUGCGCUGUUGAAUUCAAUAUAAUGAACAACGUAUUGUUAAAAAAAUGCUGUUGUAUUGUUAUAACGACAACGUAAUAAAAAAAAGCGAUGUCGAAGACCAUUAUCCCUAAUUCUGCACAAUUACGCACACAACAGAAAGUAACCUAAAUGCAUAUAGAAAUAGAACAUGACAACAAAAUGAAUAUAUGAACACAACUGAAUUUAUAUAACAUUAAUUACACUAUAAUGUUUACAUUGAAUUGAAUUCCCUAAGCUACAAUCUAUGCUACAUUAAUUUAAUUAAAUUAAUUACAUAGACCAAAUCAUAUAUAUUAUAUUGAAUUCCCUAAGCUACAAUCUGUGCAAAACUAAUCUACUAUACAUUUAGCUAUGAUUUGUCAACAGAAAUAAGUACAAAGUUUGACCAUUAUUCUCUAAUCUGGUUAACUUCGUCAUUUGUAUAUUAUUUGCCAUCAAUCUGGAUUGCAUUAGUUGACCAUUGCUAAAUAAUCUCCUUCAUGAAUUGCAACACGUAAUAGCAGCAAUCUACCUCGUUUGUUUGGCAAGGGGUCUACAAUUAAAAUGAAGAAAACAUAUAAGUAUAGCAUUAGUUGGUCAUUACAAAUAUAAUUGUUUGAGAUGAUUUGUGUCAAUACCUUUUUACUAGUUCACCUGAUUUUGGGACUUGGUAUCUUGUUUCUAGCACGAUUAUAGCUUCUGUAAACUCUCAUCGCACUAAAUAAUAGAAAAUGUACUUAAUUACCAAACAAAAAAUGAAAGUGAAAGUGUAACUAAAAGUUUAAAUGAGUAGUCCACUUACCUAGUAAAUAUCUCUUUCACAAUGGGGUAGUUGUUCAUAUCACCAUGUGUCAAUGAGUCAAAGUAGUAUAUUUCUUCACUGACCCGAUUGAUGGCAACCAAAACCCAAUGAUGCCUAACAAAACAUAUGUACAUGGUUAGGAAAUGUUAAGCACAACAAACAUACUAAAGAAAGAAAUAUAAAAGACAAUUAAAAAAUGCUCACCUAGUAUUAAAAGGUGCAAGAAAUAAAUCUGCAUCUUCUUUAUAAUGGAGGAGAUUAUCUGUAAUUCGUUCUGUAUUUUCCCCAAUCUCAUUUUUGUCACCCGACACCAAAGCGAUAAGGUAUGGGGAUAUGAACAUCACUUUUUUUCUUAUUUACCUUUAUAUAAUUUUCAUACAAGUACAUAAUACAUAUAACACAAAUGUUAGUUAAUUAUAACACAUCGUCGUGCAAAAGUGAGAAGUUAAGAAAACAUAAUUUACCUCAUAUAUAUACAUACAGUAGAUGCACCUAUACAAUCACGUUUAUAUACAUCCGGGACUUCACAGAUAUCAACGUAUUCAUCAAUGUCAUCCCUGAAGACUUCCUUGGGAAUUGAUAUAAUUAUCAUAUAAUCUCCCAACUUCUGUAUAUGCUCCAACAACUGAGUAUAUUAGUUGGUAGUCUUCUUGGAGCUCACAUCCCCAGUAGAUGGCUUUGAGCUCAUAUCCCCCGUAGAUGGCUUAGACUUUUGGGUGCUACUAGAGGUGGAACGUACAUUUUCCUAAAAUAUUCAAUAAAAAUACAUAUCAAUUAUAGAUCAAUAUAUAUAAUAUGAGUGAGCAUAAGGUGAAAAAUCAUACCUUAGGAGGAAUUACUUGAACAAGGUCUACUGGCCAAGUCACAAAAGUGCCUAUAGCCCCUCCAAGUGUGAAGAUAUCCUCUUCGAGAGGAAUUGGUAGCAACACAUUAUCAUCGAUUGUAAUGUCAAUCGAGAACUUCACAUGAUAGUGUGAGAUACGUACAAUAUGCACCAUAGCAUCGACCAACUUGUGCACUUUCCCAACACCUACUACUCGGCUAGUUGAUGUAUCGAGAAAAAGUUUGCAAGAACUGAUUCCAUGUACAUAAGUUAAAACAUAUAAUUAGUUAAUAACUAAAUUAAAAUAAGUUAACUAAAUUAAAAUAAGUUAACUAAAUUAAAAUAAGUUAACUAAAUUAAAAUAAGUUAAGUAAAUUACCUCGGGAAUGAGAAUCAGAAUGGGAAUGUUGUAAGGUGCAGGUGUGCAACUCUCAUUGAUGGUUGAAGGAACAUUUACAACAUUACUAGCUAGUCGUUGCCACUCAACUUCCUUCGCCUUCAUUGAUUGCUCAAAUUCAUUGAACCGUUGCAUUAGUCCAUCUAGUUGAUUUUGAACCUGACUCAUUUGGGCUUUGGUUGCACGCUUUGGAUGGGGUACAAAUGUCCGCUGGCUAACCCCAAAUCUUGCACCUCGGAUACGGUCAGGGUAGAUAGGCAAUCCUAGUGCUUUGUCAAGUAUUAUGCGACUAUCCUAGUUUGCCUCCUUUUCUUUUAGGGUAACUUGACAAAUCAAGAAAACAUAAUGUUAAUUAAUCACAUUUUGAUAAAUAAAGUAUGAAAAUUAAGUAUAAUUAAAAAACGAGCACUUACAACAGGUCUUGCCGGUUCUUGAACUUCCUCAUUGUCGAUGACACCAUCCUUGUUCUUACAGGCACCCACCCAUAGAACAUCGAGUUCUACUCCAUGUGGAGUCAUAGGUAUAUCGCUUUUAUUCUCCAACUAACAAAACAUAACCAAUAAUUAUGUAAUUAGAUAUAUAUAUGCAUACAAAACAUAACCAAUGGUGUACUUACAAAUUAACAAUACUUACAAUUUUUUCCUCAAUUCCUCUAUACCGCACUCGAGAAGCUCGAUAUGGAUAUAAAUGCUUGGAUGCUCUCUUGUGGUUUUCAUUACUUAAUUUCUGACACAAUAAAUAACAUUAAUAUCUACAAUCAUAUACAAAAGCAUAUAUACAAAAGUCAAUACAAUGCAAAGAAUACAAUUUUACCAAGAAAGACUCGUCUUGUAUGCGUAGGGUGACAAAAGUCUUCCAAUCCUCUUCAUCAACGAUAAUUGCAUAUUUAGUUGGAGGUUUUAGGUUGACAUUGCCAUCAGCAUCUCUGAGUAAUUUUCUGGCAUCAGUUCAGAAUUUUCGGAGAGCCUUGCCAGCAGAUUUAAGGAUAUAAUCCUUAUGCUCCUCACCAACAUCAAAAGUUGACUGAAAUAAAAACACAUAUACAUUAUAUAUUUCAUGAAAACACAUGCAUAUACGUACAUUGCAUGAAAACGUAACACAUAUACGUACAUUGCAUGAAAACAUAUACAUAUACGUACAUUGCAUGAAAACACAAAAACUGAAAAAUAAAUUUACUGUUAUUUCAUUCCAAAUAAGCUCUUUCAUGGUAUUCCCUACAUUACUCCAUUUCUUGAAUGUUAGCUUCAGAUUCUAUCUAACAACAACACUAAUGUAGCUUAUUAAUGCAUUGCCACCCUUCGAGUUUAAUGGCUAGCCUUUACAAUUCCAUUGAACUUCUAUCUUCACAUCCUUGCUUCUUGACCGAAUGACAUUCUUCAUGGAAGUCAUUCCACGUGGAAGUCAUUUUUGAGAAAUGAUUUGCUUGUCUUGUGGAGUUGGUGUAGCUUCGUCACCACUGUGAGAACCAUGGUCGCCGCUUUGAGAAGCCCUUGAUGAAGUUUUUUGAGGUUUAUGAGGGUUUGCUGAGAGUAUGAGGAUUUCUUUUCGAUUAAGUUUGAUAGCAUAGAGGGAACGAUUCAUGUUUUAGAUAUUUAAAUUAUAUUACCAAUUUAACAACGCAUAUUAACAGUAGCGCUGUUAAAUAGACAUCUUCAACAGCACAUACUAACAGUAGCGCGGUUGUAUUUACAUCUUCAACAACACAUGUUAGGGAUUGCGUUGUUGUUGUGUAUCUAGUUGUUUACUACUUAUUUUCAUUAACACAUCUUCAACAACAGAUGUUUAAGUAGCGCUGUUGUAUUGACAUCUUCAACAGUGCAUAUUAAGGUUUGCGCUGUUGUUGUGUAUCCAGCCAUUUACUACUUAUUUUCAUCGACACAUCUUCAACACAACAUGUUAAAGUAGCGAUGUUGUAUUGACAUCUUCAACAUCAUAUAUUAAGGUUUGCGCUGUUGUUGUGUAUCCCGUUGUUUACUAUUUAUUUUCAUAACACAUCGUCAACAACACUAUAUUAAUUAUGCGCUGUUAAACUGAACUUAUUUUCCUAUUUAACAGUGUGAUCGUAGUUAUGCGCUGUUAAAUUAACAUUUUACAUAACUGAAAAAUAUUUAUACAACAUGAAUUAAGUUAUUUAAGAUGAAGUUGUCAUGAAGUAGAUUACUAUAUAAUUGUGUUUACUAAUACGAAACUGGAAAAAUAUUAAACAUUACAUUUUGUUAAUUUGUUUUUGUAUCUAUUAAUUAUUGUUAAUUUAUUUAUUGUGUUUAAUUUAUUAAUAAUGAACAACAAUAUUAUUAAUGAAAAUAACCAUCCAAAUAAUUAACAAAAAAUAGAAAUUAACAUCCAAAAUAAUUAAUUUAUUAUUCAUUCAGAGAGAUAAAAUACAUUAUAAUGAACUAAAUGAUUUGAUAGAUGCGAAUAUAAAGAACUAAAUGAUUUGGUAGAUGAAGAAUACAAUGAAAAUGAUUUCAAUGAAGGAAUUAAUUUUUUCUCCGACUCCUCUACACAAAAAUUUCAUCUCACGCAAAUUUUGUACAACAGCCACUUGCCUUCUGAAAUCUGGGACCGUCUUGAAAAAUGAAAGAGCUGAAUGAAUUAAAUAAUUCAUUGAUGUGAGUCCUUUGUUCUUCUACACAAAUCUUGUAUAACAGUUCAUUGAUUUCCUUUUAAAUCCUCGGUCCUUUUGCCAUGAAGGAAAUCAAUAAACUUAAGGAAUUGCUACAGAUGAUGGAGAAAAAUAAUUUAUUGAUCCUUUUCCUUUUAUUUUGGUUUAAUUGAAAGAGAUCAAUGAACUAAAUCUUCAUCUCACGUAAUCUUAUAUAAUAGCCACUUUCCUUUUGAAAUCUGGGACCGUUUUGAAAAUUGAAAGAGCUCAAUGAACUAAACUCAAUACGUUACAAAUUAAUCUUGUCCACAAUUUUUUGUUCGACUCCUCUACACAAAUAUUGUAUAACAGUUCCUUGAUUUCCUUUUAAAAUCUCGGUCCUUUUGCCAUUAAGGAAAUCAAUGAACUUAAGGAAUUGCUGCAGAUGAUGAAGAAAAAUAAUUCAUGGAUCCUUUUCCUUUUAUUUUGGUUCAAUUGAAAGAGAUCAAUGAACUAAAUCUUCAUUUCACACAAAUAUUGUAUAGUAGCCACUUUCCUUCUGAAAAUUGGGACCAUUUUGAAAAUUGAAAGAGGUCAAUGAACUAAACUCAAUACUUUACAAAUUAAUCUUGUCCACAAUUUUUUCUUCUACUCCUCUACACAAAUCUUGUAUAACAGUUCAUUGAUUUCCUUUUAAAAUCUAGGUCAUUUUGCCAUGAAGGAAAUCAAUGAACUUAAUGAAUUUGCAGAUGAUGAAAAAUAAUUCAUUGAUCAUAUUUUCCUUUUAUUUCCUUUUAAUUGCAAAUGAAAGAGAUCAAUGAACUAAAUCUUCAUCUUACACAAAUCUUGUAUGACAGCCACAUUCCUUCUGAAAUCUGGGUCCUUUUGCAAAAUAAAAAGUUGUUAAAGUCCUCCUUGACAUGAUUCUGAAAUAGAAACACAAUUUUUUCCUCGACUCCUCUAUACAAAUUUGGGUCCUUUUUCUUUUUGUCACUCUCUGUAGUAUUGCUCUUUUUUUACUACUUUGUGUUUUCUUCCACCCAACUUCAUGAACAUACUCUUCUGGAAACACAUACUCUUACUGGUGAAAUAAAACAUUGAGUGAACCACAAUAUUUAUAGAUGAACAACCAUUAAUAUUUCAACAAAUGAAGAGACGCAUAACGUAUUACUCAACCAUUAAUAUUUCAACAACCAAGAAACGCAUAACUACCCAACCAUUAAUAUUUCAACAAACGAAGAGACGCAUAAUUGCCACCAUUAAUAUCCCGGACGUUUAAAAUUUCGUAAAUUAUCAGCAACGCAUAAUUAAGCAAGAGCGAUUACUAUGUCAUCUUCAACAACGCUUCCUUAAUUAUGCGUUGUUGCAUGUAUUAACGUCAACAACGCUUUCUAUUAGACGCGUUGUUAAACAUGAAUCAUUCAAGUCAGCGCUAAUGUUACUGAUAUUCAACAACGUUUUGUCAUGAAUGCGCGGUUGAAGUUAUACGAUUUGACAGCGUUUGUUUUAUUAUGGGUUGUUGAUGUUCUUCUGCCUCAUUUUCAACAGGGUUAUUCAAAUUUGAGUUGUUCAAUAACCGAUGUUUAUUACGAUAUCUAGCGUAGUGAUAUAAUUUUAUUUUUAUAGAUAAUAAUAAAUAUUUUAUUAAUCUAGAAAUGGUUGUGAUCAUUAGUAAUUUUAUUUUCCCAUCACUUGAAUCCAGAAGUAGUUGUGAUAGAUCAUUAGUACUACUUUUAUCAUCAUCUAGAAUGGGGGGCAGUUCAAAAACCAUUACUUUUCAACACUUGGUUUUGUUUUAAGAAUAAACAUCUAUUUGAGCUCUUCAUAUUUUCCAUACACACCAAUUAAUUCCUAAUAAAUUUAAAUUAUCAUUUCACUCAUUAGUUUUCAUUGUGACCUACCUUAAUUUGUCCCAUAACUUAAGUAUGUUAACGGUAACAUAAUGGAUGAUGUAACACAUUAUCUGCACACAUGGCACUGCAGAAAAAGUUUGCCCACUUAGAAAAAAAAAUGUGGUUUUGAACUGAUUUUUUAAAACAAUAAAAGACACAACAAACCCAUUUUGUUUUGUGUCUUCCUUGUAAAGCUAUUUUUCAACCGUAAACCAUAAAUCUUCUCCCCUAUUUCUUCACCCCAAGCUUUAGCUAUGACUGCUACGUAUAUGAAAAUGCUAAGGAGAUCUAGCAGGACUUUACUUGAUCGUUUCCUUUUAAUUUUGAAAAAUCAAAGACUGAGGGAUGUCUAAAUAGACAAUGCAAAGCAAAUUCUAUGGCUGCCAGACAAUAUAGAAUGCAGAAAUCUUAUUGGAAACGUGGAUUUGGAAAUUUAACUACAUAAUACGCUUAGCAUGAAGCAAGCUUAAGAUGAAUGCGACACUCAUUAAUGAUUUUUUGCCACAACUUAGUGUUGGUGGAAAUGUUCUAUGUGAAGUAGGUUUCUUUGCUACUUUAGAUCUAUACCAUUCACCAUUUCAUAUAUACUUCCGAGCUAUCAAUUGAUUUGUUUGGCUUACAUAAAAUGGGGUGAAUAUUUGGAGAUAAAGAUCUCUGAUUUAGGGUUAAAAAUACUGUUUACCAUUGCUAAAAAAGAAGACAUAAGAAACACAUUGUUUUGUGUCUUUGAUAUAUAAAAAAAGUUUAAAACAACAUCACAUGUUCAGAUAACAUGGCAUGUCAGUAUGUCACCUAUUAUGUUACGGUUAACAGACACAGGUUAACUGAAAAAUAACUUGAGUCACAGUUUUAAAAAUUGAUGAUUAAAAUGAUAAUUUAAAUUUAUUAUUAGGUAAUUUGAUUCACACGGAAAGCAUGUAAUGCCCUUACUCUUAAUUUAAUUAACUCUAAUUUCCAUGAAUUAAAGAUUGCCAGUUGCCAAUAUAUACCCGUGAACAAAUCAAAAACAAAGUACAUUAUUUGCAAAGUCGUGCUAUCUCUUUGGCAUAUUAUCGGCAAUAAGCAUCAAACCUAUUGGCAUCAUCAGCAUACUUCCAAAAAACUAUAAAUUAAGAAAUUUUAUGUAAAGCAUUAUUAGCCUAGCAGCUACGCCAUUGAAGGAGCAUCACUUAUUCCAUGGCUGAGUAAGACAUGCACAAUCUAACAAUGAGAAUCCAGUGUUGACGCGUGAUCGUGUUGUGAAUACCACAAAUUUACAUAUAUUUUUGCUAUGUAAAAGAGGAAAUAAGAGACAUAAUUUUCUUCCAAAUCUAUACAGAAGAUAAGGACCCUAGCUGACAAUAAAAUUCAAAGAAGUCACUUCAUGAUAUUCUUCGCAGGAAUAAAACAAGCGUCGACAAUCGUAAAAGUUGACUUCAAAUAAACAUUAAUGCCUUUUCUAUUAAAAAGAAGUUAUUUCUUUCGUCAUGAUUCAUGAAUCAAGGAUAAAGAUGAGAUGAUUUGCAAGGUUAAGUGAGGAACAUCCACACAGUUGAUAGUAUUAUGAUGCUACUUUUUAGAAUAUUGUACUAUUAUAAAAAAUUUAGAAUAAUUAAUAUGAACUAUUGAAUCUUAUUUGAACAUGAUAUACAUAUAUGAUAUUUUAAGUGGUAUUAUGAUCAAUAACUAACUUUUAAUUUUAAUCAUUUAUAUAUGAUUGUAAGACCUAUAUUUAUUAUUCUCACAGUUUUUAUAUUAGAACUUUUAUUGUGAGAAAUAAAAAAUAUUAAUAUGGAUCGUUAGAUUUGUAUUGAAUGAUUAAGAUUAGAAGAUAAAAUGCAUAUGAUUAUUAACUAACUUUUAAAUGAUCAUAUGAACACUAACUAACUUUCAAUUCUAACCCUCAAUGAAUGAUUGUAUAAUCCAAUUUUAUUAUUUUCACAAUGAUAAUUAUUUUCACUUCAAUCUCUCUAUAUAAUAAUUAUCAAAGACUAUAUCUUGGUCAAAUGUAUCACCUAAAUCAAUUUUAAAAAGACUUGAGAAAUGUUAAACUUUUAUUGAACUAUUAGUAUUAAUAGACACUUAGAAGUUCUUCUACUGUAUAGGCUUGCACAUUAUAAAAUUUAAUAAUAAAUUAAUUAAUUAAAUAAAAUAAUUUAAUCGCUCUUCAAUUAUCUGCAUUAAUAUACAUUGUCAAAAUGCUAUUUAUAGGAGAUAACCAAAAUCCAAGAUUAAUUAGUAUUUACUAUUCUGUCUACCAUUCUGGUCGACAACAACAUUUGUAAUGGUUCCACUAUCAUAAAAAAUGAAGCAAGGGAGAAUCAAUCCAAACGAAAUGGCAAUUUCCAAAUUGAGAGUCAUAAUCAUAUUUUGACUAAUCAUUUGUUUUCAGCUGAAAUUUUGGAUUGGAGAGGACAUUUUCAAAGAAAAUGACAAAACUAGUGCUAAAAUGUAAAAAGAUCAAUUAUAUAUUUCAGUCGAAAAUAUUGAAUACUAGAUUUUAACAUUGACUUCAUGGACAUUGGCUUCAUGGGCAGAUUAUGAUCAAGAUACUUUGCAUUCAAUCAUUCUCUUACAUCAUUACCAUGCCAAGUUACUAUUUUACACUAACAUAUUAUUAGAGCGAUUAAAGUAAAUAUAAAUUGAAGAGCUUAUAUCUUUUAAAAAAUGAGAUUGUAGGAUAUGAAAACUAUUUUUAUACAGCUACUUAAAUUAGUAUUUAAAAAUGAAAACUUUUAGUAAUUUGUGUAUCAAUUUCACUCUUCAAACUUUUAAAACAUUAUAUUAGUUACUCAACUAAAAACUCUACUAUUUUUGUGAUGUAUAAAUUAUUCUUGCAUUUUAUUAUUUCAUGAGUGUAUAAAUUAUUUUCAUAUUAUAUCUUUUUAACGAUAGAUAGUGUCAACACCAGAAGAAUACCAUAAACUUAUAAAACUUAAUUGCAUUUUUAGAAAUAAAUAUUAAUAGUGGCCAAAAAAUAUUAUAAAAACAAACAAAUAUUGUAUGUAUUUUUUGGUUACUUUUCAAAUUUCAUCUAGUUACCAAUUUAGUUUUAUCAAACACUUCUUACAUAUACAGCGGCAAAUUUCCAACUAGCUUUAUAAUUAUCGGCAAUAAAUUUACAACUACAUACUUGUUUUGUGGAACAGAUCCAAAAAGAUAAAGAGGCAUUAAUUUUGUAAAAAGGAUUAGACCUAGUAACAUUGUUGGCAACUCUGAUUUGGGAGAAUAACCUGAAUUAAAUCGGUCCAGACUAAUUUCAACCUUGAAUAUCAACCCUAGCUUAUUCUAACAUGUUAUAUAUGAUAAUAAGCUAGAUUAUAUAAUUUGUGUGGUUUUGGUUAAUGAAUUUUUACUUCUAAACGCACAUGCCAAUCAACUCGUAUUAUAUAAUUGUAACUGCAAUAUUUCAUAUGAGAGUGAUUCUCUAUUAUUUUCUCUUUCAUUGAAUGAAUAAUCUUAAAGUUACAUUGUCCACACGUUACCUACGCGAACCUCCUUGGAGGUGGUUCUCGUUUCAAGAUCGUUUUUUAUUGAAGCAUUAAUUUUGGCCAAGGUUACUUGAAACAUGGGCUAGGCAAGACAAGUUUUUGCCCGAGACAAACUUGGAUUGUGAAAUGCAGCGAAAAUUAUAAGUAUUGGAUAAAAUAAGUGGGAAAGAUUUUAACGUGAUGAUGCCACAAACAAGAGAGUUGUUUGAUAAGAUGUUCACCACAAGGAAAGAUCCUUGAAGAACUAAAGGUAAAUCGCCAAACCAAGGGUGAUAAACCAUUGAACACCAUAAGGAAUGUUCCUUGAUAAGUUAUAAGUUAGGAGCAAAACUCAACUAAAGAGGAAAUAAUCUAAUCAAAUUCAACUUAUCAUUUUACCAUGUUAAUUCAGUUAUAAAUAGUAGUGUGGCUGCCAAGCAUGACUCCACAAAAACGCAAGUAAUUAAAUCACACAUUAAGUGUUAUUCCCUCAUUUCCCACGUGCACAAGCCUAGGAAUGGUCUAGGUUGAAUGGAUUCCAUUAAAAGAAACAAUACCAUGUAUAAUUUACAUGGUAUAUGCAUAAGAUAAGUUUUCCCACGCAUACUUCAAGUAUGGAAUAUUUCCAUACGGCUCAUAAGUGUGUGCAAUUAGCAUUCAAAUGCUCUUCUUCAAGAAAGGAAAGAAUCCUCACGCCUAAAACCCAAAAAUGAAAGUUUUCUCACAGCCAUAAAUGUUGCUCUUUCAUUGAAAUGAAUCCCUCCAAUAAAGGAAAUAAUUCGUGCACAUAAAUCCUUGUAUUUUGAAUUACCACAUGGUUUGCUUCACUUAUGGAAAGAAGUAAUCUUACCACAUGAGUUGCUUCUCUUAUUCAUUUGAAUUUGAAUCUCAUCAUAAAGAAUUUCCUUUGCAUUCAAAUAAAUCCUUUCAAGAAAGGAAAUGAUUUAUGCACAUAACUCCUUGGUGGUAAGUACCACACGACACCUUAAUGCCUUGAGAUCCGUCAAUGAUUUGGAAUGACCAAAUUCAAUGAAUUUUCUCCAUAUGGAAAGGAUGCCACACGGUUUGCUUCAUAUGGAAAGAUAUCAUUUUCAUGCUUUUGAAUUUGAAUCCUGGAAUCUUCAUAUUGAUGCACGUCACCUCUUAACAUGGAUAUAAUACACGUCCAUAAAAGGAAACCCAUAAAAAUUACAACGAUUUACUAAAAAUAACUUAAACUAGAUGGCGAUAAAAGACGCCCACUUUAUUAAAUGCAACUCAACAAUGUGGCCCCAUUUGGCUCACAUCAUUACCUCAUCACGAGCAUCACUACGCCAGAGUUGUCGUUCAACAACGCUUAUUUUAGAUGUAUAACAACGCUUUCAUGCACUUUUUGUUUGACCACAGUAGUAUAUGGUCAUCAUUAACAGUGCUUCACAAACGUAGUUGUAUUGAUUAUAUACCACAACACAACACAUAAAAAGCGUUGUCAUAUAGUGCAUUAUUAAUACAACAGUGACUCGUCCACAAAGCGCUGUCAUAUAGUGGAUCAAUAAAACACCGCAUCGUCCACAAAGUGUUGUCAUAUAGUCUUAAAUAAACAUCACAUUUUAUAGGUCUUAUUAACAUCGCUAGUUGUUGCGCUGUUGAAGUUCAUAUAUUUAAGAGCGCAAUAACAGAGAAGCGUUGUUGUAUUAUUCAUAAAUUUUCUUAAACACACCUUAAUAUAACUGUGUAUCACAUGUAUAUCGUUGUUGUAUUGAUAAUAUACUAGAGCGCUUUCUAUAAAAAACGUUGUUGUAGUUAUCCUUUAUAACAACGCAUGUCAUGGCUUCCCCUAGAAUUCGCUGUUGAUUUGUAUAAAUUAAUACCUGCAUAUACAUUUAUUAGCAGAAUAAACAUUCUCAAUAGCACAUAUAUUUAUACAUUCUAAACAACACAGACACAUUAAUACAUGCCAAAACUUUGUUUUAUUAAACAUCAAUACACUACAAAAUAUAAACAAUGAAUAUCAUGCCAAUUAUGUUUUGACAGAGUACAUAAUUAGAAAUAAAAAAAUUACACAAAUUACAAAGAAACAAUAUUAUACAAAUUACAAACAAUCAAAAUUGUAUAAAGACUACUUGCAUCUAUUCUUUCCUUUUCUUUGAUUGUUUUUGUCUUUUAGGGUCAUCCUUGUCUAGAGGAGCAUAUUGAUUUACCCAAAACCCUUCAUCAUGAUCAUCUCUUCUAUAUAAAUCAUCAUCCAUAGUUGGUCCGUCCUCACGCGACUGAUAUGUCCCAAAAAAGGAUCAUCUUCAUCAAUACCUUCAUAUUCUUGGUCAUCAAUAUUAUUGACGAUUAUUUUGUUAAUUAAAAGUACAAUGAACCAUUUCAUAUCAGUUGGGUCACUAACAUAGAAUACUUGUUGAGCUUGUGAUGCUAGAAUAAAUGGCUCAUCUUUAUAUCCUCGCCUAUUAAGAUCCACUUGCAUGAACCCUAACUCAUCCACUCGGAAGACCAUAUUGUUAUCAACCCACAUACAAUAAAAAACCGACAUCCGAAAUAUUGUGUAUUCCAAUUCCCAUAUAUGUUCAAUAACUCCAAAGUAUGACAUGUUUGCAUAUAUUGGGUUUCUAUCUUUUGCCCUUGACAUGUGUAAAGUUAGAGCAACAAGAGUCACACCACUAUUUUGCAUUUUACUUUGAUCAUCUUGUUUUUUCGUAUAAAAUUUGAACCCAUUAAUUAGGUAACCAGUGUAGGAUAAGACAUGAUGGCUUGGAUCAUUGGCUAACCAUUUCAAUCUUUCAGUAACCGAAUGUGCAUUCAUAUUCAAUUCUUCAUCGAUUUUUAGCCACUUUAUAAAACACCAAUUAGGAAAUUCAAUUUUCAUUCUUACUUGGGUAACACUUCCUUAGCAUCUCCUUCUCUAUUUCAAAAUAUGGCUCAAUCUCAUCGGCAUUAUGUAAAACAUAUAAGUGCGCUUGCUCCAAUUCAGUUCUUGUUAUAGUCAAUAUUUCAUUCCCAUUAAUACUCUCACCAAAUGUUUUUUUUUUUUUUGCAUAUCGAGGCUUUGGAAUGCCCAUGAAAUCACCAUCAGUAAGGUAUCCGGUACAAAAAUCAAGAGAUUCUUCAACAACAUAGCGCUCGACAAUUCAACCCUCUUGUCUUGAUCGGUUCUUCACAUACCCUCUUAAUGUCUUCAUAUAACGCUCAAAGGGGUACAUCCAUCUCAUAUAGGAAGGGCCAUAUAGUUGUGUCUCUCGAACAAGAUGAUGCUUAGAUGAACCAUUACGUCAAAAAACAAAGGUGGGAAAUACAUUUCAACCUCACACAAAGUCAAAGUAAUUUGUCUUUGCAAUGCAGAUAAUUUCUCAGGGUCAAUCACUUUGCUACAAAUUGCCUUGAAGAAGAAGCAUAACCUAGUUAUGGUUCCUCGAACUUUUUUAGGUAGAAUUGACUGUAUUCUAACAGACAAGAAAUGCUCCAUAAGUACAUGAAAACAAUGAGAUGUAAGUCCUUUUAACUUUAGCUCUUUCAUUGAUACGAGGUUUUGAAUGUUCGAAGAGUACCCUUCUGGAAUUUUAACACCAUGAAUAAAUUUACAAAUUUCAUUUUCUCCUUUCUCGACAAAGUAUAAGCUGUUGGAGGUUGAAAUGUACGUUUUCCCUUCAUUAUCGGCCCUAAUUCCUUUCUUCUUCCCAUACUAACCAAGUCCAACCUUGAAUUCAAGCCAUCUUUGGUCUUACUAGAGACAUUGAAUAAGGUACCAAGGAGACAUUGAAUAAGGUACCAAGGAGACUUUCAAACACAUUUUUUUCAAUAUGCAUAACAUUGAGGAAAUGUCUUACAUAUAAUGAACUCCAAUAUGGCAAAUUAAAGAAGAUUGACCUUUUCUUCCACCCCUUUGUGGCAAUUUCUUUUGAAAAAGGUUUGCCAAAGUUAGUAUUCAAACCCUUUAUCUUUUGAAAUAAUUGGUCACCUGACCACGGCAAAGGAGCACGACAUUCUUCAUUGUUUUCAUCAAAUGCUUUUCUCCAUCGUCGAUAGUGAUGAUCCUAAGGCAAAAAUUUACGAUGGCCAAGGAAGACAUUUUUCUUAUAGUGUUCCAACCUAAUUGAAUGUGUAUUGUCUUCACAUACAGGACAUGCAAAAUGUCCUUUUGUACUAUAUCCAGACAGAUUACCAUAUGCAGGGAAAUUACUGAUUGUGUCGAACAACAAAGCCCUCAAGUUGAAGCUUUCUUCCAUAUACGCAUCAUAUACAUUUAUGAUUGUCUCCCACAUUUGCUUCAAGUGUUCAAUUAAUGGAGCCAAAUAUAUGUCUACAUCAUUUCCUGAUUGUGUAGGUCCAGAAAUUAACAUAGAUAACAUCACAUAUUUUUGCGUCAUGCAUAGAGAAGGAGGUAGGUUGUAUGUCACCAACAUUACUGGCCAUGUACUGUGGGAGAAACUUUGAACACUAUGUGGGUUAAUUCCAUCCCUUGACAAUGCAAGACGUAGAUUUCUUGAUUCUUGACCAAAACUAGGAUAGUCGUGAUCAAUUUUUAUCCAUUGAGGAGAAUCUGCAGGAUGCCGAAGCUUGCCAUCUUUAAUCCUUUCUUCAUCUUGCCAUGUCAACUUCUUUGCAUCUUUGGCAUUGCUAAACAUACUUGAAUCUUGCUUUGAUAGGAAAAUACCAUACAACCUUUUUGGGAAUUGAGUCUUCCUUCUUGUAUCGUGAUGCAUUACAUUUAGGACAAAACUUUAAUGAAGCAUACUCAUUAAAAAAUAAGAUGCAAUCAUUUUCACAAGCAUGUAUCCUAGUGUAGUCCAUGCCUAUGGAGCGUAACAUUUGAUUUGUGUCAUAUGUUCAAGAAGGGAGCAAGUCGGUGAAACUCUUAUAGUCCAUCCAUUAACAGAUUUCAACUUAUACAACCUUGACACUGCUGCCAAUCUUGUGAAUUUAGUACAACCAUCAUAUAAGGGUUUCUCAGCAUCACUUAUCAAUCUCUAAAACAUCUCAGGACAAUCCUGAAGAUCCUCUUCGACAAUGUUUGUCAUUUCCUCGAAACGAUCGUCUUCAUAUGCAUUUGUGAAGUUGCCUUUCAUAUGCAUCUCAUCAUCACAAGCCAUAUCGUCUCUCGUCUCACAAUGUCUUGUGCAAGAUGUGUAACUUUGAUCAAUACCAUGACACAAUAAAUGACCUUUUAACUCAUUUGGAGUAAUUCGGUUUGAGUAACAACAUCCUAAGCAAGGACAUACGAUUCUAUUAGGGUUUUCAGCAUUCUCAAUAGCAAACCUAACUAAUGAUUUCACUCCUUCUUCAUACACUUUCGUCAAUCGAUUGGCACUCAUCCAUUUUCGUUCCAUUUUCUAUUAAAAAAACAAUAUAAUGAGCAUAAAUCCCUAAGGCUUGGAGUUAAGCUUACUAAGCAGAGAAAAUGCAUUAUUAUGAUCGGGACCCUAACUCGUAAUGUAAGCUAAAUGAGUGAAAUUUAUGAGGAAAAUAUUUAUAACUCAAUACGAGCUAACUAUAAUGUAAUUAAAAAGGCAAAUAACUAUAAGAAAAACUCACUUUCAAUUCAGUGUUGAACGUGUGAAUGAUGAUUUUAAGGUUAAACGAGUGAAGGAUUUUCGAAAUAGCUGUUGAAUGAUUUUUGUGUUGAAUGAGUGAAUGAUUUUUGGUGUUGAAUGAGUGAAUAAUUUUGAUGUUGAAUGAUUUUCGAGGUCAAUUUUGAGAGUAAAUGCAUUUCGCUGUUGAGUAAAUGAGUGUUGGGAUUGUUGACGAAUGUGUGAGAAUGGGGGACCAUUUUAAUUUUUUAAGGUAUGAUAGUAUCUUCAACAAUGCAUAAUGAAGAAGUUGUUGUCAAUGAUACCUAAUCAACAGUGCAACCAAAAGGAAAUGCUGUGGAAAAACUCCCGAUUCAAAUAUGAAGGUAAGUGUUCCACAUCGCAAUCUUAAGGAAACAUUGUGGAAGAUAUAAUAAAUUUUUACUAAUUCAUUUUUUAAUGAAAUUCAAAUUAGUAACUACAUUAUGACAUUCGAUUAAUGACAAUUAAUUAAAUAUAUAGAACAAUUAAUAAUGACAAUAAAUAACAUUCAAAUAAUUAAUCGAUUAAGCAUUGUGUUAAGCAAUUAAGUGCAGAGGAAAUAGUUUUGAUCAUAUCGAUAACGCUUCUUACCGCAUGCGCUGUUGUAUAGCUAAAAGAGAAUGUAUGAGAGAUAGGAAUUCAACAACGUUUUUUUGUUCAUGCGCUAAUGUAUUCAACGAAAGCAACAACACUUUUUGAGAAUGCGCUGUUGAAUGCAACGUAAUCAACAUCGCAUUGUUAAAAAAACGUUAUUGUGUGGGUAUAACAACAGUGCAAUCAGACAAAAGCGCUGUCGAAGACCAUUAUCCUUAAUUCUAAAAAUUAAAGUUAUGCACACAACAGAAAAUACCCUGAUGCAUACAGAAACAAUGAAUGUAUACAUAAACACCAAUGACAACUAUAUGAACACAACUGAAUUUCAACUGAAUUUAUAUAUUGAACAUUAAUUACACUGUUUACAUAAACAUAUAUUACAUAGACCAAAUCAUAUACAAUACAUUGAACAUUAAUUGAAUUUCCUAAGCUAGAAUAUGUGGAAAACUAAUCUACUAAACUAAGUACAAACUUUGACCAUUGUUCUCUAAUGUGGUUGACUUGGUCAUCUGUAAAUGAUUUGCCAACAAACUUGAUUUCAUUAGUUGGCCACUGCUUAAUGAUAUCCUUGAUGAAUUUCAGCACGUAAUAGCAGUAAUCUAUCUGGUUUGUUUGAUACGAGAUCUACAAUUAAAAUGAAGUAGACAUAUAAGCAUAACAUUAGUUGGCCAUUACACAUAUAAUUGUUUGAGAUGAUUUGGGCCAAUACCUUUAUAUGAGUCCACUUGAUUUUGUUGGGAUUUGGUAACUUGUUUCUACCACAAUUAUUCAAUUUGUAAACUUUCACCACACUAAACAAUAGAAAAUACACUUAAUUAAUAAACAACUUGGAAAGUGAAAGUGUAACUAAAAGUUUAAAUGAGUAGUCCAUUUACUUAGAAAACAUAUCUUUCAUAGCAGUGCAGUUGUUCAUAUCACCACGUGCCAAUGAGUCAAAGUAGUAUAUUUCUUCAUUGACCCGAUUGAUGGCAACCAUAACCCAAUGUUGCCUAACAAAAUAUAUGUACAUGGUUAGGAAAUGUUAAGCAUAACAAACAUACUAAAGAAAGAAAUAUAAAAGACAAUUACAAAAUGCUCACAUGAUAUUAAAAAAUGAAAGAAAUAAGUCUGCAUCUUCUUUAUGAUGGAUGAGAUUAUCUGCAAUUUGUUAUGUUUUUUUCCCAAUCUCAUUUUUUUUCGUGCGACAUCAAAGCGGUAAGGUGCAGGGAUAUCAACAUCACAUUUUCCUUAUUUACCUUAAUAAAAUUUUCAUACAACUACCUAAUAUAUAUAACACAAAUGUUAGUUAAUUAUAACACACCAUCAUGCAUAAGUGAAAAGUUAAGAAAACAUAAUUUACCUCAUAUAUAUACAUACAACACUUGCACCUAUGCAAUCAUGUUUAUAUACAUCCUCGACUUCAGUCAUGCCAAUGUAUUCAUCAACAUUAUCCUCGUAGCCUUCCUUAGGAAUUGAUAUAAUUAUCAUAUCAUCUUCCAUCUUCUGUACAUGCUCCAUCAACUGAGUAUAAUAGUUGGUAGUCUUCUUGGAGCUCAAAUCCCUAGUAGAUGACUUUUAGCUCACAUCCCCUGAAGAUAGCUUAGACUUUUGGGUGCUACUGGGGGUGGAAUGUACAUUUUCCUAAAAUAUUCAAUAAAAACAUAUAAAUUAUAGAUCAAUAUAUAUAAUAUGAGUGAGAAUAAGGUGAAAAAUCAUACCUUAGGAGGAAUUACUUCAACAAGGUCUAUUGGCUAAGCCACAAAAGUGCCUAUAGCCCCUCCAACUAUAGGAAUUGGCAGCAACACAUUAUCACCGAUUGCAAUGUCAAUCAAGACCUUCACAUGAUGGCGUGCGAUACGUGCAUUCUGCAGCAUAACAUCAGCCAACUUGAGCACUUUCCUAACACUCACUACUCGGCUAGUUGGGGUAUCUAGGAAAAGUUUGGAAGAAGUGAUUCCUUGUAUGUAAGUUAAAACAUAUAAUUAGUUAACGACUAAAUUAAAAUAAGUUAACUAAAUUACCUCAGGAAUGGAAAUUGGAAUGGGAAUGUUGUAAGGAGCAGAUCUAGUGUAACUCUCAUUGACGGUUGAAGGAAUAGUGGCAGCAUUACUAGCUAGUCGUUGCCACUCAGCUUCCUUCACCUUCAUUGAUUCCUAAAAUUCGUUGAACCGUUGCAUGAAGCCAUCUAGUUGAUUUUGAACCUGGCUCAUUUGGGCUUUGGUUGCAAGCUUUGGAUGUGGUACAAAUGUUCGCUAGCUAACCCCAAAUCCUACACCUCGGAUACAGCUAUGAUAGAUAGGCAGUCCUAGUGCCUUGUCAAUUAUUAGGCGACUAUCCGGGUUUGCCGCCUUUUCUUUUAGGGCAACUUGACAAAUCAAGAAAAAACAUAAUGUUAACUAAUAAAUUUUUGAUAAAUAAAGUAUGAAAAUUAAGUAUAAUUAGAAAAUAUGAGCACUUACAACACGUUUUGUCGCUUCUUGAACUUCCUCAUUGUCGAUGACACCAUCCUUGUUCUUACAGGCAUCCACCCAUAGAACAUGGAGUUCUACUCCAUAUGGAGUCAUAUAUAUAUGCAUAUAAAACAUAACAAUAAUGUAAAAAUUAACAAUACUUACAAUUAUUUCCUCGAUUCCUCGAUUCCUCUAUACCACGCUCGAGAAUCUCGGUAUGGAUAUAAAGGCUUGGAUGCCCUCUUGCAUUUUUCAUUACUUAAUUUCUAAAACAAUAAACAAAAUUAAUAUCAACAAUCAUAUACAAAAGCAUAUAUACAAAAGUCAAUACAAAGAAUAUGAUUUUACCAAGAAAGACUCGUCUUGUCGCGUAAGGUGACAAAAGUAUUCCAAUCAUCUUCAUCAAUGAUAUUUGCAUAUUUAAUUGGAGGUUUUAGGUUGACAUUGCCAUCAGCAUCUCUGAGUAAUUUUCCGGCAUAAGUUCGGAAUUGUCGGAUAGCCUUGCCAGCCGAUUUAAGGAUAUAAUCCUUAUGCUCCUCAUCAACAUGAAAAGUUACAUGAAAUAAAAACACAUACAUUAUAUAUUGCAUACAUAUAUGUACAUUGCAUGAAAACAUAACACAUAUACGUACAUUGCAUGAAAACACAAAAACUCAAAAACUGAAAAAAAAACUUACUCUUAUUUCAUUCCAAAUACCUUUCUUCACGAUAUUCUCUAUAUCACUCCAUUUAUUGAUUGUUAGCUUCAGAUUCUGCCUAACAACAACACAAAUGUAGCUUACCAAUGCGUUGCCACCAUUCUUGUUUAAUGGUUGGCCUUUAGAGUUCCAUUGAACUUCUAUUUUUACAUCCUUGCUUCUUGACCAGAUGACAUUCUUCAUGGAAGUCAUUCCACGUGGAGGUCAUUUUUUAACAACGAUUUGCUUGUCUUAGGGAGUUGGUAUAGCUUCGUCACCAGUGUGAGAUACAUGAUCGCAACUUUAGAAAGCCAUUGAUGAAGUUUUUUGAGGUUUAUGAGAGUUUGCUGAGAGUAUGAGGGUUUGGUUAGAGUGUGAGGAUUUAUUUUCGAGUAAGUUUGAGAGCAUAGAGGAAAAGACUCAUGUUUUAGAUAUUUAAACUAUAGUAACCAUUCAACAUCGCAUAUUAACGGUAACACUAUUAUAUUGACCUCUUCAACAACGCAUAUGAACGGUAGAGCUGUUGUAUUGACAUCUUCAACAACAUAUAUUAAUGAUUGCGAUGUUGUUGUGUAUCCAAAUUACACAACUCAUUUUAUGAACACAACUUCUUCCACAACGCAUAUUUAACGUAGCGCUGUUGUAUCAACAUCUUCAACAGCGCAUAUUAAGGAUUGCACUUUUGUUGCGUAUCCAGCUGUUUACUACUUAUUUUCAUUAACACAUCAACAACGCUACCUAGAUGUAGUGUUGUUGAUUAAAAUCUAAUUGACAGCGUUAUCUGAAUUAUGCGUUGUUGAAUAGAAUCUAAUUGACAGCGCAAUCAUAAUUACGCGCUGUUAAACUGAACUUAUUUUCCAAAUUAGCAGCGUAUUCAUAGUUAUGCGUUGUUAAAUUAAUAUUUUAUAUAACUGAAAAAUAUUUAUAUAACAUAAAUUUACUUAAAUUAACAUGAAGUUGCCAUGAAGUAGAUUAUUACUAUAUAAUUGUGUUUAUUAAUACGAAACUGGAUAAAAUAUUAAACAUUACAUUUUGUUAAUUUGUUUUUGUAUUAUUAAGUAUUGAUAAUUUGUUUAUUGUUUUUAUUAAUAAGGAACAAUGCAAAAAUAUUAAAGAGAAUAAUCAUUCAAAUAAUUAACAAAAAAAACAAAAAUUAACUUAAAAAAUAAUUGUUUUAUUAUUCAUUAUAACGAACUAAAUGAUUUGAUACAUGCGAAUAUAAUGAACUAAAUGAUUUUGUAGAAGAGAAAAUAAUUUUGUCCACAAUUUUUUCCUCCACUCCUCUCUACACAAAUCUUGUACAACAGUUCAUUGAUUUCCUUUUAAAAUCUGGGUCAUUUUCCCAUGAAAAUCAAAUGAAGGAAAUCAAUAAACUUUAGGAAUUGUUGCAGAUGAUGAAGGAAAAUAAUUGAAAGAGAUCAAUAAAAAUUGAAAGAGCUAAAUGAACUCAAUAAUUCAUUCCCCUUUUCCUUUUAUUUCAUUUCAUUUUCAAAUGAAAGAGAUCAGUCAACUAAAUCUUCAUCUCACGCAAAUCUUGUAUGACAGCCACCUUCCUUCUAAAUUUGGGGCCCGUUUGAAAAUCAAAAGAUUUCAAUGAAUUGAAAAAAUUGAAAGAGCUCAAUGAACUUAAUACUUUACAAAUUAAAUCUUCAUCUAAUGCAAAUCUUGUAUGACAACCUUCUUUCUGAAAUAUGGGUCCUUUUACAAAAUCAAAAGUUGUUAAAGACCUCCUUGACAUGAUUCUGAAACAGAAACACAAUUUUUUCCUCGACUCCUCUAUAUAAAUCUGGGUGUUUUUUCUCUUUUUCACUCUUUGAAGUAUUGCUUUGUUUUUUACUACUUUGUGUUAUCUUCCUCCUAUCUUCAUGAACAUACUCUAAUAGAAACACAUACUCUUAGGAUCUUAGCUUACUGAUGAAUUAGAACAUUGAGUGGACCACAAUAUUUAUAGACGAGCAACCAUUAAUAUUUUAACAAACAAAGAGACAUAUAACCACUUAACCAUUGAUAAUUCAACAAUCAAGAAACGCAUAAUCACUCCACCAUUAAUAUUUCAACAACCAAGAAACGUAUAACAACUCAACUAUUAAUAUUUCAACAAACGAUGAGACGCUUUACUACUCCAUCAUUAAUUUCUCAGACGCUUAAAAAGUCGUAAAACAUCAACCGCGCAUAAUUAAGCAAGCGCGAUUACUACGUCAUCUUCAACAUCACUCAAACUUAAAUAUCGGUUGUUGCAUAUAUUCUCAUCAAUAAUGCUUUCUAUCAAAUGCGCUGUUAAAAAUAAAUCAUUCAAGUCAGCAAUAACGUUACUGAUGUUCAACAUCGCAUUGUCAAGAAUGCGCUGUUGAAGUUACACAAAUUGACAGCGUCUACUUUAUUAUGCGUUGUUGAUGUUCUUCCGCCUCAUUUUCAACAACGUCAUUCAUAAUUGUGUUGUUAAAUGACCGCUGUUUAUUACGAUAUCUGGUGCAUCCAAAACCUUUUUUUGAGCAUUUCCUCUUCUAGCUAAAACUCUCAUGUUCACACAUGGUUCCUUCAUUAUCGUAUAAAUGUUUUUUUGUCUAGUAUCAAUUAGAAUAUGAAAACAACCCAUGAUUUCCUUAGCCAUGAGCACUGUAUAAACAAAUUUAACAACUAGUAACAACUUAUAACUCACAUCAUCACAAACACUCUUCUCCUAACCUCUAGUAGUACGAGUUAUCAAUUAACUACAAGAGUUUUAGGAUGGCUUCCAAAACUUCUUGUUGGACAUGUCAUAGUUCUAGUCCAAAGACAAAGCCAUAUCCCCUUUCAGGUGGCUCAAGUUCAACAUGCCCACGUGAUGCACUCAAACUAGUGCAUGCAACAUCAUUAUCUUAAUUCAAAGUUUAAAGGAUACAACUAGAUUUAGUUUAAAUUUAUAAUUAAUAAUCAUCAUGUGACAAUAAUAUGCAAAGAAACAUGCAUAACUGCGAUAUUAGUCCAAAAUCAGAAUAAUUAACAAUAAAAUAUUUAAAACAAAGAUUAUAGCUUAUGUAAACAACUAAUGUCCAACAUCAGUUACACAACUUUUCAGAUUUGUCAUUAUGUUUUUGUGGUUAAAACGUAUAAAACAUUUUAAUCCUUAUUGGGAGAUAGCUAUUAUUUAAUGAGAGAUUUGGAUUUGGGAUUGAUUAUAAAUUGAGGAAGAUAUUAACACAUUUUUCGCCCAUACUAAGAUUGCAUCCUCACUACUGCAUGGAUAAAAUUUCACCUUAAAAUUGUCUCAUUAUUUAUUUCUUUUUUUAUUUAGAGAGGAAAAACAAUUAUUUCUUUUUUAUUAUACGCAACAAGACUUUAUCUUGCUUUUAUCUAUCCCUUAAGGUAAUAGGGAAUCAAGACUACAUAGUUCUUAUUUUAAAAAUAAUUAAUUUGAUUUGUUUGAAAACAUAAUUGAACAAUUACUAUAUUUAUUCUAUUCAAGAGUUAUACAACAUAAACUAAUAUUCGCAUUGUAUCUAAACUCAUANNNNNNNNNNNNNNNNNNNNNNNNNNNNNNNNNNNNNNNNNNNNNNNNNNNNNNNNNNNNNNNNNNNNNNNNNNNNNNNNNNNNNNNNNNNNNNNNNNNNUAUAUAUAUAUAUUUCUAAAUAAUUAAAACUUAUUCCCUUUAAGAAUUGUUAAACAAUGGAAAGCGAUGUUUUAAAUUUGGCUCGGACUCGUUGGUCAAACCAGUUCAACCAUGAACCGAGCAUCUAAUCGAUUUGAGCCUUUCAUUUAAUAAAGUUUGCAUUACACCCAUUACACUAGAUAAAGUAUUUAACAAUGGUCAUUCAACAACACUUCCUAGCACAACCUCUUAAAUACAUGACGAAAGAUAAUCAAUAGCGCUCUGUUAAGAAAGCGCUAUUAAAUUUGAUAGGUCGAUAUAGCUUCAACAAUGCUUGCUUCAACAAGCGUUGUUGUAUGUAUGCCUAAGAUAUUCAACAACACUCUUUUAAGCAAGAGUUGUUGAUUUGAAUCUAUUCAACAUUGUUUGCUUAAAUGAGUAUUGUUAAAGGUGACAUAUCAACAACGCUCAUUACAAUGAGCGCUGCUAAAAGUUACACAUUUAACAUCGUUCGAUUUAAUGAGCGCUGUUAAAAUUCGUUAUUCCAUAAUAUGUAUUUAUAAAAUUAUUUAAUUUUAUUUUGAAAGAUGCAAUUGGAGUAAAUAUUGCACGAAAAUCAUCCAAAUUGUUAAAAGAAACUCAUAUGCUAAUUUUUCAUAUAUAAUGCAACUUGGUCAUACAUAUAUGAAAAAAGCAAUUAGUUAUUACUUCAAAAAAAUAUAUUAUAAAUCACCAACAAAUAUUAUUAAAAUAGAAACUCAUAUGCUAAUUUUUCAAAAAAGUUGUUGAAUUUAACCCUAUAUAUUCUACUAUGUUCAUAUAGGCAGCGCCCGAAAACCCCGGUUGAAUGAUAAUUUCAAGUGUAGUUGUUUUGUUAUUAUGGCGUAGUGAGAGGAAUAUACCAGACUACAACAUUGGCAUCACUAAUUUCGGUGGACAAUGAGAAUUAGAUCAGUUCAGAUUAAUUUCAAUCUUAUGGAUGUAGCUUAUUUGGACAUAUGGCAAGUGAUAAUUUUCUAGAUUAUGAUAUGUGUGUGGUUUUGAUUGGUGAAUUUGUACUCUAAUUGCAACGACAUGUAUAGUAAUUUAUGAAAACUUGAAUUCUUUAAUUGAUUUUUUAUGCAGAAUUUUCUAAUCACCUACUCUUAUAUAAUUUUCGCCGCAACAUCGUGUAUGAGAGUGUUCCUCUCAUUUUUCUCUGUACCUGACUUUGGUAUUUGUCCUAUUCAAUAGUUAAUUAAAAUAAUUUGCGUAUAUAUUUAAUUGAUUCUUUUAUAUAUAAAUUCUUUAAUUGAUCGGAAUGAACUCCUAUUGUCCACUAUUGUAUCAUUUUGAAAACAAUAAUAUUAUUAAAUUUGAGUGGGGGUUACAAUAUUUUCAAAAAGAAGUUUACUAGAAAGAAAAUCAAAACAAAUGAGUGAGAUAAUUGCAAGAAUCGGAAAUCCAACUAGAAUUGAUCUAAAUGGGGAUGGCUCCCUGGGUCUUGAUGGCUUUAGUGGUUGUUUCUUUCAAGCUUUCUAGGACAUUGUUGGUAAUGAUAUAUGUAGGACAGUGGUCCAAUUUUUUGUUCAGGGAUGGAUCCUCCCAAACUUCAACUCUAACAAUAUUAUUUUGAUUCCUAAACUCCAUAGUGUCAAUAAAAUCGAGGACUUUAGGCCCAUUGCUUUAGCUAACUUUAAGUUCAAAAUCAUCACAAAACUCCUGACUGAUAGGUUAGCUUCUGUUGCCCGUAUAAUCAUCUCUCAUCAACAAAGAGGUUUCAUCAAAGAUAGAUAAAUCAAAGGUUGUUGAGGGUAAAAUGAAGAUGAUCGUAAAUCAAAUAGGGGUGUGACAAGGUGAUCCUCUCUCUUCUUUUUUGCGUUGCCGAAGAUGUCCUUUGCAGUUGCAUUUCUAAACUGGUUGUUGAGGGUAAAAUGAAGAUGAUUGUGGGCUCAAGUAAGAUUAUUAAUCCUAGUCAUGUUCUUUAUGCGAAUGAUAUUCUUAUCUUUUGAGACGGUCAUAAGUAGCACCUUUCUUCCCUUAUGAAGCUUCUUCAAGAUUAUAGUCAAGCCUCCGGCAAACUUCUUAAUGCUAGUAAAUGUAAGUUCUAUGCUGAAAAAAUCACUUCCUCUAUAUCUUUGUCCAUUUUCUCUACCCUUGGUUUCUCCUAAGGUAGCAUGUCUUUCUCUUACCUAGGGGUUCCUAUCUUCAAAGGAAAACCUAGAAAGAUUCACCUUCAACCUAUUGCUAACAGGAUUGUCCAUAAAUUAGUUGUUUGGAAAGGCUCAUUGUUAUCAUAAUAGGCAAAGUGGAGCUUGUCAAAUCGGUUGUUAACAACAUGCUUCUUUACAGCUUCCAUGUCUAUGCCUGGCCGAGCCAACUUCUGAAAUACGUCAACAAAUGCAUUAGGAACUUCAUUUGGUCUGGGAUAUUGCUGAGAUGAAAAUGGUCACAAUAGCCUAGAAUCGUGUUUGCUCUCCUUCUUCAGAAGGGGCCCUUGGAAUCAUGUCUAUUAAAAAGAUUAAUUAUGCGACUAUCCUGAAGUUGGAUUGGGAGUUGAUGUCUUCUCAUCUAGACCGGGCUAACUUUUGUAGGGAUAGAUUUAUUUCCAACAAAAUGUCAAUCGAUAGACAUCUCAACUCCUAUAUUUGGUUUGGCAUAAAGUUGAAGCUGAGGGUUGUUCUUAAUAACACAAUUUGGAUUAUUGGUGAUGGUAGAAAAAUUAAUUUUUGGAGGGAUAACUGGCUUGGUAGCACCAUAGAUGACUCUCUUCAUAUCCCUUUUAAUGUCCAAAUUUCUCAAAAAGACUAUUGUUGAUUUCAUCAUACAUAGACAAUGGUUUCUUCCUUAAUCGUUUUGCAUUUUUUCCCUCACUUAUCCAUUGAUAUCUGCAAGAUGAUUGUGCCUAAAGGUAUAUUGGAGGACCAACUUCUUUGGUAUCACUAUGAGAAUAGGAACGUCUCCCUCAAAGAUGUCAUUAAUCAUAUAUUCCUUCCCGACCAACAACUUUCCUGGUUCCAAAUGAUUUGGUCUACCAAUAUCCCCCUUCUCAAACUUUCAUUGUGUUGAUACAUCUUCUGGUUAAGCAUUGUCAUUAAUUUGCCUCUUGAUACAUCUUCUGUUAAUAGUAUUUUCUUGGUGUGCAACAAAAGUUGGAGUCGACAAUCUAGAGCAUGUUGAUUGCUGCUAUUGUGUACACUAUUGGAACUAUUUGGCGCUGUAGAAACAAGAUCAGGUUUGAGAACAAAUACAUGUCUAAGAACUCUGGCAUUUGCUUGAUUAAAGAUGCUACUUCUUUGUCGGGUAACCUUUCUAAGCACUACGACAUCUCUUCCAUAGAUGAGGUCUCUCUUCUCAAGGCUUUUAAGUUAGAUAUUCAACCUCGUAAAGCUCCCUCUAUUUACCAGGUCAUCUAGAAGCCUCCUCAUAUGGGUUGGAUAAAAGUGAAUACCGAUGGUGCUACUAAAGGGGCUCCAGGUUUAGCUGGUGGUGGGGGUAUCUUUAGAGAUAGAAGUGUGGUGAUGUUGGGUUGUUUUGCUGACUACUAUGGCAUUGAAAGUUCUUUUUAUGUUGAUGUUUGCAUGACUUUAUCGGCUACUGAAAUCGCUCAUAACAGAGGCUGGAGAACUCUUUGGUAGGAAUAUGACUUUGCGUUAGUUGUGCAAGCUUUGUCUGGGAAAGUUAGAAUGCCUUGGAAGCUUACUAACAAAUGGAGGAAUUGCUUAUUUCUUAUCAGAGAUAGGAAUCUUAAGGUUACUCACAUCUUUCGUGAAGGGAAUUGUUGUGUUGAUUCCUUAGCAGCCUUUGGCGUCUCUUCUAAAUCUUUUACUUGGUGGGAUCUCAUUUCGGCUUCUAUUGGGCAGGACUUCUUUAGAGUUCGGUUGGGCUUACCUAACUAUAGAAUCAAUCGAUGGUAGUUUGGUGUGGUUAUCUUUUGGCUUGUUUACCUUGUUUUUUUUUCUGUUUUGGUUUUUCUACUUGGCUAUCUUUUCAAUUUGUUGUUCUUUGGUGGUUUUUGCUGUUGUUUUCCUUCUCUUGGUUAUAUAUGUUGCUGCUAGGAAUCAAGCUUUGUUUGAGGGAACCUAGUGGGUGGCUAGCAGUUUCUUAUCUUAGAUCCAUUGGCAGUUUCUUAUCUCCUUUAUUUGCACUCUAGUGCUUGAGGUAUUGGUUUGUUUAGUUGGUGGUGACAAGUGAGAUGCAAAGGCUGGUGGAGUUAUCUAAGAGUGAAAAACUAAGUUUAAUUGUAACUGGUCUUAGUUUAGGAGUUGUAGUAGCAAUCCUUAAUGCAGUGGACAUUGCUGCAAAUGGUUAUAUAAAGGGUGCCUAAUCUCAGCCUUUGUGUUUGCUAGACUAGGUGUUGGUGUCAUCAACUUCAAGAGGUUAGUUGCUGAAUACAAUGAUCUGAGAAUCAAUUGUGUUGAAAAUGUGUUAGAUGUUGUUCUAAAGUAUCCUCCUCUUGGAUAUUUUAUCGUUGGUGAGGGAUUGAUGAUUAAUCCUCAGAAUUAUGGGUACUUGAAGUUGCCUGAGGAUAUAACUAGCUGGCAUAGUUUGGAGGCUUACUUGCAUGGAGUAGUAGGAACUCAAGGGGCUAGCAUUAAUCGUGAUAUUGCACUUGUGAAUAAGUCAUUGGAUGCUCUAAAAGAUGAUUAUAGUUUUAGCUACUCAUGUUCACAAGGUGUAAGUAAGAUAGUGAUAAAACACAACUCAUGGGGUGGUAGAACCACACACAAAUGAGCAAAGAUUAAUUCAUCUAAUACUAACACCUUGAUCCCAUGACUAAAAUGAGUCAAACUACCCUAGAAAUUCAUAAAAGAAGUAUUACAAAUCACUAUUAUAAAGUGUGUAUCAAAUGGUUUGAGUUGGAAGUCCUUAAAUAGUAUUCUAGUGUUGUCCUAUGCGCUCAGCGUACCUCAAGCUGUCUUUUCGUGACAUUUCAAUGCACCAACUUCCGUUGGGCGUAGAAGAAACAAUAGAAAAUGUUUUGUUGUUUGUGUUGAGGGUGGAAAACUAUGUUCAGCACAAUGAGUUUUGCUUAUUUCAAAUGAUCCAACAGUUCACAUUGAAGAUCCAUUAGUUAGGAACAACAUAUCCAAAAUUCAGUUCAAUGCAACGGUGAAAGAAUGAGUUAUCGCGAUUUUACUCGGACAUGUUAUGGUUGAAUUCUUGUUUUUGUUCAACACUUGCUUUUUUCCCAUAAUUCUUUGAGGUGAGACUUGUCCAUUUAAUCAAGUUUUAAUCAUUUAUUAGUAUAGUUUCCUUCAUUUGAGUUGAUUAAGUAGUUAAAGUGCUGUAAAAAGAAUGUAUAAAAUAUGAUCAAUUUGGUACUUAAUAACUCUUCCGAACUUUGAACUUUGGUUGUCCUCAAACAAGAGUCCAAGCUGAGUUAUUUUUUAAAACAUUUUUGGGUUUUCAAGUAGAACUUACACAUCAAUUAUCAUGACAUACACUCAUAUGCCAAUAAACAAGUUCACACAAUUAGACAAGUGCACUAAGGAAUUUCAAGCUCAAAUCAGAGUAUAAUAUUUAAUUCAUGUAUCACUCCUAGCUACAUAAUUCAUUUGAAACUCUAUUAUUUAAACAAUUCUUAUGCCAAUAAACCAGGAAGUGUGAACUCUCAAAUGUUUGAUAAUGAAUGUCUCUCAUGAACAUGCAAUAAACAAGUAAUAGUCAAUUUUGGUAUUGUCUCAUGAUUAAUCAAGAAUGAUAUAAAGUAUGGAUCACUAAAGUCUUUCAUGGCUUGAACUUUUGGUCAUCCAGUAGAUCAAAUGAGACCUUACACCACUAGACUAACCUCUUGUUGAUAUAUAUAUAUAUAUAUAUAUAUAUAUAUAUAUAUAUAUAUAUAUAUAUAUAUAUAUAUAUAUAUAUAUAUAUAUAUAUAUAUAUAUAUAUAUAUAUAUAUAUAUAUAUGAUAAAACAACAUUGAAACCAAACCAUCUUUAACAACCCUUCCAUACAUUUAUCCACGUGAAAUUUAAGUUGAAGAUUCUCACCAUCUUGCAAAAUCCCAAGUCCCAAAAUCAAGAACUUCUUGCUUGAAAUUAAUUAAAGAAUUUUUAUCUUUUUAAUGUAUUGAAUUAAAGGAGGAAAAUAUUUGAUUUAACGUUAUUCAAUAGCCAUUUUCAAUAAGUAAAUAAAGAGUAGUAAAUCAUGAAUAACUGCUUAAAUAUAGAACUUUACUCCUACGUAUCCCUAUAAAGAGAAUCAAGACUACAUAGUUCUUUGGUAGAAUUUUUUUUGUUGGUUUAAUGAUAUAAUUAAGGAAAGAAGCGGCGUAGCGUAACCGUCCGAAAGAAUGAGUUGAUAAAAAGAAGCUCUCAGAUAUGACAUUUCCUCCAUCCUUUAUAUGGUUAGUAAAUUUUAUUUCUUGUGAAAAGUAUUGAUUUUGAUAUUUAUUUAUUAGUGAACAUGUUUUUUAUUAAUUGUUAAUUUAAUUGAAAAUAAAUUUUUUUUGUUUAUUUUAGGAAUUAAUCGAGUGAAAAGAAACUACGUAGUGCGACCAUUUAAAGAUGAGUUAAGGACGAAAAGCGCUUUCGCAACCCUCCUCCAUCUUUGAUUAAUGUCUAAAAAAUUAUCUCAUUAUAAUAAUUGUUACUAUGUAAAAAUAUAUUUUUUUAAUCAUCUUAAAGAGAAUUUUUAUUAGUUGCUAAAAUCAUAAAAAAGUUUAUUAAUGGUUAACUAUAUUAAAUGAAUUUUUUUGAGCAUUUUAUUAUUGUUAUUUAUUUAUAAAAAAUUAUUAAUAUUUAUUAUUACUUCUGUGAUUGAAUUUAUGUUUGAUAUUAUAAACUGCAACCUGUCUAAGACAGCUAAUUAUAGGUUUAGAAACUUGUAAUGUUCAUCUUAUAAUCCUUUCUUAUUAAUACAUAUUUAUGUGGUACAACUGCACCUUUAAUUUAAAAAAAAAAUUAAGAAAUUUUCUUAUAAAAAAAAAGACAGCUCAGGCAUGCAAUAGCUAUAUGCCUUCUUAGGGUCAUCUAAAUAAUUUUGAAUUAAAUCAAUAUCAUUAGAAAUAAAGAAAUUAUAUAUUUAUCUCCCUAUAUGUAUCAAAAUAUAUAUAAAGAAAUUAAAUGCAAUAUGCCUUCUUAGGAUGAUCUAAACUAAUCAUUCCAUCUGAGUAGGUUUGGAUUGGAUUAGACCAUUUAUUUAAAAAAAACCAAUCUAAUUAACAUUUUGGGUUUGUUGAAAUAGAGGGUAAUUGGGUAUCUUUCUUUUUACUCUAUCAAAAAUAAUUUGAGUUAAGUAUAUAUUUUGAAAGUAACUGAAUGACUUCCAAGAGAAAAAAAACAUCAUGCCUCAUCAUCCAAACUAACCAUACUUCCUUCACAAGACAAAAAAAGCUUCGAAAGUCUAUCAAGCUUACGACUAGUUACUAAUCUUGAAUGUUUACAAAAGUGAUCUAUACAUUUAUAACAACCCUUCCAUACAUUUAUCCACGCAAAAUUCAACGUGAAGAUUCUCACCAUAUAUCUUGCAAAAUCCUAGUCCAAACAAACAAGAACUUCAUGCUUGAAAAUAAUUAAAGAACAUUUAUCUUUUUAAUGUAUUGAUUAAAUGAGGCAAAGAUUUGAUUUAAUGUUAUUCAAUAGGCCUUUUCCAUACAUAAAUAAAUAAAGAUAAUGAAAUAUCUAAUAGCUGCUUAAAUAUAGAAUUUUAUUUAUAGAAAUUUCACUCGGGUUACAAAAGACAGGUGAAGUAGGAACGCGAGUAACCUUCCAACAAUCACAAUAAUAAUAAUCAGCAAUGACAGAAAUGUUCCUAUUGAAAAUAAAGUGUGCCAACGAGCUUCAUAAACCAAAUUAUACAAAUCUCAUGAUCAAUAAUGAACCUAACAAAAUAUUUAAUACUUAUACUUAAAUUGAAGGUACUGCAUAUUAUAUGAAGUUCCUAUUUAAGCGCACUCGAAUCCCUUGGGAACAUCCUUUCCACAGUAGUUGAGUAUCAAGCUCAAGUUGAUAGGAACGUUAAGGUUAAUUCCAAGAACAUUAGCCUUAAGAGCAGUGCAAAGGCACACAGCAGCAUCAAGAUUAGAAAGACCAUCAAUGAGUGAGCAACAUGCAUCCUUUGAUGACUUCCCAAGUUGCACAUUAACCAGACCCAACACAUCAGCACACACACCAAACUUAAGGGUGUCCUUGGGGCAACUAGGUUGCUUUUUUGGGUCAGCAGGGUUUGUGGAUGGUGCCUUUGGGGCAGGUGAGUGUAUGGGUGUUGGUGGUGGUGAGUGUUUGGGUGUUGGUGGUGGUGACUGUUUGGGGGUUGGUGGUGGUGAGUGUUUAGGGGUUGGGGGAGAUGUGUGUUUGGGUGUUGCGGGUGGUGGGCAUGGGACAUAAGUGGAGCUAACCAGAGUGAAGAAG
rnacentral:lncRNA from 1 species